UACCCCCUCUGACUAAGACUAUAGAAUGUUCCUGCGAAUUAUGACCUUCGCCUGGAAUGUGAGCAAAUAUAUCAUGUCGAUUGCUCAACCGUACUUUUGCUAUCUUACGUAGAGCUGAAUUAGGUUUUUUCGGUGUUCUCGUCGAAACACGCAGGCAUACUCCUUGCUUCUGGGGACAUUGAUCCGAAGCACGCCCGCCCCGUGUGCGUCUUUCACGACAUGCUCUGGUCCCGGGUUUCUUCCUGUGGUCUUCUAGCGUUAGAAGAAGUCGUGUCCGUCCCGGACAUCUGCAACGUCCUCUCACGCCUUUGGGGGGACAAACAAAGAUCAGGAAAAGACGGACCGAACCCAUUCGGUGACUUUCGCGGUCGCCCUCACUGAACCGACUUGGAUCUGAACUACGAUUCAGAUCAAGUCUUACCGAAAUUGGAUUUCCUUUUCGUGCCAUAUGUCGCUUAGACUUUACUUUUGCCCCUUUCUGCCCUUUCCUCUAUUUGUUCGAUAGGGUCCUCGUUCUAUUCUAAUUCUAAACCCAUUGUCGUCCACAGUUUCCUUGUCGACGCGAAGGGGCAAGCAGCCCCCAAACAAAGUCUGAGAUCAGAACUCAUACCGCGGUUGUGGCCGCAUGCAAGUUCUUCAAUAUUUAGAGAGUAUGUGUUAGUACGAGAUCGCGCUAUCAACUUAUUUAAUCUUUCUCGAUGAAGCAAGAAAACGGAUGCGCCUAGCGCUAGUUGCUCAAUCCGUUGCUUGUUUGGUUGAUUAGGACAAAAUUGUAUCCCUUAGGAACCGUACAUGCACCUUUGUUUGGAUGCCGAUUGAAUAUUGUUACAAUACGAAAUACUUGAAGGCCACACGCAAUUGACUCACCUACAUUUUAUGCUCCCACCUUUUUGUAGACUCAGCUUCUGCCUCUGGGGAAGCACUCACAUUAUGAUCGAAUUACAAUGUGCAGGUUUUGUGACCACCACUGAUGCUUGCUGUGGGCUGGGCAAGUAUGGAGGCCUAUUCUAUUCAUGUGUGUUCUUCCACGGAUGGCGUGCUGCGACGCAUCGAGCCAUGUCGGGUGCAAUUCAUCUAACUAACUCCACCUUCCUCCUACGGGUCUGCAGUCAAAAGAGUUGUUCAGUCAUAUGGUAUGUAUACAUAAAUCUGCUUUUCACUCUUCUGCAAUGGGAUUCGGACAUGAUCCAAUCGACCUUCCUCUACUUGUUGAUGGCCUGUACUGUAAAGAAGAGCCCAGCGGAUGGAAGCUGUUGAGUGGAGCUUCACCUGGCUGGAUAAAAGCACUCUACCUAGGCUUGUAAUAACUAGUACUUUCUAUAAUGCUUGGUUCCAACUAAUAAUACAUCAUGGUACCUUAUAUUCUUUAACUACUAACGGAACUGAGAUAGGCCUGCCUGGGUAAAGAAUAAGAAAAAACGUUCCGGUAAUAGAGAUUGCCUUUAGCAGGAAGAUGAGUAGAUCGCUCACCUGGAACUUCUUAGCCCUCUUUCCUUUAGAAGAAAAACCUUUGUGAAUGCUCGCCCUGGACCAAGGCUGGCUAUAGGCGGAUCGCCCAACCGAUCAUAAUCAUAGGUUCAACCACACCAGAAAAGUGUUUAUACAUUUGGAAGACUUACUACACUGGAACCUAGAUAUCAACUAAACUAGGAAGUAGAAGCUAGGGCAGAGCCGUUUGUUUACCAAACGAACUUAUCGCCGUGCUCGUGGGCUAUGCUUCAAGUGCGGGGAACUACCCUGUAUGCGGUCCAUGUACCCUCGCCUGCGGCUCCUGUGCUCAUGGUCCCGUUUUUUCUCUUCGCUUCGCCAAAAAGAAAGGAAGAGAAGAGGUCGGAAAGAUCACACACAGUACGAAAGCAAGCAUAAACCAAACGAAAACCGAUGUAGCGAGAAAGAGGGCACCGUCCUUCCUUUUUGGAGCCAAGGGAGCCUUUGGCCUAUCUGUCAGUAUGUUGUGCAUUCUCUCACUUCCAAAAUAGCAUAUAAUGGAUGUCAUGUACCAGCUAUCUCUGAAAAGGUAGAAGGGCCCUUUAGGGACAGCAAGAGUUGCUUAGUGCUCAAUAGUGCUUGCAAAGAACGUUCAAGAUAGCUGACUGACUGAGCUACUUCCGUAAUAGGGGUCCUUUCUUUUCAAAUCCGACCCACCCCCAUCGAUUUUAAAAUAUGCAUUGAGAAAGAGCUUACCGGUAAAUACCCUAUCCCCUGUCUGAACUCUUGGAAGAACUUAGACUUGGGCACUUGUAACAUGGUUGGAGGCAUAGACUUGGAGUCCAAACGCCAUUCCCUAAAACCUUAUGAGUAGCUUACUAUCCUGCCUGGGUACUUCGCAAGUCCUGCUGCUAUCCAAUUAGGCUGGCUUCAUUACGUAGAGCGGAUCCACCCAUACAUAAUAGGAGUACUCUUAAAGUAAGACCUUUAGAGCCUAUAUAUAGUAUAGCUUAGUAGCGGCCGGCUGUUCAAUUUGAGAAAGGCCCAUCUCCUGAUUGUCUCAAAUCGAAUAAAACUCUUUAGCAAUUGGUCUGACAGAACGGAUGGUAAGGUGGGGGACCCAUACCUUUAUUCUAUUCCCGUGCUUAGAGCGAGUGAAUGAAAAGCUACGCCUGCUGCUUGUGUUGAUUGAAAAGAAACCUGUCUAAUUGAAUAUGCUAGUAAUCAAUCGCUGCGCGCCUCUCAUCAUUUCCUGUGCUUCUGCUCGUAUGCCAAUAAGUAAGUUUAAGCUUUAUGCAUAUGGCUCAAAUCUCUUUGCUUUUAUUUAUCAAUUAACAACUUCUUUUUAGCUCUGACAUGGCCUAGAAAAAGGUGGUGUCAAAGCCUGGAAUGCUUGGAAAUCUCAUUAUUGGCAAAGCAGAUGCAUACAUAGUUAGGGUCAAAGAGUUAUUGAAGAAGUCAUCAUGUGAUCGAUUGACCAGGAAAUAACCUUAUUUGGACUUAGAAGCUACUGGUGCGGAAGAAGGAAGCGUAGCUGAGUCAUUCCUUAUAUCGAAUCUUAUUACCAGCUUUCAUAGUGAGCAAAGCACCCGGCGCAGUACAAGGCUAAGAUGUAAGUAGGUGCACAGUACCCUCACGCAAUAGCAUUUAGUGGAGCUAUUAAAAAGUAGAUGGAGUAUGCUUUUCCGAAGAAGAGUGAUCCUGGGUAAAGGCAAAGUGUGUCAAGCAGGAAUAUCGUUUUUGGAUCCAUGCAUAAGUUGGCGAAGAUGGUCUAACUUAAGACUUUUCAACCUGAGCAUGCGUGCUGUGGAUUUGAUGUGGAAAGAAGGAAGAAAAGGUUGGAUAGCUCUAUAAUUAAUAAGAAUCUCAAGUGAAAGGGAUCUAUCCUGUUGCAGUGAAGGUUAUUAAAAAAUAGCUUGAACAGAAGUUCGGUAUUCAAAUAACAUACCGAAAUAAAAACUUUGGCAAGGAAACUAAUUAGCAAUGUGGGGGAUAUAUGGCUUAAAGUGGGAUGAUUCUCUCAUAGAAGUAGGGGCAGGAGGAGAUAAUGAGUCUCAAUCCAGGCAGUGUUGUGGACGUCAGCGGUAGAGAUAAACUCAAAGACAAAGGAUGAGAUUUGCAUCCAUUAGCCAACAUUUCCAACGCUUUCUUAUUGCUCUUGGUGCCUAACUCGCAGACAUUAAUUGGUGUACUCUCUGCAUUUCACCUCAAAGUAAAAUGGAAGGGUCUUCUUUCCGUUCCGCUGCGAACGCAGUUUCUGGAUUUUGAGCUUGCUUUUGCUCUUAUGGAAAAUGAGAGGAUGAAUGGUAAUGCUUUUUUAGAGCAUAGCAUGAAGCAAUAGGGAUGAAGGAGGGUCUUGUUCGUAAUCCAUGCAAAAAGGCUUAGUAGAAGCAGUGAAAAAGGUGCACACAUCGGACGCUUUAGUAGCCUGCCUUUUACCACUUACUAUACCACACCACAAGUACACACAGGUACUGGCCUUAAUCUUUGUCAUUAAGUCCGCACACCCUUCAAUUUUCCAUAGUAUGCUACGAUAGGUUCUUCUUGUAGUAGGUAGAGCAAGCAAUUCUUCACUGAAACUAGGGAGAGGGCGAAUAAACGACCGAACUACCAUCUAUCAUAAGGAAAGUACCAGGGCAAGGGACUUGAAUCUCAUUUUGCUGGAUAACUCUUUCCAAAGCUGCAAGAAAGGUAAAGAAUGAAAACAAAUACUUUAAAGAAUACAAGCCUUAGCCUAGUUUCAAAGAAGAAGUUUGUUCCGUCUUAUCUUCUAUGAAGGCGGGUAGGGCUCUUUUCACAUUACCAGUGGAGUUUCUCUUUAUUCGACCCAGACUUUGAAGCUAAGGAAACACCUUCUAGUUUCAAAAUGUAUAUAUUAACUGGUCCCUAUUCAAAUAGAAAGUUUGACCUCAACCCUAUUAUAAUCAUGCUACUACACCAUGGCUAGCAUCCCUAUGACAAUGACCAGUUCGUGCCCAUUCUAGCCAUGCCCGUGCCAGAGACGGAUCAUACCCUAUUGACUUAGGCUGAGCGAAGCUUUCUUCUUAUGCUGUGUCAUAGCCUAUGGGAAAGGCCAGUUGCCCACUAGCAUAACUAUCCUACGCACGAUUUUGAGUUGUCUGCUCUAAUAUUCGCACUGAAGAUCUGUGGGUGCCGACUUUUCAAAAUCACCAGACAAUAAAAGAAAAAUGCAUCAGGAAUGAAAUCUGACACAGCGUGGCUGGAACUAAUUAAACAUUACGAUCUCGUCAAGGAUUAUGCAGCUAAGGAGUGGUGGCUGAGGCAGUGGAAAGAGAAAAGCCAAUAUGGCGUGGUGACGAGUGAGGUGCAACUCUUGAAAUAGAUGCAGCAGAUUUGUGCCUUGGUAAGAAGAAUUAGUGGACAAACUGACAACGAGAGAGGGGGGACCGAGCCAACGAGGAAGAGCACUGUUCUUAUGCUAAAAUCCAUUAUGGUACAUACACCGGGGCAGGAUACCCGAUAGGCAUAGGCAAGGUGGAAGAGAUCAAAUAAGACAUUGAGAAAAGGAUGCAAAAAAGAAAAGAACGAAGUUGCAAGAAAGAGAGAAAAGAGCAUACUAUAGACUCCGCGAAUACAAGUCAGUAGACUCAGCGAUUACAAGUCAGUAUUUGUCUCACCGUACGUCUUCUUCACCCCGACUUGCUUCUUUCUGCUCUUUUCAUUCAAAUAAGCUCUUCCCACAACCUUUCAUUGCCAUUUGUCUUCGAAUCCUCUUCGGCAACGCUGGGCCGGUCGAAGGGCGCUUCCAGCUCGUUAAAGCAACCACAGGAGAAGAACCACAAGGAACGGCACUACAGGUAUGGUACGAACCAUGCUCUAAGAUUGAUAAACUACAUCAUCCAAGACUUCAAUACGAAUCCAUAGGUGAGGAGAGCAAGCCAAUGAAGUCAGCCCAUUAGCUAGAUUGGCAAUAAGCAUUACAGGAGUCAGUCUGUCCAGUAUGUAAGCCAUGAGUCUACUACUUAAGCCUAUGCAGUCUGUCCAGUAUGCCUCAUGCUGUAGUAUGUCCGAUAUGUCAUGUAAGCCAUGGAGUGUAUGGACUAAGUAAAAGCAAUGGGCUAGGAUUGGGACUGCCUACCUUCUACAACCAUUCCUACAGGACACCAACUAUGCUGCCUAGGGCUAUCAUGAACACAAGGACAGAGUGAGGAUUUGAUUCACCUUAAUCGCUACGCGCCUUGAUUAAUGAUAUUUAAUUCAUCCUUUCUAUAUGAUAUUGAAAGAGUCUAGUGGGUGAGAAAGAUCAAGUAAAAUAAAACUCCAAGACUUCAAUACGAGUCCUAUAAACAAUAAAGGGACAGUUAAAGAGAACAGACUAAACAGUAGCGGAAGGUAGUCCAUUACAGAUGCCGCAGUGCCUUUAUUAAUUAUAAAAGCAGUUAUGACUAAACAGAUGUCACAGUAGCCCAAGCCAUAGGCCCUUACUUAAUAUAAUAUAAUAGGCUUUCUUAUCCACGGAAGAAAAUGUGUGGUACUGGAUGUGGCCUCCCUAAUAUUUGAAUCGCAUCAUCCCCGGUGCCAUGAUCUAUCACUUCCUUCGCAGUUUUCUUCUCCUCAACGAAUGAUAAAAUAGGAUCACCUCUUGCACCAAAGCAACACACUAAUAGGUAGUCUCAUCAUAGGUCUAAUCUUGCCCCACUUUCACUAAGGGAGAAGAAUCAAAGGCUUUGACUUAGGCACUGCUGGCCCGUACGGAAGUGCUGCGAGCAGAAGUGAAAUGAAUGGGCAACGAGUCCAGAUGUAUGAAUUCCCUAAAUGGAUGGAGACGAUAUUCUUCAACAACAAGAUGAAGAAGGAAAAGCCGAAGUAGAUGACCUAUGAAUGGGGGAAAACCUACAGAUGAAAAGCAGGAUAUAAGUUUGUUUGAUAGUAAGCUAAGCUCGUAGGAGCCGCAAGAGGCCAUGUUGGAGGAGCUAAGAGCACUUGAAAAGAAUCAAACUUGGGAUCUUGUCAAACUCCCUAAGACAGCCUGCUACGAGCCCACUAUUUGCACUACACUACUAGUUAUCUCACUUGAAACCCUUUGGAAAGGACCCACAAAUAGCAAGAACCAUAGGGCGGAAAGGGGCAAAAGUAAAGUAAAGUUGUGGCAGAGAGUAUGACCACACAUAGUUUUUUUCCUGGGUGGGGGGUUAGGUAUCCCCUUUCCUAUCUGUCUUACUUUCAUGUCCUGGCUUUCUAUUUGCAAAUUCCUAGUAGGCCAGUGUCCCUUUCAAAUUGGUUACGGGGGCCUACCUCUUUCAUAAAGCUGGAGUCUUUCCCAAGCACGCUUAAUGGGGCAGGGAUACGGUUUUCUAACCAGUUGUUUACCAGAAAGUAUAAGUUUCUACUUUUUGACCAUCCCCGCUUAGCGCCCUUCGCUUCUUUGCAAUGGCUUUCGUUCUAAGCACUAGGCUAAAAAGAAGCUUCUUCCUCUGUGAAAAUAAGUCAGAUUUAGUUGAGAUUCGGCUUUGCCUUAGCUUGGCCAACAGUCCAUCCGCUUUCAGUAUUGAUGAAGAACGCAGGUACCCUAUAAGCAGAAGUACAAGCCAACGCCGAGAAGAUAGGAAUCAGUAAGAAGUCGUACAAGCAUAGCAUGAAGCAAUAGGGAUGAAGGAGGGAUAAGAUAAGACUCAAGAGCUAUAAGCUAACCUUGGGGUUCCUUAUAAGCAUAAGCACUUGUCUUCUUUCUAACAUCACCAGGUGUCAAGCCACCCGGUUCUCUUCCUCUAUCCUUCUGUACGAGUUAUCCGGUGCUUAGGCUUGGAUUCCUCCCACCUGAGCAUUCUACUUCCCCCUAUUGGCUUACAACUCUCGCCCUCUAGUUACAUACUAUCUUCUUACUGUGGAUCACCAUCUUGUUAGGCAUUCCACGAAUUCCAAAUUUCUUUAAUGCGACUCAAAAAUUAUUGCGAUAAGUUAGACCUGCUGGGAGGAGAUUACCUCUGAGAAACUUCUCAUUUUUCUUGGUGGGACAGGGUUGCUUGUCUCUUUUACAGAUAGUGGGGGCAUCAAAGUUAGGAUUCCUUUAAAGAUGUGGGGGAAAAGUAUUAGCACUGGUAGACUGGUCCAGGAGUUUAGGGGUGGCCUUAACCGUCUCACAAUGGCAAACUUCCUCAAGCUACUCAAUGAACACGUUGAGGCCUACCUACGCACUUCUUUCCAAUAUCCUCUAUCUAAAAAUCAAGUCGUUACGCAUUUCUCGCUUCCACAAGGACGAAAAAAUAGGACGAUUACGGAACUUUUUCUGUCCCCAACUUUUCCCACAUUUAUUCGUUUACUUUUUCGUAUCACUAAUUCAGGAAAGUCCCUCUAUGGACUGAUGUUCUCCGUUUUACGGAUCCAAAAGUGGGUAACGCAUUGCGAUCUCUAGAUUUUAUGGCUGAUGCUUAUAAUAUGCCCGCUGCAGAAGCGAAACCUGUUGCCAUCGUCAUUUCAAUCACAAUUAAGGGAGACCGAACGGGUUCAAGGCAUUGGGCAGAAUGAACGCUUUUUCCUCUCCUUUAUCCUUGGAUUUCUACCCUUAACCAGUACGACGAUAGGAAAGAUAAGUUGAUAAGCGAACUCAGAAAAGGAUCAAUUCCAGAAGAAGAGACCUCGACUCUGAGUUUAGUAGAGUAUAGUCCACGGUGAACGAACGAGUCCCUAGGAUAAGUUAAAUUGGUAGGUCGAGCUAAGCCAGAUGAUUAGUAAUCAAGAUUAGACCAAAACAACUACCGGGGAAAUCCUCAACGUGAUAAAAUACUAUUUCAUUGAGAUGAAAGAUGCAAAUGGCAAGUCCUCAAUGUGGACGAUCCCCAGAUAUACUUCUGCUCUUCUGGGAAAUUAGAUGGCAAAUAAGCAUUCGUCAGGAAGGAGGGACGGACUUUGCUUUGGCGGGAUCAGGAAUUUCCAAAUCCUACUCUUUAUCACCUUAGAUUAUAUAUAAUGAAGAAGAAAGGAGUGAUUCCUCGAGUAGAUUUAUGUUUCUGCUGAAUGAAUAAAUAUGAGAUGGAGGGUCACACUUACGAUGGCACGCACCGCACUUCGAGAGGAAGGGGUCUUCGGUUCGCAUUCUUUUCAUCGUCGACAACGCGCUAGUUUGCGAAAAAUCCCUUGCCUUGCUUCUUAGGAGGAGAGGAGUACGCAUCCCGUGCCAACUACAUAAUGCCUGAUGGCCAAACAAGGCUUCUGACUACGAAAGACACCACCCCAGCAGGGAAAGGCGUGAAGCGUAAAAAGCAGCUAAUCUGGAAGUCCGGUAGUAAUCGAAGUAAUCCGUCAAGGCGAGCCAAAGAAGGAACCGAGAAAUCUGAGAAUUGGCAAUCCAGAAGUGGGUGUCGGAAAAGAAGAGACAAGACUUUCCCUCAUUCAUUCCUUAGAUUAGGACGGGGAAGCUUCCUAGAGAGUAGUUAACCCGGGUUAGCUUUGAUGGACUACUUACUGGCGCACGGUAUUCAUAUGAGAAAAGGUUGUUCGUGGAUAACAGUUGUAUUUCUUUACUUGACCCGUACUUCCUUCCCUUAACCUGAUCCAGCUAGUCUUUCCUAAGAGAUAGGAAGCCGAGAAACUAAACAGGGGAUAGCUAUCGAGAGAAGCAUCGAAAGUAUAGAACCCCGGAGCGAGGGGAAGGUCGGAUCCUUGACCGAGAGGAGGCCAUCCCGAGUUGGUAAGAGGUUGGAAAAGAGGAAAGCAGCUACCCGACCGCGCUAGUUGCUCAAUCCGUGGCUUGUGAUACUAAAGAAACCAAGCAAGAAAACGGAUGCUAUGCUAGUUAGCGCUACGAGCAAUCAAACGGAUAUGCUCAAAGGAAAGAACGGACAUUUCUACGAGUGAACUCUUCAUUCAAUAAACAAAGCAUGAUUGGAGCAAGCUGCCUUGACCAAUAUACUGGACCAUCUGAGAAGAAAGGGGUGAUUCCUACUAUGACACCAGAUAAUCCACCAGAGAAUAGUCAAUCCUAAACUAGAUAAAGCCGAGUAUGCGAGGAAGCCUAGGUAGCUGUUUGAUCGGAGGAAGCACGGCGGAAGGAGGCGGCUAGAACAUUCCCUCAAGGAAGAAGCCAUAUGUUGUCUUACCAUGAGCUGUAUCCAUUGGUCAAAAUGGAAAUCAUUGGUUAUUAGUUCGGAAAAGAGUAUCAGUCCCGGAUAAAUCCACUUAAGAAGCUGCUUCUUUUGCUGGGAGCAAGGAACGAACAAGAAAGGUCUUGAGCUGCCAAGAAGAAUUCAAAGCGUAGGGUGCACUGCACCCUGGCGGCUACUCUGGUUAAUCGCAUUACGGUGAUCGUUCUUUCCUUCUGGUCUCGUAUCCAUGCCCAUGCUUUCUUCUUUGCGCACUGUUCGUUAUGUCCUUAGCCUCCGCUUUGCAAUCAUUAAAUGAACUAGUACACUCAAUCGCUGGUUCGACAUCUGCCUUCCCUUCUCUGGAGCAGUUAUGUAGAUAGGAGUGGUAGGAAUCAGCGAGCAUGUUGCCAUUCGAGGUAGUCCAACCUUCCUAUUAAUUAGAAUUCUGGGUAACCCUAUCGUUGAUUGACGGAUCGGAGGGACUAAACUGUUCCCUUUCCUUGCGGUUAUCUAUUUCCUGUUCGUGCUGCGCCAUCAGAUUAAUCGUAUCGUGAUCCUGGUAUCGCUCGAGCAUCUCUUUCUGAUGAAACCUUUGCCCUUGCUUUCUCCACUACACCUGGUAACGCACAGUGCUUCUUUCUUCGAUCUAUCCAAGGGAGGCUUAUUCCUUUAAGCAGAGUAUCCAGUUCGGCAUUCCCCUUUUCUUUCUGAUCGUGGUCCUUCUCCUUUAUCCGAAUCCGAGUGACUUCCUAUUCGAAAAGAAACAACUACUGUCACUCAAGAAAGCAGAUCAAGAAAGCUGAGCCAUAACUUCACCUCCAACCCAACCCUAUGCUAAAGAAGGUGCAAGAAAAGCUUAUGCUGGUGCAAGAACUUACCCUCUCUACGAAAGAGACCUUGCCACAGCCCACUUCCUCGGACGAGUUAUAUUCCUUUUUUGCUAUUACCCCACUCUCUGCUUCUUCUAUAUCUGAUGAUACCUUAGCCGAGGACGAAAACGACUACGACGAAGAAAAACGAAUGAAGGCCGAUUUCCUUUUCCCGGUGGUGGGUACCUCGACUCCAAUAACAAAAGAAGAACAGUCUCCCGUACUGCCAAUCUACACUACACGAAGAAGGGAGGAAAGCCGUUGAUUGAUUGCAGCCUCGGUUCAAAUCUCUUGUCUGUUCUCUAGUCUCUAGCAGCAAGGAAUGAUUGCCCCGGCCCACGCUUGGAAUAAUAGGGUUGCCUACUUGAAUGCUGGACACACUUUUUCUGAUCUGCUGGCAGCCGAAUUGGAAACAAGGUCAGAUAUCAAGAGAUCCAAUCUUAGGCUGUAUCAAACUUCCGACUUCAUGAACUCCCCUUCCACCUAUCAAGGUCCAAAGGACCGAUAUCAGCUCCCAUCCCAUCCCGACAAACAGAAAUGAUCUCAUUCAUUCACAUCUGGUACCAAUACCAAUCAAUGUGUCAGUUCACUCAAUGCGAGUAGAAUACGAAAGACAGAACAGGGACCUGGCCAAUGGAUAAGAAAUGGGUAGAUUCACACCGGCCUCAAAGAGUUGUCAGUCCCUUUCGAGUAAGCAGCCUAGCCGGCGAUUGUGACAGAACUCGGCUAAGAGGUCAAUGCUAAGAAGCAGUCAACUCAAUUCAAGUCAAGGUGCCGGGAUAGCCACUAUUUAUCCGGCCAGUGGAAUAGCUUUCCACCGAGCCCCAAGCAAGUAAGUAAUUCGCUUUCCUCCGUUCGUGUAAGCACUCAUGCUUCCACUUCACUCCAGAAAGGAAGCUAAGCUCAUUUCUGCCAUAGAAACAAACUCAUUUCGGGGAGAACCAGCUAGCUCUGGGUUCGAGUGGCAUUUCACCCCUAACCACAACUCAUCCGCUGAUUCUUCAACAUCAGUCGGUUCGGACCUCUGCUUAGUUUCAUCCAAGCUUCAUCCUGGUCAUGGAUAGAUCACCCAGGUUCGGGUCCAUAAGCAGUGACAAUCGCCCUAUGAAGACUCGCUUUCGCUACGGCUCCGGUGGGUUCCAUUCCCUUAACCAAGCCACUGCCUAUGAGUCGCCGGCUCAUUCUUCAACAGGCACGCGGUCAGAGAUCACUUUCCCCUCCGGGAGCUCAGCACGGUUUCACGUUCUAUUUCACUACCCACUGGGGGUUCUUUUCACCUUUCCCUCACGGUACUACUUCGCUAUCGGUCACCCAGGAGUAUUUAGCCUUGCAAGGUGGUCCUUUCCUUGCUGAUUCACACGGGAUUCCACGUGCCCCAUGCUACUCGGGUCAGAGCGUAAGCUAGUGAUGCUUUCGGCUACUGGACUUUAGCCAUCUAGGGUGCGGCACUCAACCGCUUCGCCUAGCAGCACAACGCUUGUAUUGCUCUCCCACAACCCCGUUUUCACGGUUUAGGCUGCUCCCAUUUCGCUCGCCGCUACUACGGUACGGGUACGGGAAUCGCUUUUGCUUUCUUUUCCUCUGGCUACUAAGAUGUUUCAGUUCGCCAGGUUGUCUCUUGCCUGCUCAUGGAUUCAGCAGGCAGUUCAAAAGGUUGACCUAUUUGGGAAUCUCCGGAUCUAUGCUUAUUUUCAACUCCCCGAAGCAUUUCGUCGCUUGCUACGCCCUUCCUCGUCUCUGGGUGCCUAGGUAUCCACCGCAAGCCUUUCCUCUUUUGAACCUCGCCAUUAACGUUAAGGCUAUGCCAUCCUAAGGUGCUACUAAAUGGAAGGAUCUUAUCAACGUCCAUGAAUGCGAAAUCAUAGAUCGAACUGACGAAUUGGCAACCUUCGGUGCUAUCAUAGUAUCCGCUAAGUUCACGGGCUGGAGAUAAGCGGACUCGAACCGCUGACAUCCGCCACAGGGUAAACCACCGCCUCUCAGGCCUCCCCGACGGGUUCUACCAUAGAGGACAACGAUAGGCAAUAACUCCCCCCCGAACACAGCUUACAACUUUCAUCGUACUGUGCUCUCCAAAGAGCAACUCUUCUCAAAAUCCCAAAACAAAAGGUGCUGAGUUGGAAUCCCAUUCUAAGGAUUCUUGUGGUUCCGGGGCGAUCCAGUCACCCGGAGAAGAUUUCUUUUCUUUGCUGAUUCCUCUCAAUGAAAUUUGCCAUGUUGCACUAAGUUACUUACGGAUGUAUGCAUGCAGUCCGGGAACACUUUGGGGUGAACACCCAUCCGAACAAGUAGGGUCAAUAGUUCAGCAUUUAGGCCGUAACAUUUAGCAAAAAACUAAUCUUAAACCCAACAAGUGCUCUCCGAACCAAGCUAGAUAGUCUCCUAUCACUAGGCUCACCAACCAACCUGGACUUUGAUUCUUUCUUAUUAUUCUAACCGGAUAUAAAAACCAUAAGGAUUGUUUCCAGCCAAGAGUUCCCAUAUGACAUAAGCGCUCUUGGGUGGGCCCUCAUUCGCCAGGUCUUUGAGUGCCCGUCGUACCACGUGGUUGGUACACUAGGCUGAUCGAUACUUUACGAUACUUAACUUAACUUUACGAUACUUUGAGGAUCUGGCACCUGCGCCCGACUCGGUCUGCCAGUGAAUUUUGGCUCUACGUCCGGUCGUGCGUGGUAUGUUCGCGAUUCGUACAAAUGGAAGGCAUCGCGUACGUUAACCUUCCUUUAUUGGGCUGGGCCAUUCCAUCUUUGAGAAGGGGCCCAAUCUCGUAUUUGAUGGUCGGCGUGGCAAUAUGCUUAGCUUCGUAGACAGGUUUCCCAGCCGUUGCAAAGACUUCGCGAGAACGGUCAGGGGCGCGAUUCGCCAAGCUAGGGCAAACAAAGCCGUCCGGCCCUACCAGAUUAAGAAUGCGAAGGCCUUUCCUUCGAAAGGAGAAAAAAAAAAGAGCUAUGCUAUUGACCGACCCUUUCGUACUUACUUCGAAUCAAUAGGCCUAUCAUUUUUCAUGAGGCGGGCCAAAUAGAGAAUGAAAUGCAAAAAUAGGGGAAGGGGGGGAUGGUCGCGCCUUUUCUUUUGUUUAAGGGCUGCUCGCCUUACUAAAGUACCAAAGGCUUUCACGGCUGACACCCCUACCUUAGAAUCUAAGCCCUUUGAAGCGCCAGUAGUUGUAGCAGUGGGUAAGGCUUUCGUUCAACUCGCUCCGGGUUCCGAUCUAUAUGACCUCUAGACAGUACAAAGUACACCUCUUCCGUAGAGGCAAGCUGGUAGUAACCUAACCUUUUAGAGUCGGGGGAGCCGAGCCCUUAACUCUAUCAAUAGAUAAAUCUUCGUGCGUGGCGUGAGUUGGAAUCCUAGAAAAGAUCGAUUGAGACUCCCUCCCCGGUUCCACGAAGAUCUCUACGUACUUGUCUAGUCCAGGACAACUGAGAUCUUCCGGUCUGCGUGCGUGGGAGCAGCUGAAACAAAGAAGAGUCUGGUCCGCUCUUCAUUCAGGCCCCCCCCCGCCUUACAAAUGGGCCGUCCCCCUUAAUGAAUCGAAUGGUCCUUCGACCCUCGUUUGAGCCGGCAUAGAUGAAAUCUCAUGAGACCCGCCCAGCCCACUAUUACUACAAAAAAGCCCUGCCCUGGCACCUUCGCUAGACGGAGAGUAAGCGACUUCUAUUAGCACCGGACCGUCGAGUCGAAUUGAUCGUGUCAUGUGCAACGCCCAUCAAUGGUGGUUCAUUAAUGUCCAUAGAUUGAGACUCCUUCCCCCUUCCCUUAUACGCAAAAGAUCGAGAGGGGCCCGAACCAAACCGAGAACGUAAACAGAAUUCGACUCACUCUCGUAUGGCUCGCCCUCGAGCCCUGGGCGAGUCGGCCGGGUCUUCCCUUUUGUUCUGUUUCCGCCACGAUAAAGACGCACGGAAGAACUAUGGUAUGCCCAGCGCGUGGAGGAUCCGUUGAGAGUGUCCCUUGUCUCGGUAGGGAACAGUACCUAUUGUCUUGAAAAAGAAAGGUCAGUGCUACGGUCCCCUAUUGUUUGAUCCAAUAUUGACCGGUGCGGAUCACGUUCUACUACCUCCGGUCCGUGGUUCGACCUCCCGUAGUGGUCCUUGCUUUUCUUUUUGAAAGCUCCGCGGGGCCAAUUUUGCGUACUUGCUCAGUGUGCCCCCUUUCGUCGAGUGCCCCGCCCGGUUCACAGGGCUGUUGGCCUACCAAGCAAGCACUUGCCCACAGCUCCUGCCGCCUGCCAAGCGGGCUCCGCGCUCGUUAUCCUGACUGUUCUCUCCGCUGGGCCCUUUCCUAUUGCUCUAACCAUAAGCUAUGGCAAUUCCAGCUCGCACCCACUCUGGCCCGCCCAGCGAGGCCUGAGUGAGCUCAGUGGUCAGCCCCUGACGUUAGGGGUCUUUCGCUUUUGCCAGAUCUAUAGAGAUAUUACGAGUCCUCCGUCCUAGAUUCCCUCGCCGCGGCCAUCUGGUUCACCGGUACUACCAAAAAGUCUCAUGCUUACGUUACUGUGACUGAUAUAUAAGUAUGAUCUCGGACUACGAAGACCCAGUCGUGCUUCUGGUUUCCAUUCUCAUCAUCAUAUUGAAGGAAACUCCUCGUGCUCUGCCAUAAGAACUUGGAGUCCGUAUCAUGGUGAAGGUAAGGUAACGCUGUGAUUCUUGCUCAAAAAACUGACCGAACACGUUCGAGUUAUUGGCUCGUCCGACCCGGCAGCAUUCAUGAGUCGCUCGUUCAACUGUCCCUCGGAGACACGGUCGAGAAGUGCCAUGCAUGGUCGCCCCCCCCCCGUCCUUUCUUUCUCUCGGUCCCACCAGGGCGGGCCCCUCUGGGGUAAUAAAGAAAUGGAUAAAAAAAGGGGACUUCUGCUACGGGCUAUGCCACCCAUUACUUUACUUAUGAGGGAAGUCGCAUCCGUCCCAUCGCAAGCACCUACAAUGUUAUGAUCACAUUGGUUUACCCUUUUUUGGUAGUUCAACGGACGGUCGCCCCUCCAACAAGAAAAGGUAGAAAUAUGGAAACUUCUCUGCCAUUUAGAUCGGAGAAUUUAUAGAGGAAAUCGGGUUUUAAAUUUCCAGAAACCACACGAUUAUAUAGCCAAAGGGAAUACGCCGCGCCUAAAAUCAUCCCAAGCGCUGCUAAUGUGGCUACUAAGCUAUUUCUUUGGAAAGCUCCUACUAAGAUUAGAAAUUCCCCGAUAAAGCUGCUAGUGCCGGGUAAACUCAUAUUGGCUAAAGUGAAAAAGAAGAAAAUGGUAGAGAAAUUCGGCAUGGUGCUCACUAAACCUCCAUAAUAUCUAACAAGUCGAGUCUUAUGUCGGUCAUAUAGAACACCAACACAUAGAAAAAGGGCUGAAGAAACCAGUCCAUGACUUAACAUAAGUAAAAUGCUACCUCCAAUUCCCGGUAUGUUCGAUAGAGCCUAAUAUUCCCCCGGAGUACGCCGCUUACCCCCCGAACCGUACAAGAUAGUUACCACCUAUCAUACGGCUUUCUAACUCCACUUCUUUUUCUGGUUGUUCCGCUCUGUCGGAUCAAUGGUAGUCUCAGAGAUCUGGUAACCUCCGAUAUUUUUUACAACACGCUUCCUGCUUCCGUUUUGAGUUGCGCAUCUUUCUCCCCGGGGCAUACUAUAGUAUCACAUCGUAGACCCCCACCCCAACUCUAUCUUCCUUAUCAGUGAACCGGAACAUAGUGCAUAGGUACUCUUCGAUGCUGCGAGGACGAGACGAGGUGACAUACUACGAUCACGCACUGAAGUUCUGCCCUUCGGCUCGGCAUAUGGAACCUCUCAACUGCUCCCUCGGGAUAGGUAGGCCCAUCCCCCACCCCUCCUUUCCCGAGAGGCGGCCGGGCUGUGUUUCCCCAGCGGCCACCCAGUGGCGGCAGAAAACGAAAAAGGGUGGGCUCCGCGCAGUUCGCGUUUUAUUGUAAUUGUAAAGAGAGAGCUUUUCAUUCUCUUAUAGAAGCCCGCGUCCACGCGGGUAAAGCCCUGCGAAGCUGCAGGGAGCACUGAGCAAUGAGGGGAUGAGGGCGACUCACGGGUUGGACCACAGGCAAAAGUCCUUCCACGGCAAGAGAAGGGUGACCGGAACAAGAAAAGGGAGCUAGUCGUUGGAGGGAAGACAAGGCUCGUUCCGUGCGACUCCACAGAAGAGUACGCGCGCUAGAAAAGGCAGCCAGCUUAAAAACGCUAGCUAGCUACUUUUGUAGCCUUUUUUAGUUUGGUUGCCUACGCUUGCUCUCCGGGGCGCGCUACGGCAACACCCCCUGCUUGCUUCUUUCUGUUCGACGCGGAGCUCGCAGCCUCCCCACCCUUGCUUAGCGUUCCACUUGUGAUCCUGGAGGAUUUGGAGAAAUGCGCCCGACCAUGAAGAAUGGAUUUUAGCUUUUCUUUCAUGUGAACGGCCCUAUCUUGUAAAGAAUGGUUUUUCGUGCUAUAGACCACGUUGAGAAAGACCAACCAACAACACAAAUAAAGACCGUUCCAUUUGGGUACCUCGAAAGGGAGGUGCUCUUUAUGAUGCUACGGACGGCUGUCCGAAGUGCAUGCAAUGACGGGCUCAGAUAGGAUAGGAUUGUGCGCGCCGGGCCCUUCGGGUGUCCAUAUUUUGGCCGACCUUAGCGUAGGCCCGGUUAUGCGGCCGUAAUAUUUUUAUACCUUCCACCGCUGUUACGCCAGAAAUCCAAGGUUCCACACGAGCUCCUGUUCUGCGGCGUGGUGGCAGGACCGCUAGGGGAUUGGCUCCGGGUGUAGGUAGGGUCAAAUCCGCAGGGGUCAUGCAAAUACAUAGGCCCCUUCCCUUCUGCCGAGUUGUUUAGAAGGCGCUUUCCGUUCUACGGUCCCUCGGACCGAAGGGUUAGGCAGGUAGUACGGGCCCUCUGACUUCCAGCUAUGUGCUGUGUGCGACUCCCGCGAAGCGAAUGAAGGGAAGCUCUUCGAGCUUUCUCCGCCAGCGGCUUAUGUAGUGGUCGGCAUUCCUACGUGCUCCGACUGAUCCCCACUGGAGAUGAGGGGUCUUUGAAACUGUCGUGACGCUUUGGUGACGAAGGUCACCGGGGUGACUAUGGAAGGAUUCCGUGGUAGUCUCUGACUCCCUCCAACUCAAUCAAUAUCAAGAACAUGUCGUGAGCAUGGGGGUUUGGCCGACUACUAAACUCUAUACUAUUGGCUAGGGCUAGGCUAGUUAUAGCUUCUAUAGUGAGUGGCCCUUCCGCUUUGAUCUAGUUGUAGUUUGUACUGUACUAAAUUGAACACAUAUCAAAGAAAGGCGAUCAAUCAAUAAAAUAAGUAGUUGCCCUUCUCCGGCCCGGGAAAAGCUGCGAACUCGUUAUAAACUAGGGGCUUUUUUAUUCAUGGUCGCUACUGUUGUAUUGUAUAUUGUCGGGGGAAGCUACUGCUUCUACGACAGCUCCGCUUCCUCGUCUUGCUUCUACUUUGCUUGUUUGCGCGAAGGCUUAGAGUCCUUUUCGCUAGGUCCAAAUUCGUCAAAGCGAAAGAUCUGAUCCAACGGAAAUCCCGCAUAUUAAGCGCUGCUGAUAUGUGGCUACUAGGCGCGAUCAUCUCACAUGCCAUAAAAAAAAUACUUCUUUUUUCGUCAUAUAAAGAUAGAAUAGAUAUGGAUAGAGAGACAUUCUAUUGAUUCGCGAAAUGGCUCGUCGAUCCAAAUGAAUCAUUCUUCUGGUCUCUCUCUGCCCCCCGCCCCAAAACUGACCCACGACACAGCGCCCAUUCGUUUCGCGCGCGGGAAGGCAACGAAGUUCAGUUCAAAAGACCGCAGCGGAGUGGAGCAGCCGCGACACGAAGUUCCUUACCUUAGCUGGAUCUCGCUGGUGCCACCUAAACGGUAGGUAUAGGCGGCGGAUGUAUGACGUUUGGAGUUGUCGUUCGUGCACCUGUCCCCAAUAGAAGAAUGAGUGAUCCCUUCCCCUGCGGAUCAUGGCCUUACCACUAGGUCCCCGAUGGCCUGCGGGGGAUUCGGUAUAGCAGCUUACGUUCGUUUGCGCUGCGCGUUCCCGCUGGACUGGACACGUGUUAGCUGUAGGAAGUAUGGUUACGAAAGUGACUUCGGUUCGCCAGUUCAGGCUCAACUCCUCGCUUUACGUUAGCGGACUUACAGGUCGGGCCGGGGCUCCACGCUCUUUCUUUCUGUGUGGGACGAUGCCGGGGAAUGUGUCGAGGCGGCGAACAACAACAAGACAACUAACUACAUUUGCUUUUUCCCUCCAUGAGAUGAGCCAGUGCAUUGGACCGAUGGAUAAUAGAACUGAGCAGGCCAAAAAAGCGCUUGGGCGCUCUACAUACGAUGUAGACUCCAUCAGAUACAUAUCGAUUUCUUUAUGAUGGAUCCAGAAUAGAUAGAUAUCUUGUAUCAUCAAUAGAUAGAAAGAGGUCAACCCUUAUUAUUGAUAGAUUCCCUUUCGAUCUAUCAGAACAGAUCAGGCCAUCUAUCAAUCGAUUUGAAAGGUUCAUCUCGCUUUUCGUUCAUUUCAGCCACGCGCCGCCACAAUAAGAAAGAAGCAAGCGAAACAGCUAGAAGCGCUCGCUUCGCCGCGCCCAACUAUUCGGAAAGCCAACCGAAAGAUUCGAUUCGGACUUCGUAGAGCCGGUGCUGCUGCUGUCUGCGUGGGGCCCCACUCCCGUCCCGGGGCGCUAAGGGGUUUUGUUUUAGGAACAGACGGCGGUGUUUUGCUGACGCCUCGAAUCGACGCUUUUGUUGCGACAUGCUAAGUUUUCUCCCCUAUUGCUAGUAGGUUGAUGGGUCGCACGCCCGGCACACAUGUUUUGGCCUUGCUUGUGUGUCCAUAACUCAAAAUAGGUGACCUAACGGCCGCCGCCCGACUAAACAUACCAAUAGUCACCAAAUUCAUAUGGGCUACUGAGGAGUAGGCAAUGAUCUUCUUAAGAUCGAUCUGUCUUAAAGUGGUCAAGGAAGUAUAUAUUAUAGCAAUCGCACUUAGAGUAUAAAUGAAAGGAGUGAAACAAAGUGUCGCUUCGGGAAACAUGGGUAUUGAAAAUCUUAAAAACCCGUAGGUUCCCAAUUUUAAAAGAAUUCCUGCCAAGAUGACGGAUCCAGCCGUAGGUGCCUCUACAUGGGCUUCGGGUAACCAAAUAUGAACUGGUACCAUAGGCACUUUGACGGCAAAAGAGGCGAAAAAGGCAAUCCAUAGAAGGAUUUGGCGCCGCUCACUAAAUUCUGUGGUUAAUAAAAUUUGUAAAUCGGUGGUUCCUGUUUGGAGAAGAAUCAACAGAAUAGCUAAUAGCAUAAAAACGGAUCCAAGUAAAGUAUAUAGGAAAAACUGAUAUGCUGCCUUGAUCUUUCUUUGUCUCGAACCCCAUACCCCUAUAAUGAUGGUAGAGUCAGGGGUGGCCCCAAAGCGGAAUUGACCGGUGGUGGUUGGUCGAAGCUCCAGUGGGUAGCCACUCCCUUCUCAGGGAACCGUACGUGAGACUUCCGCAUCAUACGGCUCCGUCCCGAGCUUCCGUCGUCGGCCCUUGUCAUUAGACCACUAUGCUUGUCUUUUCCGCCUUGACUCUCGAAUCUUUUGCUUCUCGGGUGGUGGCGAACAAUGCAGCUUGCGUUGCGGGAGAUGCCCGCCCGUCGGGCCCGGCCUGCUUCCUGCCCGAAGAAGGCUAGCCGGACUAGUGGUAGGGGACCCGACCGUAAAAAACCCUACCUUUCGAACCCGCCCGUUCGUUAUAUCUAUAGAUAGAGAGAGAUCCGUGAAAGUCAUUGCCUUAUGUUAUGGUCGCCCCCCACGGCCUUUACGCAACUACGACUACUGUGAUGUGAGCGGUUCUAUUGGUUUGAUCUUUCCGGCCUCCACUUGUACGAAGAUGCAUGCAUAAAGGGACCCGCCCCUUUAUUUAUCUUUAUUAGGACAGGACCCUACCCUAUUCUCGAACCCUCUGCCGAGCUCUACCCUGCCCGCAUUUAUUUGGAAGGGGGCCAAAGAAAUGUCUCCACCUGCUGCCAACAGUCUUUCUUCGGAAUUCUACUGAACGGGUCGAUCCUCCCCUCCGUUUGUUUUAGCAACUUAUCCUAAGGUCUCUUCGCCAAGAACUCUCCGGCAACGACAGAGGAACUAACCUGCCUGCUGUGGCGGGGCGGCUUUAAACAACAAUAAGACCUGGACGAUUAUCCCUACCCUCGGUAGCUUACGAGUUUACGUCCAUCCCUGGUCGGGUACAGUUUCCUUUAUUUUUAUCCCUUGUAGCCGUUACCCGAAUUCGCGCAAGUGUGUCCACACCCCCCCUGACUUGACGAGGAAUCCAUUCUCGCGAACAAACACACCCCCCUACACACACCUAGGAGCACCCCUUCCUGCAUAUCCAUACAAGACCUGAGUAGGCGGGUCGAGGUCCUACGAGGUACCCACUACUCGGAGUACCCUCCCACCAAAAAAAGAUGUGUGGUUCGGUGGUUCGACCAGAAAUGCUAUGCUUACGCACAAGACUACCCCUCUUCCCGAAAGCUUCGCGGGGACCUUGACUACUUUACGACGACGGGGGACCGCCCGUAGGGGGUUUACUGCACAAGGCCCCUGCAGAGGAAAAGCUUGAUCCCAGCGAAUAGAAGAUGCUCAGCUCCGCACAACAUAGGGAUUGGCACGCUUUCGGAAAGAACAUAGAAUAGUAGAGGAUCCAGCAUGCAGGACACGGCGAUCAUUAGAAAUUCACGAAUUAGAAAUGCUGUAAUAUACUCUUUCCCAAAACUUCUCAUACCAGACCAACCCACUGAAAUGCAAAUAGGGAUCAGAAAUGUGGUCAAUAUCACGAAGAAUAAUGAAAGACCGUCUAUACCCAUAUACAAAUGGAUGUUUUCAUAAGGAAGCCAUCGAAGGCUUUCCACAAAUUGAGAAUUGGCCGUAGAAGGAUCGAAUUGUAUCCGAGGAACAGGGGGAUACAAAAAAGUAAUAAGAGAAACGCACAGACCAAUCAAUCGUAUCGGUCUUAUUGAAGAAUUUGGAAUGAAAAGAGGAGUAAUGCUUCCUAGCACGGGACAGAGAAUAGGACCACUUAGAUCGAAAUAGCAUUCACUGAAAUGUUCUAACAUAGAGUAGAAUCGAACAUUGAAAAGAUUAGUUGACAACAGUCAAUCAGGCGCCAAAUUACUAAACAAUAGGGGUCUUUCUGUGCAAGUCAGCUGAACACCGUAAUUGAUGAGUGAGUAGGUGGGUUAGGUGCACCCCUCGCCCAGUGGGAAGUCAUGAGGCUAGCCCCCCUGAAUGAAGAAGUAGUGGGGCCCCCUGCCCGCCCACGUAUGCGCCUUUAUUUAGAUUCUAACUAAAUAUUAUACUGAACUUUAUCCGGGAAUCUUUCUAAAGAAUCCAUCUGGCAAAACGCAAUUUGUCGAUUUCAAUUUAAGGUACACCUUACCUUGCCUUUUUCAGGUAGCUUUGUUACGCCUAUUCAGCUAGGUGGGGCAUUGGUCAUAGCCGAAGUCGAAGGAAAAAAAUAAGGUAAUGAGAUGAUGGUGUCAUCAAGAAGUUUUCGACGAACGUAGUAGCAAAUGAAACUCUUGCAUGAAAGACCGGAUUUGACGCAAGAUGAAUUUGGGGUUUUAAAAAUGAAACCCGCGAUCAGAAAGUCACCAACGGAGCCAUACAAUCUAUCUAGUAGUGUGCCAUGGCACGGUACUCCGCUUCGGCAGUGGAAGGAGCAACUGUCUAUUGCUUUUAUCUCAUCCAAGAUAAGAUAGUGGAGAGUCUCCCCAAAAAAUAGAGAAGCCUGUAGUUGAGCACCUAUCUGAAGGCCCAAUCGGCAUCAGUAGUUGCACGCAACUCUAAAGAAGACGAUGACGGAAAAAAGGACGGCUCGAGAAAAGGUACCUCGAAUAUAUCUAAGAAUCCGAUGAACUGCUGCAAAGUGAACUGACCGGGGGGCAGCGCAGCCAUGAAAGGCUGACUUUCUUAAGAAAAGCCAUCUGGGCAAGAGAUCGUCAGAUAAACCAAACUGCCGACCUACUGUCUGUACUGCGUCGGAUCAGAUAAUGGUGAGCCAUCAGUCGGACGGAGUUUAACGUAAAGCUCCAAGGGAGUGUCAACAGUCUUCUCAUCAUUGAGUUGAGCUCGAGUGAUCAAGUCAUGACGUUAUUUGAUCUGAGAUACCAAAUAUCCACGAGGAGAAUGUGCGAUGCGACCUCCAAGCCAAGAAAAGGCUUAGGGCGCGUCAGCGCCUUCAUAGCAAAUAAUUGAUGAAGGCGACACUCGAUCAGCGAUAUGGUAACGGAGUAAUCACCAGUCAGUUUGAUAUCAUCAACAUACAACAACAGAAUAGCACGUCCUCGAGGAUAAACUGAUACGAACAUGGCCGAAUCAUGAUCACUCCGAGCAAACCCUGCCUGGAUAACCACUGUGCUGAACUUCAAAAACCGACGCUAUCGGGGCUUGUUGAGACCAUAGAUCGCUUUGCGUAAAGGACAGACAAGAGAAGAAGUCAGAAGGGCAGGUUCUCUUUCAUCCGUCUUUUCUAGGUGCGCAUCUCUAUCUACUAAAAGUAGGGGUGGUUGCCAUAGAUAGAUUGGGUCAUUCGUAACCUGAGCAAUAACCGAUGCUACUACAGCAAUAACGGAAAUAACCGAUGCUACAGCAGAAACUACAGCUAUACGUGGCGGCCCCACACGCAGCUUUGUUUAACAAGCAUCACCCUUCCUUUCUUUUCAAAUGCUUCCUCAGUCAAUCAGCAGCUUAUUCGAUUCCUAUUCUUAUUAAACAUCUGAUAUAGAUGGUGGGAACAAUGAAGCAGAUUCUUCAUCUGUAGGUUGCAAUCCGUAUGAUUUCUUCUCGAUCUCCUGCUUGUGUUUCACCUCGCACCUAAGCAUCACGUUCCUAGGGACAGAGACAUCUGCGCUCUAAGGCAAUCAUAGUAUAGUAUAGUAUAGUAUAGUACUGCCAGCAUGGUUACAUCGUUCUGCGGGCAAGCUAAGCUUCAACUUAAAAGUCACCUGAUUUGGGCCAAAGGAGUAGGAACAGCUGCUGGGGAAGCACCAUUACCAUCUAUGGGAGGUUGAAUAGCUGCAUAAGUAGUAGUAGGAGCAUGGGCACUGGGAAAAGAUGAAAUCGAUCCAGCUCUGGUAACAAAGCAGUAGGCAAGGCGGAACCUCCUCUACUAAAAUACGAAUACGAAUACGAAUACCCUACUUCCGAGGAGAAAGGACAUCCCUCAAUCACGGGACAAUCCUCCACUCCAGGGCAAAGGUACUUCCAAAGCAGACAAGGUUCAUCUGCGCAUGAAAGGAAUGAAACAAAUUCAAUAGAUUCAAUAGGGUCAUCCCCACCGAGAUCGGUACCUAUCUAGAUCCCCAGCUUCGACAAGGCGUCCUCCUUCGCAUUUUGCGACCAUUCCCACGAGGACUACGAUUCGGAUUCUCCAAUUUCAUCCCCAAUUACACCUCUUAAGAGGAAGGGACGGCCCUCUAUCCGGUGUGGGUUCCUACGAAUUAUUGUAUGGUUUCGGAUCCUGGUCCCUCUGCCCUUGCUUUUUGUUAUUCCAUAGGGGUAUGGAUUGAAGUAAUCACUAAUCCAGGAAAGAUGGAUCUUUAGCUAGCUCUACGGCAAAGCCAAUACGCCAUGUAUCAAAACAAUAGGGAUAGGGGUAAUUGUAUACCACCUACGAAUAGGAAUAUCCUGGGUUUAGUAAUAAAUCGAAUUUCAUCAAUUCUAAGCACGGUAACGGCAGUGCUCCUAUCCAACGGCCGGGGAUCUAUUCGAUUUAUCAAUUUGCUAAUGCCGAAAAGCUUAGGUUGUUAUUUCAUCGUCUUGCGCUAAAAAGGCACCCUCCUAUUAUGCUAAGGCCAGGGACGGAUAACGGCAAAGCGGAACAGCAAUAGCGAAAGCAGGUACAGUAACGGCGCUAUCCCUAAGCGGCUAUGGCGAAUCAAAAUAGAUAAAUUUAGAGCGUUGCGAAUUUCCUUCUAAGGAAAGAUCCUACCAAUCACGGCUUCCUAGCUUAGGGCACCUUCCUUGCUACGAAAACGGAUUACUCUACGGGAUUCGGCUCCAAUUGAUCGGCCGAAGACACCUAUUGUUUCGGAUUUUAUAGUUGCCAUUGGAAAAAAAGGAUUGCGCUAGUCUUGCGUCGGAUAAACGGCUCCUCGGUGGAGUAACGGUUCUAAGGUAGCUAAAUACGCCGCUACUGUGUGGUACAGUACUUUACUUUUCUUCCAAGUUUUCUGCUCGUAACGAUUCCUUUGAGGAAAGGAGAGAGAUUCGAGUUGCUUUAACCCUUGGGGAGCAUAGUUCAGGAACGACUGAGUUCGAUCUGAUCAUUUGGUUCGGAAAAACAGAUACGAAUCUUUGAACGGAAGCCGAGUAAAGGCAGUUCAAAGCAAAGGACCUCUCCCUCUGACUAGGAUGGUAGCUAGCUUCACUCCAAAAAGAAAUGUAGUAAAUGUGGGGGCUAAGGUUUCACCGUCGGUAAGAUUGGGCUCGCUGAACCCGUCUCUCCCCCUGAUUGGGAUCUGAAUGGAAGGGUGGGUUAAAAAACCAUGGCCAGCCCCCCUCAAUAAAUAUCGCCAGUAGGUUACUGAUGGGAUGCUAGCUGCCGGUAUACAGGAAAACCGUGGUGCAGAGGACGAGCAAGAAGACUGUGCUAACACAUAUCCCUUCAAUUUAUUGGUUCUACAGAAGAUGUAUGAUAAAGAGCUGGCAUUAAGUCAUCCAACGCGCUCAGGCUUUGUAUUAUAAGAGGAAAGACUCUCGCCAGUAUAGAUUGAACGUAUGGCGCUUGCUUACAAGACAGCUACUGAAAAAGGCUACUUCUUCAAUCUGCUGAAUGCCCUAUUCCAUAUGAAGUCUAUCUUUCCCAAGCGUAUACUUUUGUUCUAUAAGCAAAUAAAGCAUACUUCUUUUGCGGAUCAAGCAGUCUUCUACCUUGGUGGGUAGCGGAGAAUCAAAGAAAGGAAUAACGCUAGCUAGCGUCGAUUAACUCACUUAACUAGAUGCGAUGCGCACAACCAAGAGGUAGGCGUGUUGCUCUCAGAGAUUCACUGAGUCUGGGGCUGGGGUCCUCUUUCUGCUCGUGCUGCUUGCUAAUCAAUCUACUAGUGCAAAUCCACCAGGGCUCUACUUUCUUCUAACUCUACAUGAGACAUGAGCAAAUGUGGGUCAGCUUCCUCAACUAUACUCUAACUUAGAUUCUCUAUUUGCGGAAAUCUAUUCCUUUCUUACUCAGGUGGUACUACUUGAUAAGCAACUCUCAUAUCUUGUCUUCUCUGUUCGAUGAUGCCUGCCGAGGGACUGACUCCUCUUCUCCUUAGCCUGCCGGUACAGCUCCUUCUGUUCUCGUGCAUAAGCUGAGUCUUUGCUUGGGUAGGGCUAUGGAAAUAGGUAAGAUACUAGAUAAGUCAACUCGAUAUUCCUUUCUUUUCUUUCUGAGGGAAGAGUUAAUGAAUGUCAGAAGCUUAUUGCCUUCUGGCUGGAAUAUAGGGAAAGUAAACAUAGGACCACAGAUGAGUACAUAUAGGCAUUGGCAUAGGUACAGUACAGUGGAGAUCAUUGAUUGGGGUCAAGUCUACCAGCACUCACCUAGAAUCUGUCAUAUUAGUUUAUGAAGUAAAGAAAGAAUGAGUUAAAGUAGGUGUACUUUUGACAUAUUCACAAAGAGUAUCAACCAAUAGGAAAGGAAUAGGCGGCUAGGAGUUUGUUGCUUGGGACGACUAUCAUCUAUCUGUCUUAGGUUAUGUAUUCCUUUAGUGAUUGGAAUAGGACGAGGAGUCUAACUAAGGAGUAUAAUGGAAUUGCUUGUCAACCAUAGGCUUCUUCUACGGAGCUUAGGAGAACUAGAAUCUGAGGAAAAGAAGAAAUGUCUAUCCUUGGGGAUAGAGCAAGGUCCUAUAGCGAGACAUUCUUUCUCUUCCGAAAUCGUAAUGGGUUAGAUAAGUUCCUGCCUCAACAGUCCGGAUUGAAGUCUGGUCAAGAGAAGAGGUUCGGUCAAGGGUGAAGGAGUCGAAUUAGAAUACCGUUGAGAUGACUAAGCACCCAUUCCAUGUCAGAGUUUUUUAAGAAAGCUCUAAGCCCAGUUGAAGCUUAAAGCAAAGAUAGGAUUGAGCUAGAAAAGGCUUUUUUGAAUGUAGGGCGAACCCCCCUCCCCUAGUCAUCGAGGAGGGGAGGUAGCUUAUUGACCAACUGUAUAGGGUAGGCAGGCUGAGUUCCCUUUCGCUUGAUGCAAUGUCAAUUCUAAAUCAAGCAAUUGAUGGAAUCAAAAGAGGGAACGAAAGUAAAUGAGAAAUUACUUUUCACUCGGAAUUCUUUAUUCAUUUGAAAAUGAGACUCUCACUCGCCUUUUUCUUUUCUUAUCCCCUAAUCUACUACUUCAAAGCAGUGUUUCUGCAGUGUUCCUAAGAUGAGCUAUGUCUGGUUUAGUGUCAACUAAUCUUUAACCCUUUGAUGGUAGAGGGGAGUAACUCGCUUUUAGCCCUCUACAACUGAAGUUCUCAUGUACUUAAAUAACAAACAAGAUUGAAUAGGCCACAAGGCCAGAGAAAAGGUAGGUUAAUUGUUCUAGGAUUGGUUGUCUCAUUGACAAGUGAUGGGAGUAUCAGGGUUUCGAUACCCAUGGCAACGUGGAACAAGCGAAAGAAAGAGCCAUGAAAGCCUAAACCUGAACUGCAGAUCCUAGAAGAAAGGUAGCGUAGUCUUGUGGAAAUAUGCCCAUAAGAAUUCCAAGAACAAUCAAAUAAGUAGUGAAUUCCCAUAAGGAAGAGAAGACACCCUAAACUCUAAAGUACUAACUAAACUAGAUCUAGAUAAAGUACUGACUAAACUAGAUAGGCCCUAGCCUUCGCUAGGUUAGGGUUGCGAUUGUGAUAAUCCGGGUCAGUCGAGGCUGGUAAAGUAACUAAGUUGCAAAGAAAACCUCAGAUAGACUAGCUUAGGAAAUGGUGAAGCUUUAGAAUUACCAAUGGAUAAACUGAUAUGGGACUGAAACCGAUUUCCAUAGUUCUGAGGCAUGGGAGAAGUGGAUUCAAUGGGGAUGAUGAUGGCCCGAGAUAAGAAUGGGAAGUUGAUCAAGAGUGCUGGCCGUGUUGAUGCCGUUGAGUUGCCAGAGAAGAGUUCAUUGCCCUAACGGGAAUUUGCAGAAAUUCUGCGAUACCUGAUACUUGAAACUCGAUCUAUUUCACCGUACUUCUACUAAUACUAAAGCUAAGCCUAAUAUUGCAAUGAAGCUAAGAAUGAGUCAGUUGUGCUACUGCUUCCAUUCCUCGCAUUCAGCUUGAAGAGCCAUAUUGAACAACUAUAAAGAGCAUCUACCACUGCUCGGAUUAGCCUCCCUCCUAUCAUUCUCAUAAGGAUUGGCUUCCGCUUACUUUAGGUCUUGACUUCCUAUCGGGAUAGACAGCUCAGAUUACAUGCUUUAGAUUGAAGCUACUGCUCCUCUUUCUUUCAUUAUCUCUUAUUCUGCAUCCUAUCCACCAUAGAAUACUCUCUUCCAGUCCUUUGAUCAUAUAGCCAUCCAUCUUUCAUCAAUGAAAUUGUUCCGUAUGGGUAGCAAAUAAACAUAUCAGAAGAGCCAACCCGAAAGCACUUGCUUCAAAGAAGAAGCUGUUACCAAGAAAUUCCUGUUUCAAGUCUGUAUAUCUCGAUAGAACCAAUUCCAAUCCAGGUAGUGUGAACAGAGGAUGUGGAAGUUCUGUUUCCUUGCCUUGGCUCUAGAAGUCAAGUCCUGUCGGCGGACAUAAGACGGAACCCCGGUGGUUUGAAGGCACGUAGCCACUGUGUCUAAGAUUGAGCAGGCGGGUACGGUUUCGGAAAUGACAUAUUGAAUAGGUCUGUAUACCCUCAAGGGAGUUCGUUCCAUAGAGAUCUGCCUUCUAAAAAGCUUUGCUCAUUCUGCAAACUACUCCCACCAGUCACUGAGCUAGAGACUGGCACGAGAUGUUGUGUUGGUUUAUUAGAACCAUACCAAGUUCCUAAGAUUACAAGAUUCAUAACUAGCGUGAUCAACGAGACCUCCUCGACAUUAUAAGGUUCUCAAUCAGUUCAGUAAAGUACGAGCGCCAGGAUAGAUUCCUUCUCACUAAUAAGCUCCUGCGGCCAGAAAACUCAUUUUUGCGGGAUUGUUAACCCCUUUCUGAACCAACCUUUGGAAAGCUCUUCGCAGCAUGGAAAUAUUCACCCGAGACUGAAAUGGAGGCAUAAGUAGGCCAGCUUACACUAAAUGCUCCGGAUAUUCUUAUAUCAAUCCUAAAAACGAACUGUUGAUGUGUAAGCCAACACCUUGUGAACGUCGUAUACUCGGUAGUGACAGUUGGAAAGCUAGCAAGCAAGUCAAUAAAAUAGGAAUGCCCCUUCCAACCUCAAAAACCUUUGAAAGCUGGUGAAUUACAUCUAGCUAGCCGGGAAAGCAUUCCCCUCCUACGACUAGGAUAGUGCUAUUAGUAAGUAUUCGUCCCUCCGCUAACUAAACAGCUCACAGUUCUCUAUCAGUCCCUAAGCCUAUGCCUUCUUCUGUCAAUCUUGUACUUACUGUGAAGUACAGCAAGGCAAGAAGAUUCCCAAUAAAGUCCAAUGCGUCCUCUCAUGCGUGACAUACAUUCCAAGCCCAGACAUGUUGUACCUUAGGGCUGAACAACUAGUAAUGCAAUCAGACUCUUGAGCCCAGUUCCUAGUAAAUGCUUUAGGCCCGGGACCUAAACAAGAUGCCCAAAUAAGAACAUCCACGCCCAUACUUUAUAUAUAUUAUAUAUAUAUAGUGGAAAAAGCCCAUACUUUAGAGUUACUGCUUCAGGAUAGCUAUUCCUCUCCGACUUACUUUUCUGAUCUGAGAUAGGGUUACCCCGGUACUAUCAAUAGCGAAGUAACUGAUUGCUUGGGAGCAUUUGUUGGCAUGUCAUAGAGAGCCAAUCAGAGAGUGCAAGUACGAGUUCAAUUUUCCAUGUGAUGAGUAGCGGCGGUAUCACAUAAAGAGACAGGCUCCACAAGAACAUUCGUUCCUAGGUGCAUGACUUGGAGGGGAGCUCCUUCUUGCUAAGAGUGCCAGUGGAUUCUCCUCCUAUUCCUCGACUCUUUAUUAAGGAGACAGACCGGUAAUCUCGCUUCUGAUAAAAGAUCGGCUAUUCCCCUAAGAAAGCAAAGGGGUAUUCUUCCUUCAUAGAUUCCCGAUGCCGAGCUACUCUUGAUAGGCUUUCCAAGACCAAGUUUAUAGAAUGAUCCCUUGCACAUUGAGCAAGACAGUGUAUUCUUUAGGUUGGAGUAAGAUCAAUGGAGCCGAAAGUAAAGCAUCGGUAGUGAGGCUUUCCUCCAUGAGGAAUUAAUCCUUUGGUCGUCAAUGGGAACUUUAAGACGAGAGCCAAUGUGUCCAAACUUCCGGCUGAAUUGUUGCUUUCUAGUGGCCGACCAUCCUUUCCAGACCUUCUCUAGAGCUCUUCAAUCCUUCCUCCUAAGAUAAGAUAAGAUAAGAUCCAGGCUAACUUUUUCAAGCAAUGGAAUGACUGGUAGGCGAUCUCAGGCUCGCUCGUCGUUGGGUAGUUUCCGAUAGUUCUAUCACCAUUCCAGGCUCUUCGCAUAUAGAGAACUCGAAGGUGGUCGAUGUAAUAGAGCAGGCCUGAGGCCAUUACGUACUUUCUUUGUUUAAGUUAUUAUUGAGAGGGUCUUUCAAUGAUAGCUAUACACAAUGAGCGCUGUUUUCUACAUGCGAGAUGAGAGCGGAUAAGGCUAAAAAGAGAAAAAGCAGGGCUUGGCUUAUUCUAUUCAUCUGCACCACCUGACAGAGAUUCUUUCACAGCCUCGUUCAGCUAGUAGAAUUCUUUAUAGAUCUCGUUCUUUUCACUUUCUGGGCUGAGACCGUCCAAUUUCAUUCUUGCCUGGGAUCGGAACUCACACUCGAUCCCUACUCUUUCCUCGUACUUCACAGGUUUUCGAGGCCGAGGGUGAACUGGACUCGCAUUCACUUGCUGGGAAAAAGAGAGUGGAUCAGGCUACGACUGAGGCUGAGGAUAGGUCACAGGACGGAUGAGGUAAAGUAUUCCAAAACGGAGGAUUCCAACCCGAGGAAGUAGGUCAACCACCUGCUCCGUGGAAGUAGUUAGGGGAUAAGCCCAAGGAGGAUAGGCCUAUGGGAUUUCCACAAUGAGUCCUAGUACCAGGUAGGUUAAGGCGUAAUAAGUCAAAGAGGUCUUAGCGGAACUCGAUAAAAAGGAGGGAUGUGACUCAUCAAAGGAAGUUGCCGACUCGGGUAGGUAAGCAAGAAAGUAGACUCCUUCAUCGGCCAGGGUACUCCUGAAAUCUAUCUCAGUAGGGAAAAGAGGAGUUAUGGUAUAGAGAAUUCUGACCUAAAUGGAUGCAUUGAUUAGGGUCUUUGUCCCGCAUCCUUACGAAUACAAGAGUGGUUUUUUUUGGGUAUAGCAGGACUUGAACCUGCGACCAUUAGGUUAAAAGCCCAAUGCUCUACCAACUGAGCUAUACACCCUAUUUUACAAGAAGGCUUGGUGCGGAAAAGAAAAGAGGGUGGCCUGGCCCCUUUUCUUCUUAUCAUAUCACAAGGGCGCGGCUCUGUAUGGGGCUCGUACUGCGGAGCAAGUCUGGGAGUCCUUUCCACUCAUUGAGGAUUCUAUCUAAAAAAGAAGGUCAACGGGGGAGACUACAGUAGCUCGAACUCAGACUAUCUACGAAAAAGCUAAAACUCCCUUGUCUUCAACUAUGAACUUACAUCUAUCGAUAACACGGGCUUCUUAGGUCAAUCACAUCCCCAGGAACUUCUAACUGGCCUAGCAAGGACGGGCAUCUUUCAUCAAUUGAUUCGAUUUAACGAGAGGCUCGGAGAUGGUAUACGUAGAAUAGGGGAAAGUAAAGACAAACUUCGGUCAAUUUACGUUUUCAAAACUACAGCUAUCUUGCCUAGAGUCCCAGAGCUUAACGGAACUCUUGUUUACUAUAAGAAUAAGAAUAAGAAUAAGAGCCCACCGCUUUAGAAGUGCUUUCCUCUCUCUUUCUUUCGAACCAUAAACUCCGAAGCGGUUUCACUUUACCAUACUGGAGAAGGGCUUCACUCGCGCCUUGGGGACUGAACUAGAGUACAGAACUAGCUUCCUCUGUACAUAUUGUUUUCGGGUAAUAAUACUAUCAUUGAGAAAGAAUAGAUAACGACUAUCAGGCAUAUGACUGAUUUCUAUAUGGGUGUGGGCUCAUACUCUCAUUUUAUCCUUGCUCGCGGAAUACGUCACUUAAAAUAAGCUAUUGACGUCUUAGUUCCGACCUUGUCUCCUUUCUUUCUUUUGUUCACCGGUGCAAGGCAAGGGCGGAGCUCUCUUAUGUUCAUCUUCCACGCCUGUCUGCAUCCCAAGCACUAAAUGAGUGAAAUCCAAUCCCGGAAAAAGGCUCUCUUGCAUCUUUUGCUUCCCCACCCGGCCUCUAUUCUAGAUUCACCGUCUUCGGAUGCAUCAGUUUAUUAUGCUUAUGCCUAAUCUUAAUACUGGCUAGUUACUUCAAUUACCUUACCCCUCCUUUUAAGGAGGUUUCAGAGCACCCAGUCACAGCUCGUCACAAGAAAUGAUGGUCGAGUCCCCGUGCAUGAAGUCAGUGGAUUCGAGUGAACUGACCGUACUACAAAUCGACAUACUUGAGGAAGCUUCUUACUAAACCAAAGAAAGGGCAGCUCCAGUUGUGUUGUCGAUUCCCUUCUCCCGAGAGCUUUCACACUAUACUUCUACGAGUACGAGAAGGUUUUAUUGAAAACGUUCGAAAACCAUAGGGAAAGUAACAAAUCUUUCUUGGCACGUGCCCCUGCUCCUGGUCUUCGAACUAGUCAUUAAUGGUCGGCAACAUAGGUACCCUUUUUCGGUAUGCGUUGCGAACACUUUCAUUUUUAGCGUCUCAUCUUCUCUGGAGAAGCUCAAAUCGAACGGAUAGAGCAGAUGGUCCAACUACAGAACUUCUUCUUUUUCAUUACUUCCAUGGUCGUGCCCCGUGGCACGGCAGCACCCGUACUAUUGAAAUGGUUCGUCAGUAGAGAUGUUCCCACUGGUGCCUCUUCUUCCAAUGGUACUAUAAUUCCUAUUCCUAUCUCUUUAUUCCCUUUUUUGGUCUAUCUACAUUCAAGGAAAUUCAUACGCUCCAUGGACAGAGCAAAAAGUGGAGUGUUGGUCAAAGCAAGCCGCCCUAUUCUAUUACCAGACAAAAUUGGGAGAAGCUCAUCCGCUAGAAAUGCUUUAUUUCGUUUCGUUCCCGUUCUUCAUUUCCUUAUUAUCGAAUCCAUGGGGGACUUGUCAUAUUUAGAAUCUUUCUGCGGUCUGCUCUGUUUACAAUUCUUUCGUACUCUCUUCUCUUUACCACGCGAUAGGUCAGCGAAGCGUGAGCGGGCGCUCCGAAGUAAAGGCCAAACACUUCGGCCUAAGGGGAAUGAGCAACAAAAUGACAAGAUGAGGUGCCCCGGGCACCCCCAUAUAGAAAGAAGGGUCGAAGGUUUUGGGCCUGUAGCUUUCCCCGCCCCCCCCUCGUCGAGUGGUGCUUGUUUGGGGGGUGUGCCACCUGAAAUCGGGCUUGAAGCUCUCGCCUUACCAACGAGCCGACUGUUGAUGGCUGUUGGUCACGACUACUACAAAAAAGUGAAGAUGAAUCUUUCUAUUUCACAUGGAGGAGUGUGCAUCUUUAUGUUGGGUGUUCUUCUGUCGUGCGACCCGAUGGCUUAUGUGCGACCUGUGGCCCACGCCUCCUAUUCUAUUUGUUCAGGGCGGGCGGCGUGAACUCUGAUUCGAUCCGGGUAUUCAAUCCCGCCGCUGAGAUGCUCAGUUGACUCCUUAACCUUGAUAGGAAGAUGGCUUAUUCCUAAAUUCGUGCAUAAGGGUAAGGAACUUUGGAUGAAUUAAUGCGAAUGGGUGUAAGCCUCGCAGCUCGGAAACACCCAGUGCUGACCACACUGAGAGACACGAAAGCGCAGGUAAUGCCAGUUGGCGAAGUGGCGUUAAGCAUCCCUAGCGGUACGCAAAGAGAGGUCGUGAUGAUAUCAUCUACGUCCGUACCGCUCCUCGUGGAGUAGAUCCCGCAUCCAACCAACCCUUUUUUUACCAGGGAACGGGAGAAUUCCCACUACCGCAGGCAGGCCAGCCGGGCCGUGAGCGCGGUGGGAACGGGCUUCCCAAAAAGCGAGCCCCGGCCCGGGUCAGCAUAGAAUGGGGGGGGGGACGGCCCUAAUGUUGUGUUGGCCGGGUUGCGGGCGGAUAAAAGCGGACGUGGGGACUCGGGUCGGGGCACAGCGUAACUAAGAUAAGAGAGCCAUUCCAUUUAGUGCGAGACAGAAUGGGCGGGCACAAGCGGUCUGGUGUCCGAGCCGAUUGGUCAGACGACGACUACUGCACAUAUUAUAUUAGCCGCCUAUCCCGGAAUGGACUGGGAUGGAAACGCGAAGCAACAAGCAAGGGAUGAGCGCUUUGUUGCUAAAGCGCAUACGUUUUCUUGGUUUGUUUUUUGGGGGUGGGGCAAUAAGCUUGCUUCUUCACAAGCUUAUCCCCGCCCCCUUUCCUGUCCGUCCCGACCGGCAGCAGUUGGGUCUCCCCAUCUCUCCUCAACUUCCCCGGUCUUCGGCCCGAGCUGUAUGAGGCAGAAACUCGUCCCACGUACGGUUCGGAGGCCGAGCCCCACCCCUGCAAUAAUGGUGCAGCUUAGGUCAACUAAUACGAAUAAGAUACAGUUCACUCAACGAUUGCCUUUGGGUCCCGAACUCCAUAUGGGGAAGGAACGUUGUUGUUUGCGAGGUCUCGAUCAUUUACAUGGACCCACUUCUCAUUCCAUUUGUGGGAAUUUUAUGAUUUAUAAACCGUCCCCAACGAGCGAAAGGUUCAUGUUUGAACAUGAUGAAUCACUUCGUGCCGACCUGUUGCCCAUAAACUUUCCUGCCUCAUAUGAGAAUGGAAAACUGGAAGAUUUUCUGAUGAAGAAUCACGAACAUAAGAAUUUCUGGUUUAGCAUGUUCCCAGAAAGAAGAUACUACUGGUCGCGAGAAACGAGGAGCACGACUGAAGUGGCUAUACAUACAAAUCCAUUGACGGAUCUAUAUGCUCCGAUUGGAACUGGAAGUUCCAGAACUGGCGGCUGGUAUACCACCAUAAUGAAAUUGCCUUUUAUUUUUAGUAUUCGGAUAGGAUUUCUGUUGGCUUCAUCGGGAGGCUCGCGUAGUUUGUUACGUCAACUCCAAAAGGAUAAGUUGCAUUGGAAUCGAGAAAGUUUCGUUCAUAAUUGCAUAAAAGGAGUCAAAAUAGUGGCUGCGGCGCGUCGAGGGUUGAUAUCGAAUAACCUUUCGAGCCUUCCCCAAUGGAUCUCUAUCCUCCUUUGAAACCAGUAGAAGUUCACUGACCAUCCCUGUCAAACAUAACCCAAGGUAGGAUCGAGAGGAGAAGAAUAGGACUCUUGCUAGUAUCAUAACCUCUCGAUGGGAGAAUGAAACCAUUAGAUUAGUGGAAAGAAGAAAGAAUGGGAAGAAAGCAGCCAUGGGCAAGCUUUAAUUAAUAUAAAUAAGUAGGAGUUACAGCCUUUAAAUUAGAGUGAAACGAGCCUUUGACGUAGUCAGAAAUUCUACUGCCCUUUCUCUUCUUUCUUUUUUAUUUUUUAUUCUAGUUUUUUAUACUAUACGUAUAAUCACCUUUCCGGGGAAGGGGUAACAUAGACGGAGGCACAUGUAGACAGAUACAGACUUUUGAAAUCUUUUGCCUAAGCGAAGUAGAUAAGUAUGAGGGAAGAAGUAUUUUAUUGUCCAGCAUGAUCGGUUUCAUAAGUCCAGUUGUGCCAGAAGCUAGAGUUGCCUUUAUUAGUGGAUAAGGGUGGGUUAGGCAUGACAUUCUUAAUCGUAGACAAGGCGCGCUGCGGAAGAGCUUGAUUGCUAACUAAUUGCUUGCUUUUAACCAGUGACUGACUUACACGGCUACUACUUUCCUGAGUACCGCUUCAGAAUCGUUCCUACUUUCCUUUUUAAAGGUCUUCCUCUCUCUACUAGGAUUGACUCGCUUAGAAGUCGAGGGGGUCCCAUUUCCAUUCCUUUGCCAAAGACCCUAACGACAGCUUGAACUACCUCAAAGAUUUGUCUCAUUGAUCCGAAAAGAAAGGAAAGAAGAGGAUUCCUGGGAAGGAUAGAGUAUAUCAGCAGGUUCAUCGCACAGCUCACUCCAAAAAGGAUUUGAGUGGAAGGUUGAGCGCCCCUUAACGUUUAGAAGUAUCCUUUUUUCAACGGUUAGAAACCUUUCUAUUCUAAGACGGCUAGGCUAAGUCGAGGGCAGACACAACAGGUCACGAAGAGCUAGAGGAUAUAGAAUUCCUAUUUACCGGGAAGAAAAGCGGAAGGAAACAUCGGCUCUUCCGAGAUCUUAUGUAAGGAAUACUAGUUCUCUAAAAAGUAGAGCUAAAAGAUCUUCAAGAAAUGUCUUUCCCGCGGAAGACUCUAACUCCUCAUAGCAUUACGCUAAUCCGCAAAUAUCGAAUGAUGCUUCGACAGAUUCAGUCAUCCAUUCAGCUUUGAAAUCGGAGACAAGGAAAACUACUUCAUAGAAAUAGAAAUAGAAGCGCCGCGGAUCAAUAUAGAGAUGCGAACCAAUAUCCUUUUCCUGGUGGACUCUGAAGUACUCGUCUUUUGCACAAGGCCUCGUGUCAAAUAACAUCCAACCACGUCCACGUCCUCCUACCUCGCCCAUUUGCGGAGAUCAUCUACAUUUUGCUUCGUGUCGAGCUCUAAUCCAAACGUUUUCCUUCGGGAGGGCAUUGCUGCUUUCUUUCUGUAGUGAGGCUGGCUCUUAAAAAUGAGCUAAACUCUGAUAGAUUUAAAGGUAAAUUUAGGUAUUCUUAUCUUAUAUGUAUCGAGUGAUUGUGAAGCGCAUUCAACGCGCUAGAUAUGAACAAGGCUUGUUAGCAUUGGCACGUGCAUAUGUUGGGUAUGAUAUUUACUUUCCAGCAUUGAUUUAUUUUAGAGGGCGCAUCUAUCGUGCAGGAAUACUACACUUUCACGAGCGGGACUUUGCUAAAUGUCUAAUAUCUUUUCCUAUUGGUAGUGGUGAUGUUAAGUUCACAGGAAAAGAAGACAAGGAAGAAGCUACUACUUAUAUGAUUGAGCAAGCUGUGGGUUUCCAUCAUCAUUUGGCUUUGCCCUUCCUCCUCGUUUUUCUUUGAGAUUGGCAAUCUUAUCCACUUUUUUACUUUGCUCCACACAGAUGAAGGCAAGCUUGUCUUCGCUCUAUCUUACCAGGAAAGUAGGAAAUACACACCCCUGUUGGUUAAAGCAGACUCGUAUGCCUAUUCUGAUGCGGAGGGAUCAGCCACCUCUUUCUGUUCGAAAGAUUCCAGACCUGACUUAAAGCCCUCUUUCACAAGACAUUUGGUUGAUCAGGAUUUGGUAAACCUAGAGAUCUGAUUCUGGGAUAGGGUAAAUCUGUUCUUUCUGCUUCUGCCUAUGCUUGUCUUUUAGCAUUCGCCUAUGCGGAUUGAGAUAGAUAUUGAUAUCUAUCUGGGCGAAAGAGCACAAAAGGGAGUGGUUUGGCCGCUAAGAACUUAACUCCUAGGCGAUGGAAAUAUAGAAUCUAUGUAUGGCUCAGCCAUCUCUUCUUGAACUUGCUGUGGAACUUCUCUAUCUUUGUCAUUAAAGGCUAUGUAUCCCUUUCCCUCAUUAGUACUCAAGCACUAGAACCGCUUACUGAUUCAACGACGGUUACUGAUAUGCCAUGUUGAUCGUCAUUUCUCGUUGAAUGGUUCUCCCUCCUGUAGCUCUGUGGGCAUUCAAACCAGAGUUUAUGCGGUUGGCUAUGUCCCUUCUAGAACUGCUGUUUUUAGCAAUUGACAGAAAAAGUUCCGUAAUCGUCCUAUUUUUUCGUCCUUGUGGAAGCGAGAAAUGCGUAAUUAAUAAAUAUAGUGAUGUGAUGAUUCCAUGAAUCUCAGAAAAGGUAGGGGUCAAGGACCUUAUGGGACUGCAAUCGUGCCUGCCAAUUGGGGAAGGACGCGGGCCUGGCAACCGCUCGGCUCUAGUAAGGGAAACAGGUAUGUCUCACAUCAUUGCUCGAAGACUGGAAAAACAGCAAGUUAGCUCAGUUGGGUAGAGUGCUGGUCUGUCACGCCAGAAGUCGCGGGUUCGAACCCCGUUUUCCCCGCACGAUCUGAAACUAAUAGAAUAGAAGGGGCCAUAAACAGGAGAGUCUUGACCAAUUCAUUUGGUGUAGUUGAAAUAACGGAAUUGGAAGUUGUUCGGUCAAGUAUAGGAAAUUAAUAUAAGAAUGAAUAACUUUCUCAAUGGUUUAUUUUUUGUCUUUUAUUUAUCUUAAUAUUCAUUCCAUUCAGGCCAUUCGCAAGCAAGCACGAAAAAGCUUCUAUUUCUAAACGGAAACGCCCAGCCCAAUACAUCGAAACUCAUUACCCAUGGGCAAAGAAAGCCAGUCGAGAAAAAAAAAGAAAACAAACAUGGUUUAGCGGAUUCGGAAUUGUAACCAAGCAUCCUGGGUUCUAUACCCGAUUCAACACUAGAGCAUGCAGCCGAUCCUGGAUACAGAACUAUAGAAAGUGUGCAGUGAGGGAUCUUUAUUGGUAGCCAGUCUUUCACUUCCGCCUCUCCACUCCCAUGCCUUUCUUGGUCGGACCAACCCAACCGGCGAUUUCCGACAAGUCUUUCUGCUUAGAGCAAGAAGCGGAACAAAAAUCAAGCUUUCUUUAUUUUCAUUUAUGGAUAACCAAUCCAUUUUCAAAUAUAGUUGGGAGAUUUUACCCAAGAAAUGGGUACAUAAAAUGAAAAGAUCGGAACAUGGGAAUAGAUCUUAUACCAAUACUGACUACCCAUUUCCAUUGUUGUGCUUUCUAAAAUGGCAUACCUAUACAAGGGUUCAAGUUUCGAUCGAUAUUUGCGGAGUGGAUCAUCCCUCUCGAAAACGCAGAUUUGAAGUUGUCCAUAAUUUACUGAGUACUCGGUAUAACUCACGCAUUCGUGUACAAACAAGUGCGGACGAAGUAACACGAAUAUCUCCGGUAGUCAGUCCAUUUCCAUCAGCCGGCCGGUGGGAGCGAGAAGUAUGGGAUAUGUCUGGUGUUUCUUCCAUCAAUCAUCCGGAUUUACGCCGUAUAUCAACUGAUUAUGGUUUCGAGGGUCAUCCAUUACGAAAAGACUUUCCUCUGAGUGGAUAUGUGGAAGUACGCUAUGAUGAUCCAGAGAAACGUGUGGUUUCUGAACCCAUUGAGAUGACCCAAGAAUUUCGCUAUUUUGAUUUUGCUAGUCCUUGGGAACAGCGUAGCGACGGAUAAUUCCGAAUCUACAUAGGUCUAGUCCAGGGGAGGGGACAAAUCAAUAGGAAAUGCUAUUUGCUUCUUAAUCUUAAGACUUAAGAUAAGAAGAAGAACUUUUUAAAAAUGAAAGAGUCGGAUAUCAUAUCAUUUCUUCAAAUAAGGAAGAAGAAGUGUUAUCGAAGGAUUUCCUUCCAUUCUUCCUAGUAUGGAAGAAGUCAAGAAAAAGUACUGCGUCUCGAUCUAUACGAAAGGGCACAGGUUUUUUCUUUUGGUUUCAUUGAUAGCAGAAGAGUACGCUAGCUAGCGGAGCCUGAAAACGCUUGCUUGCGCCCCACCCCUACGCUACGGAAACUAUUGCCUAUGCUUGCUGCUCGCUCAGUGUCAGUAGAAGGGAAGAAAAGAUGGUCACUCCUUUUAGGAACAUGGCGAGCCUUACUUACGACUGUUGCACUUCACUCGCAGCUCGUUCAUUCACUUGCUCAUGAACUCGCAGCUUCGCCAGAAGCGACUAGUCGCCUCCUUUCCUCCGCCGAAAGAUGCUUAGCUUAGCCAGACGAAGGAGGGGAGCUGGGGAAGGCCGACGAUGGCAAUGAGGGGGAAGCUGUCGUAGAAGCUUUGCCCCUUGCUUUACAUAAAUUGUUAUGAACUUACUAAAUGACCUUAUUUAUUCUCCCGGAACGCUAGCAAAUCUAAUAGUUCCAUCUGCUCUUCUUAACUUAACUUAAGAAUAAGAACGAAGGCCGCCAUCCUUCUUAUUCAGGAACCCUUUGUUUGAGGAGGGCGUAUCCCAGGGAAGGGGAGAGUGGCCGAGCGGUCAAAAGCGACAGACUGUAAAUCUGUUGAAGGUUUUCUACGUAGGUUCGAAUCCUGCCUCUCCCACUUGUUGUAGACUUAAGAGAAGAGAAAGUAGGCGGAAGCCUAGGAGGGCCAACCGAGCGAAGCUCUUUCUUUUUUUGGCCGUGCCGUGAAGUGCAAUUUUAUCGUAUGCGUUUUAGAGAGGUUGUCGAAAAAGACGAUCUAUAGAGAUUCCCCAUCUAUAUCCAAUCGAGAAUAGAAGCGAGUCCAGUUAGUACGGACUUGGGGAAGAGUGGUGGAGCAACUAUUGGUUGGUCGGAGAGGGCGAAGAAAACAUGACUCUGGUGGGCGUAAAAGAGCAAAACCUUAACGAUGUGUGAGCGUUAGCGAGUCUGUCCUUUCUUUCUAUCUAGCUGGUACCAACAAAACAAGUCUGUUCUAGCUUUCUCGUGGACAAGAUGGCAAAAAUUCAUCUUUCCUUUGAUUUCUUGGUGGUACAGACGGCCGAGCUCCUGCGAGGGGUAGGGUAGAUGAGUACCGAGCGGAAGAAGAAACCGGAUUGAUUGAGAAAGCAGACCGUCCAGAAGCAAGGUUAGGAUACCGUCCACCCGAAGAGUACGGGGAUGGAGGGAGGAAAGUGGGAAUAAACCGUCUGUCAGGUAGGACUGGUGGUAGAGAGGGUAUAGAUGGUAGAUCAACUCUGUUUAUGGUGGGGGAAAAGAAACUCUUCUGAUCGGACAGGAGUCGAAUUAGCCCUCUUUCUAUCGCUACGCCCGUUUUGUGCCGUCUAUUUUCUUUGGUAACUCAAUUUAAUUUCUUUUCAGAAACCUAAUAAGCCAUGCCUGCAACUAGUUAUUAAGCAAGGGUAGUCAACUCCACUCUUUUCGCCAGAAGUCUUAUUUUUAAGAUGGAAAAGAAGGACAGAUAUAUCUUGACUAGUACAUCCGCCUUGCCAUCCAAAUCAUUAAUCUAUUUAUUUUAUUAGUAUUCUGCGUGGAUAUCCCGACCUUGUUAAGGAUAGAGGUAGGGGUAGGUGUUGGGCAUGCGGAGACUUAAGACCUUCGUAGGCAAUCAGGUAUGGCUUUGGUUAAGUGAAUUUACGACUCCAUCUUCACCAGUAGCCAAGGUAGGCAUAAUACGCGUGAGCUCUUUCAAGUCUUUCGUGCGGGUAUACGUUGAGCUAGUCCUCGUACUCCUUUUCUUAGCUCUUUUAGAAAGAAUCUUAUUUUUCAUCGUGUCAGGUCCUGGAUGUAGACUCGGCUAUGGUAGGAUCGACCUAAUUGUGAUCAUUCUCCGCUUCGUUCGCUGAUCUCUUGCUAUUGCUUUUUCUCUCUAGCCUUGUCAGGCUGGGCCUAGGGUUUCCAUUCCUAAGGCUUUUUCUGUUUCAAAGUCCGACUGCUAGAAUUCUUAUAAUGAAAGUCUUCCUAGCACGGACUAUGGCUGCUUAUUAAUUAAGUAAGGGAAAACAUCUUACCAUAGGAUCGAUCAUAAGGCCUAGGUCUUUCUUCAAAGAUAAGUACUGACCUUUCCUACUGUGUCAAAGCACUUUUGCUAAGCCUCACGCUUAAGCAAGUAUUUCAUCUGCAUAAAGGAGGAAGUAACUUACCCUUGAACAAUCGCCUGCUCUAGCAUAUUGGAAAAGGCGUGCAUAGGUUGACUAGUCUAAAAAGAGAGGCUUCCUUAUAAGGGCAUUGUCGCUCGCUCGGAUUCAUUUUCCAGGUCCUACAUGUUCUAGGACUAUAGAUGAUCCAACAUGCCUAUAGUUUUCAUUAUUGUUUUAUGCUUUAGCCUCCUUUUAUAAGCACUUACUUGGCCCAUGCGAGUCGAUUUCAAGAUGUCAACUUUGACUAUCUUUCUCUUCUUACUUUACUUAUCCCUUACAUUACUUUACCUAGUAACUUUGAAAUAGGCAUAUCUUGUCUACCUUCCAUAUACCCUAGCAUUUCUACUAGUUGUUUUCUUGCAUAUAUCCAACCUGAAAUACCAUUGCUUCUUGUAGGUUUUUACUUCUACUUUCUUGACUAUAAUUACCUAUACUUGCCAUCCCGUCUUUCUAUUCCUUUUGAAAGUAAACUUGUGACCCUUCGAAGCUAUGAAAAGACCUAUUAUGUAUAGAGCUUGACAUGCCAACUACUAUAGCUAUAGUAAGUACUUCUAGCUAUUCCUACUUGUUUUUUUCCUACUUGACUAGUGCUGACUUACUUCUUUGCCUAUGAGAAUUCUUAUUAUUCUCCAAACUGUGGUAUCUGAAAUGACCCACUUUCCUGAGCAAAAGAAAGCUUACUACAGCACGGUCUUACGUCCAGGAAUGGAACAUUCCAUCUCUUCUUGUCCACUGGUAUAGAAAGAAUAUGCAUUUUCUUGAUGUUUCAAACUAGGACUUUGGAUUUCUCCUAUAUUAAGUUGUUGGGUACGAAGGAGCUUAUGUUGCGUAUAUAGAUAUUUCCUUAUUAUUAAGUUGUUGAGCAGGAAGCAGAAGAACUUUUCUUCUAUAUUCGAUUCGCUAUUUGGCACAAGGCGAGGAGGAAAGAAUAGAAGAAGCAUCUGACUCUUUCAUGCAUACUCCACCUGGAUGAUAUAGAUCAUACUAUUAGGUAGUCUCCGAAUCAGUGAUCUGUCUUUGAUGACAUCUAUCUGGUACCACGCAUGAAGCUUGCUUCGUUCUGGUUUUUUCUGGUGUGUGAAACAUUAUAGGAUGGGGCGAGCCCCAGAAAGAAAUCCUGGGCAGUGGUUUACUUGAUUUUCUAAGAACUAAGACUGGCGAAGGGAAAGGAUGGUAAAGAUAUUGAAGUACUCACCAAAAACUAGGAUGAACCGACAGCUUCGAAAAAAGAAGAAGAUUAACUUCCCCUACUACUUACUACUCGACGAUUCGACCAUUCAUGGUUGGUGUGGCUCCUAUUCCUCGAUAUGCCGGACCUUCUUCUACACUACCACAAGUUCGUAGCUUGCAAACUCCCGAUUUGCCCAUUAUUUAAUCGCGCCUUUGCUUUGAAAAAAGGUGCUUUCACCACAGCACAGACAUGCCAGUAACUGACGAAUUGGAUGCUCCAGCAGUAGUUCCAGUUCCGAAGGGAAAAAAAAAGGGAAAGUCCCGCUUGUCAACCAUGCCUGAGCCCAAAGGAAAAGCAGUACCAAUCCGCUUCAAAGCUUCAGUCCUAGCUAGCCUAUCUUCGACGUCAGAACCAAUUUCUUCAAUUCAAAAGCUUUCUUCAGCUCGCCCUUGUGCUUACGCCAGCCUUUGUUCACUUGUCUCGGGCUUACUUCUAGACUUGGAUGGACUUCGAUCUUCAUCUUUAGUAAUACCUAACGUUGCUAGGGUCUUCCAUGCUUAUAAAGUAUUACUAAAAAGAAUCUUUUUUCCUAGUGUUUAACUUUUUCUCAUUCUAUUUAUACAACCCAUUUUCCUUGAUACUGGAAUCGAGCUACUUCCAUUUUUUUAGGUAAAGAUCAGGCGGGAAAGCUUACACCACCCAUAUUCUUCUUUAUGUGGCUGACCUAUUUGUUCACUUUUCACAAAUCAUGUAGCAAUUUCGAAAGAGAGAUCAGGAUCAGAGCAAAGAAGCUGCGAAAUGAGGGGAGGAGACUCUGCCUCCAUAGUAUAAGUUGCUAUCCACUUAUGCUUGGUUUGUGCUUUACCACGAAAUCUUGCCUCUCACCAUCAUGAAAGACAGAUGAUGAUGUCGAUUUCUUACUGUCGAGACAGCCUGUCCGAAUCCAAAUCAUUCGACUUCCUCCUUUGCAGUGGCGAGGUCGUUGAUUCCUAUAAAUCAAGAUGUUUUGUUGCCUGCUUCUUUUUAUGGGCCUUCUCUCUUGGAUGGUAUUAUCCACUUGGUAUAUUGUGAAAGUCUCUACAAAGACGAAAGGGCCCCAUGCCUUCUUUGAAAACGAUAUCCCUCUUCAACGCUUCCACUAGCCCUAGACUCGGAAUACUCUGCUUAAGAGAUCCCCCUCUCCGGCCAGAGAGGAUUUGAGUACAACAUUGAUUGCGGAAGAUCUUUGUUCCUAUUAUUUUUAAGCCUAACUAGGCGCGCAGCGGUGAGUGCGAGCUGCUUUCCAGAAAUGCUGGAAAAGAGCCAGUAACGCUAUCAGUGAAUAGAGCUGGUGUAAAGUCCAGCUAAAGUACCAUACAGCCCCACAGGUAAAGAGUAUGAGUGGAGGGAAGUGUUCUGCUCUUACAGGUACUACGGAACUAGUUCCAAAGAACUGCUAGUGAGGAAUGAAAGAGUUUCUAGUGAUAGGUGCUGCUAUGAGUUAGCAUAGCCCCAAAGAAAGUAGUCUGCGAUCCCCUUCGAAGUAAGUGAAAGGGCGGAGCGAGCAAACCGGAUAGCCCCACAGAGUAUCGGCGACGAUUUCCCGCAUACACCGAAUUCAACCGGGAUUCAAUUUGGAGAAGAAUUCAGCAUAGAAGCGACUUUGAUCUUCGACGACCGAGGCCGUUGGAAGUGCAUGAAAUAAGAGAAGCGAGCAAGUAUUGUGAAUAUAAAGAAAGUCCGGGUCACACCCAACCCAAAUAGAGUGCUUGCAACUCAAAGAUGAGCUCGAAAGAAGAGCCCGGCUGGGGAAGUUAUAUCAGUUCAUAAAAAAGUAUGUGAAUGGCAAGGGAACAGGAAGGCUGGAUGAAAGAGGCCUGAAGGACCCCCGCAGUGGAAAUAGGGACCCCGGGACAAGGUAGGCCGAAUAAUAAGGUAAGGGAAGGAAAGGAGACGAACAAUAUCCAUAGAGCCCCCCUAUAAUUCACGUAAUCGCUGGGGGAUAGCGUCGGGAGGGGACACGAACAAAGGACGGCGACAGUAUAGCACCAAAAUGAAGUUCCCGAUCAUCCUUCAGGUCGACAAGAAAAGGCCAAGGGAAGGUAGCGUGAUCAGCUUUUCGGAUCAAGAUUCUGAGGGCAUACAGCGACCUCAUGAUGAUGCGAUAGUUCUUGUCCUGAAAAUAGGAGGAAACAGAGUCAAACGUGUUUUGGUUGAUACAGGGAGUUCGGCGGAUAUAUUAUACAAACGAGCAUUCGAUCAAAUGAACCUAGAGCUGCGUCAUCUAGGUCAGGUACGAACACCCCUAGUGGGAUUCACUGGAGAUACUCUGCAACCGUUAGGCAAAAUUCCCCUAAGGGUCGAGUUCGGCCCGGUCUUCGGCAAUGAUAGACUUUCUGGUAGUUGACGCUCCUUCGGCGUAUAAUGCGAUUCUGGGACGAGGAACGUUGAAUGCGAUAGGGGCGGUAGUAUCUACAUCCCAUCUGAUGAUGAAAUUGAUCCCAACGGAAGCAGGAGUGGGAGUAGAGUCCGGUCACCAUAAAAUGGCGAGGGAAUGUUAUUUGAUGUCUCUGAAGGGGAAGAAGGGGCAUGUGGCAGCAGUUGAGAAGGAAGAGGUGAUAUAAGAGGAUCCAUGGGACGAACCAAGAGAAGGCGAAAAGGUAAACCGUUAGACCCCCGAAGCCAAGCAGAAGGAAAAGAAAAUGAGUGAGCCGACUGAAGAAGUGGAAAAGUGGGAGCCGGGAAAAUUCCUAAACAUUGAUUGCGGUGCGGGUAGAAGAAGGGAAAGGCAGAUGAGUGUGAGGGAGCCCUUUUCACCAUUAUUAAUGAAUUUUUUUCCAUUAGACCUAGCUCUUGAAAAAGCAAUGGAACAUGCAAAUGGGCAGCAACUCUUCUUUUACGCUAGGUAUGCCGGUGAUCUAGUGUUUAAGGUUUUGGAUUUAGGACCUAGAUGUCAUCGAAUGAAUGCUCGGUAUACUUGCUUUCAGAAGGAAGCUAAUCUGAACACUGAAUCCAGAAGAAAGAAGCUUUUCUAUUUUGAGAGAUGAAUUCAAAGAGAGAAGGUUGUAGAAGGUAAGUAAUCCGAUGCGCGUUCAAAUCCAACAAGAACGUCUAAUGAAAUGACGGAAGAUGCAUAUUAUUCUCUCGUAGCUGGGGCUAAGAACGAUCCUCUUAUCCAACUUUCUGUCUGUCCCAAAACCGAACCUUGGUACUGCUCUACUUCAGCAUUCUACGACUGAAUCCAUUCUGGAAAUGAUGACUUGCCCACAGUAGAAGUUAGUGUCAUUUUCCGCUUUUUAGGUGAAAUUGGCUUUACUAGUCUCCUCUCUGUCUCUUUCCACUUCUGUCUUUCUAGUGCAAAUCUCAUAAGUAGAAAGAAAGCGGUAGUUUGAAGUGAGCCGCGCUCUCUCUUUCGGAAUUCUGCACCUAGGUACCACUCUAGAUUUCUUACUGGCUGACUCAAGUGCUAACUCAUAGUGCAUAGCAUGUUCAUAAGCCUUGUUCACACUAUUAGGGUAGGGUGUUGAGCAGUGACCAUAUACUUCACUUCCUCCUUUAAACCACUUAGAAAAGAGGAAAAGAAAAACUUCUCAGUAAGAUUAGGGUUUUCCAAGAUCAGUCCAGUCCGGCCUUUACUUUUUCAAACUGGCUCAUAUACUCCCUUACAGAUCCAACCUGAUGUCAUUUUCUUAAUUCAUCAACUGGGUUACAGAUUUGGAUGCACAGAAACCUAUUCUUGACCUCACUAAUCAAGGUGUCCCUAUUAGGAUGAGGGUUACUGACCACAUAACUCCUGUACCACUCACUAGUUUACAACAUUGAAAUAAGCGAUUCUUUUUGCAAUGUGUCUCUCAGCGUUUUUUUUUCUCCUUUUUCAUUACCCUCUCAAAAAAGAUCGAAAGGAUUCACUCCGGUGCUGCUUGCUGGUGGAGGUUGACUAUCUCCACUAUGAAUAAGUCUUUCUCGAGUAACUGAGACUCAACGUGUAGGCGUUGGAAGCAGAAAUAGGAGAUGGGUCGUUCCAGCUCGGCAAGAGGAUUCCGGAACAUCCAAGUCCUAGCUAUAACACAGACAGGAAAGUUUUUUUCUUUCAUUGCAAUGUCUGGCAUCGUUUAAAAUAGGCUCGCUACAUAGUUGCAGGCUCGCUCGCUCCAUUCUUACGCUCGCUGGCUGGUGAGGCAGAGUUGGUAUGGCACUGGCUGGCUGCUAAUGGUCACUCAGGAUCUACUAUGCGCGAUACGCCGACGACAUUUUGUUUGGGAUUCCCCGGGCCAAAGAGAUAUACCUGUUCCAUUCCAAGUGAAAGACCAGCAGCUGCGCAUACUAUUGAACGCGUGCGGCAGGUUUCAAUUCCACUUUUCCUGGGCAAACUAGAAAACAAGUACCGAUGUCAGGAGAUGGAAGUCAGGUUGACGAGGCAGUGACGUAGGAUAAGGCUCUUUGGUGAACCAGACUUUGUCUAUCUUAGAGAUCAAAUUGGAUGAUAGAUUUUGCUUUUUUUUUCUUGGGAAUGGUCAAAGCCUUUCACGGUUGAGCAAAAGGUUCGAAAACAGAGAUCAAAGACUCUGUCCUCGCUUCGAUAUUGUUUUCAUAUUGAGGGAUUAGUCUGCCAUCAGUGGUAGACUGGGGAAGAAGGCCGAGUGGAUGCUUUCCAGCAAAAGAAAACAUGACGUAGUCAUCAUGCCUAACAGAGAGAUUCGCCUUGGUUCUGUCUAUCGCUCUAUAGUAUAGGGAAAAUGACUCCGUUCUGUCUCCAUUAGCUAAUCAGGCUUGCAUAGGAAGGGGAAGGAAGAGAUUUUCUUGCUUCAAUCUCACGUCCUUUAUAUAUGCUAACCUACCCUAUUCCCUGCAUACUGAUGACUCGCGUUGGCUAACAGCACGUCUUUCAGCAGCUCACUAAAGGAUGGGCUAUUCAUCUCAGUCCUCAUGCUUCCGUCUUCAUAUCCCGCCAGAAAAGAAGAAAGGCGAGUCUUUGCUUUGGCAAAAAGAGAAGGAGCUCUUCUUGCCCAUAUGGGAGUGGAAGCUUCAGUGUAAGCGGAAGCUAGACUAGAAGAGAGAUUCAUCCUAGGCUUUGCUUGGCCCUACUCUAGUUUUGGUGCAGCUAACUAAUCUUUGGGUCGAAUUUCGUGACUUGAUGAAGAGGAAGCCGAGUAUCUUUGGUCUUGAAGAGUCAGGCCAAUCCAACCGCUUGCUCCUGCCCAACUCAGUCUCAGUCGUACCAUAAUGCGCCUGGACUCAACACUUUUCUUGCUCCAAGACCACCCUCUAGCCCUCAUGUCAAAUAGAUGACAGAAUUGUAAACAAUCUUAGAAUGAUUUAAGCUGAGGAACAUAGAGGUCUCUCCCACCAUUUUUGUCAUAUACCUCUGGAAUAGUGUUGAAAUCACACGCCACUAAGCAGGAGCCUAAACCAAGUGGUUUAUCUUAGCGUGCUAGCCGCUGCUUCAUUUCGUAUAGCGAUAACGCUUUCUCUUUCUUAGCGCUCCACCCCGCGGGGAACUCUGGUUGCGCUUUGGUUGGCUUUCUCUUUUUUUCUAUUUUCUCUGACUUGACUCAGCUUGACCUACUUGACUCAGCGGUUAGAGUAUCGCUUUCAUACGGCGAGAGUCAUUGGUUCAAAUCCAAUAGUAGGUAAAACCGGCCGAAACCCCCGCUUUUGCCAGCAUGACAGCAAGCACAGACUGGCAUCAAGGAGUCGAAUGACCAAAGCAUCGGUUGCUUCCACGAGACUAAACAAUCAAUGACCAAUAAAAGACCAACGAAACGACGAGUGAGAAAGAUAAAGAACGCGACGUGGUUCAUUGAAGUAGAGGUUUGAUCGAGGAUUGGAGAGGAGAGGUGGAAUAAAAAGCUCGGGAUGGAUUUUUGAGUCUUUGUGCGAGCCGUAUGCGGUGAGAGUCGCACGUACGGUAAGGAGGGGGGUUCGCGUCUAUACGUGUAGUGUGGUGGUUGGGCCUACCCACCCUAUUUGUUCCAUGAUCUAUGGGUCUACUGGAGCUACCCACUUCGAUCAAUUAGCCAAGAUUUUGACCGGAUACGAAAUCACUGGUGCUCGAUCUAGUGGUAUUUUUAUGGGGAUUCUUUUUAUCGCUGUAGGAUCCCUAUUCAAGAUUACUGCAGUUCCUUUUCGGGCGGCUGUAGGACGGACGGCCCCCUAUAGGUAGUAGGGUAGGAUGGGUGGUACCGCUCAGAUAGCGGCCAAUCCUCCUAACUGCGCGCGGGCCGGGCUUAGAGCGCGUGAAACUCAUCACUACCUCGUAAGGGCGUUGAGACCAUAGCAUGUUACACAAAAGCGCCGCUUUCUCUGGAGUGUUGUCACACAGCUGCCCGACUAGAAGAGCUACUCGCUCUGUAGUGUUGUCACACAAGAUAAGCACGCCGCCCGCCUGCUGGCCGGGCGAAUCGAAGUUAUCUUCCGGUCAACUGUCCGCCCAGUCAAGUGCAAAAAACACAGUGGAAUCACGCAACGCACGCAGCUGGUGUGCUUCCUGCCCACGAGGAAAGAAGAGCGGCAAGGUUCAGAUUUGACUGUUUGCAGCAUGGGAGCUGAUUACCCAAAAAAUCCCUGGGAAAAAAGAAAAGAUAUCUCGGUAACGAAAACCAUAGGAGGCUGUAUUGGCGAGAUCCAAGGGUUCACAGCAGCCCAAAAGAAAAACCGCCUGGAAGUCCGAGGACCUUUAGUACCGUACCGAACCAGCAGCCUUCGCGCCAAGCGACGACCGCCCUUGUCCCUUUCCUUUUUCCAUUCAGCCUACUUCUUAGCUUUGUUCCGUCAGUCUAAGGCAAAGUCCGUGACGAAGAUCUUUCUAUCAAUAGAUAGGAAUGAGUGUUCGUUAUAGGGGAUAGGAUCCAUCUGCUCUCUCUCUCUAUUUUCUUUGAUGCAAUUUAGAGAGAAAGAGCAGUGCGAACUAAAAAAAAAAGAGAAUCGGGAGAUUAAAAGAUACAUAGACAUAUACAGUAAAGGGAUGUAUAUAUUAUUCCUAUAUAUAUCAUCUAUCUAUGAAAAAAGUAAACAGAGUUCGUUUUUGGGUUCCCCGAAUGGAUUGGAUCGUUUCUGCUUCUGCCAACGAAAUGAAGGCCUAGCCCCUUCCGAAUGCUUCUCCGAUCCUGAACGCGAAGAGAAUAAGAUGCAGCUCCCCCUCCCUCUGUCUUUUUCCGCUUUGCUAAUCUUCCCCUCUAACGCGGGCCGGGCUUAGGCGGGCGCGGGAGGAAGAAAGAAAGUCGAAGAGCGUCUUCUCCUUUGUCCUUUUUUCAGUGCAACACAGGAAAGCACCCUCUUUUUGUAAUCUCUGCUGCUUCCCAGAGGCUUUUUUUUGUAUUGAACGCAUGGCGUAGCUAGGACCCCCCCAAUCAUGUUUGAGCCUAUGUUCACCCGGGGCUCAAAAAGGAGAAUUCCGGAAUGCCUGCCGACGUUCAGAUAAGGUGCAUAUCCCUUACCACUAAAGGAAAGGCUCGACGAAGGGGGGGAAGGGUAAGGAAAACGCUUUCGGAGAUUGAUUUGUUUUUCAUCGAAAAGGAAGAAGGCCGAGGGGAUAGCAGCCUUCCUUCGGGCUUUGCCUGCCGACGUUCUAAUAAAGAAUUCCGGCUCGGCCCGGGAAAGCGCUGGCAACAACAUAAAGAAAGGGGUCCAUGUAGCUGCUGCGCCCGCCCACUGAGCAGCAGGUUCGGCAUCUACUACAAUACAAAAGAAAAGAAAAGAACUUAACAAAGUGGAAUGUCCGACUACACCCAAAGAAAAGAGAGAAUCCACUUCAGAUAACCACGUCUCUGCUAGGCAGCGUGUGGAAUGGCCGAGAGCGGACCAAAUGGAUAUAUAAUCCAAGCCGAGAGUGGAGUUACGUGAACAGCCGUCUGAUGGAAAACAACUUUCACGUUCGGUUCAGAGAGCACUUUUUUCGUUGAGAAUAAGUCCUUCCCUUUUGUGUGAAUUCCCCAGCGGCGAAUUAACCAACUUGUGGGGCCCUAUCUAUUCAAUCUCUCGAGCCCCAAGAAAACCCCCCUCUCCCUCGGACUCAAUCUCUCUUUUGACUCUAUAUAUGUGGGCACCUGAUAUCUAUGAGGGUUCACCCACCCCGGUGACAGCAUUCCUUUCUAUUGCGCCUAAAAUCUCUAUUUCUGCAAAUAUGUCACGUGUUUCUAUUGUUGCUUCCUAUGGGGGUACAUUACAACAAAUCUUCUUUUUCUGCAGCAUUGCUUCUAUGAUCUUAGGAGCACUGGCCGCCAUGGCCCAAACGAAAGUAAAAAGACCUCUAGCUCAUAGUUCGAUUGGACAUGUAGGUUAUAUUCGUACUGGUUUCUCAUGUGGAACCAUAGAAGGAAUUCAAUCACUACUAAUUGGUAUAUUUAUUUAUGCAUCAAUGACGAUAGAUGCAUUCGCCAUAGUUCCAGCAUUACGGCAAACCCGUGUCAAAUAUAUAGCGGAUUUGGGCGCUCUAGCCAAAACGAAUCCUAUUUUGGCUAUGACCUUCUCCAUUACAAUGUUCUCAUACGCAGGAAUACCCCCGUUAGCCGGCUUUUGUAGCAAAUUCUAUUUGUUCUUCGCCGCUUUGGGUUGUGGGGCUUACUUCCUAGCCCCAGUGGGAGUAGUGACUAGCGUUAUAGGUCGUUGGGCGGCCGGAAGGUUGCCAUGAGUAAGGUUGGGAGACCGAAGGCUGUUUUCCGUGCACCGGACACGUAGCUUACCGAAUCAGUUGCAACACAGAUGGGAAUGCAUGCUACGAAAGACAGGGUCGAGUCUGAUACAUCAACCGUCGACUCCAUAUCCUUGUACGAGUCCACAAUCACUACACGAGAUGAACCUGGGUUUGGUGAAUGGAAGUUGGCCUUAGGUGUAAUAGGACUCCCAGUUACUGCGCGCGAUCGUAUACUGGGGUGCUCCCCGUCGGUUGUUGGAACGACGCGAGCCGGGCCUCGAUUCCUUUCAUAAAGAUGAAGGGACAGAGGUGACUAAUUCCCCAUCUCAUUUGGGGCGGAAAACGAAUCGACAUCUCGAUGUGAUACAGCCCUUUCCAUUUUCGUUGGGAAAGAACGGCGAAGUCCAUCCGAACCCUCCAAUGAAGAAAUAAGAGGAGAGCAAAGCGCCAAUGGCGCGCGAAGGCGGAAGGGGCACGGAGAAAUAAAGAAGUGUGGAGGAGAAGCAGCUUCGCUUCCUGGGCCCAAAGCAGUGCUUUGUUUCCUGGCCAAAUCAAGGAUUUGGGGCUGAUUGCAAAAGAUAUCUGAAUAGAAAGAUAGAUCCAUCCAUCUAUCCAGAUAUCUAAAAAAGAAUCGAUUUUGAUUUCAUGAAACCUUUGAUUCAAAGAACUGCGCUUAGCCCCCCCGCUCAUGAAACGGCUCUGCUGCAAUGGAUGGCAGAGGGUCCGUAGUACCCGAAGCACUGGAGUGAUCCAGUAGCCGGGAAGGGGCCUAGAAGUGCCUACUACUACACCACACUACACUUGGCUCUACACAUUUACAGAGCUUACCCCUGUCCAGUGUCUGGCAGAACGUUGGGGGCUUCAAUCGUCGACUCGUUAUCCCCAUCUCAGCCCAGGCUAACGGAGCCUGACUUAUUCAGGGGAGAGAGUGGAGCCUAUCGAAGCACUCUUGAGAGUAAGAUCCUUGGCUCCUCUUCAUUCUCUACAGGGGUCUCUGCCCACAUGGAAGCGGGGCAGAGAUGGAUAAGAUCAAACACGGGAAUAAGAAGCAUUUAAAAUGCCUUUUUUAUCAUUUUUAUAGAGGGGGAUGGAUAAAGUGGGCAAAACAGACUCACAUUUUUCAAUCGAAAAGAUGGGUUCCUUUUUCGUCUCGACAAAGAAAGAAUCAUCUUGAAAACGCUCCUAACCCCUUCGUAGGGCCGUGUAUAGUAAGUGAUCCGAACCUGCCCGGAGCGAGCCCCCCCUUAGAGGCAAGUGAAGUUGGUGAGCCGUAUGAUGGGCAACUAUCUCCUGCGGUUCGGAGAGGACUCAGCUGUUAGUUAGUACCCCCUUGGUUUCGGGGUGGACCCUUUCACUCUAUUUUAUUAUAUACGCUUAGCGAAAAGAAUGUUUUUUGAUAGACCUAGGACAUGGAUUCUAUAUGAACCAAUGGAUCGUGACAAGUCGUUACUACUAGCAAUGACUUCCUCUUUCAUUACUUCAUCCUUUCCAUAUCCCUCUCCCUUGUUCGAUCUUACUCAUCAAAUGGCACUCAGUUCAUAUCUGUAAAUUCGAUCAUUUACAAGGUUCAAAGAAAGGGUGGACUGCAGGUAAGCACUAAUUAAAACCUCUGCAUUUCCGUGAUUCAAAAACAAGGGCGUACGUAGCCCAUUGUAGAUUCCAGCCGAGAAGAUUAAGGAAUUGUGACAGCAACCAUGUUACUUGCUAAAUUUUGCCUAUAUCUACUCCAAAACUGGAGGCAUUCAUCGAAAGCUAGCAAGAGUAUUUCAUCCUUAGUGAACUGAGAGAUGUUCUAUCGCUCCGCGCCUUAUUUACUUAUUCAGUCUAAAUACGCUCCUUCGGGCAUAAUAAGCAGAGUCUGGGAGUUAUAGAAAGUAGGUCAAGUAGUGAAGAAGUUGGGUCUUGGGUAAGCAUGUUGGACUAGAUAGAAAGACGCAUUACUUCGGACUUGGGUAACUCUUGACGCCGAUAUAGAUGUGUUUUCUUUUUGCCUAUAAGAAAUCCUCCUUUAUGUAUGACUGGGCUUGUGAGAAGUGGUCUAAUACUAUCUAUUCAGAUAUGUCUCUUCUUAUCUUAUGGAUAAGCUAGGGAGGGCAUAGGUAAUUGCUUGGGGGGGCUAGUCAAUGAAGAAUUGAGUAUCUAAUAAUAAUUUCUUGUGGGCAAGAGUAGGGUUGACUUGGUAGGUAGAACUAUUCUUAUGGCUAAGAAGCUAGGCCGAUAUGCUCAUACUAAGUGCUGUAAUCUCUCAUUCAUGCGCAUUAAGGAAAUUGUAAAGAAGAAAGUAAAACGCUCUACGCCUCGUCGAAUAAGAGUGUUUCCGGAUCAUAUCUAUUCUUCUCGGGUACUCUUUCUUAAUGAGAAAAUCAUAACUUGAUCCGAUCUUUAUGUCGCACAGUGGUGUCCCAGGCUAGGGCUGCAGGUCCAGCAUAAGAAUCUAAACUAAAAAAGUAUGUUUACGUGGUCCAUAAAUAAUGGUGACAGAAAUCCCUCCUACUGCGCCUCAACUUGGACUGGAGCUUUCGGGUCUCUAGGUAUUGAAUUAAAGAACGGGUUUAGCUUUGCUUUGGGGGGAGUCCUGGUGGGGAGAUAUGCUAGCAGGUAAUGGCUCAGCUUCUACUUAAAAAGCGUUUUAAGCGGGUUUCCCUAUUUAUUUGCGGGUCUCUCGUACAAGAUUCUAUCAGUUACAGCGGAUUCAAGGGAUGGAGCCAGAUCUACUAUCCGCUUGCUGUCCCUAAGCUGAUAAUUGCCCGAGCCUAUUUGUUUUUUUCCGGGGAGGGGCACAUAGCGAUAGAUACUUUAGAAACCUAUCACUAAGAAUAAGAAGCGGGCUCACUGAAAACCAAACUGUUCGUAUUUCUUUAAAACGCUGCUGCCCUAGCCGGGGGUCUGUCUAUAGAAGAAGGGAAUCAAUAGGAAGGAGUCUAGCCCGAGUGAAGGGUUGAUUCAACCAAAGCAAGAAACAACCCUAUCUUCUGAGUGAAGGGACAACCCAAUCAUUCCUAAGUACCAGAGCCAUGGCGCGGAGUACCAUUACAUUACCGGCACUUUUCUUUGAAUCACUUCUUUGAUCAUUAAGAUCCUGUUCCCCGAGCAACCCGAUCCGAUAUUCCUUAACUGCUAUCUUUCCUUGCUUUUAAAUAAACAACUACUUCAUUUCAAUUCAUUUGCAAGACCAGGCUUGCUCUCCGAGGUGGCAUCCCCUCCUAAGCGAAAUACUAGAGUAGAGGGCUUCCCGUCUUUACUUGCUUCUGGUUGAUGACAGCUACAUCCUUAGCUGGUUUGACAACCCUUGCUAGCUUCUUACUUUCUUACUUCCUCGCUCGCGCUUGGGGUUCCCCCUAAUCCGAGUGUUCUUCCAAAACAGCUAUCCACCGACUAAUACUUACCUGCCUCCUUACCCGCUUUCCAAAAACCCUAUCUGUCAUUGCAUUGCCGUGGUUUCGCACCUCCUACGCCAAUACUUGCUUAAAUAAAUUCUCUAGGGAAGUAGGGCUUCAAGGAAGUAGACAACCACUUAUCGUUAUCGGGGAGGAUGGAUGGUUGUCCCUUCUUCUCAAUAGAAUCCGAUAGACAAGAAUCGAAAGCAGCUGAUUUAUUCCUCAAGUAAGUCAGUUGAUGAUUCAAUUCCUUCAAGGCAAGAGUGGGGCAUCUAGAUCGAUUCGUUUUCCGGUUGUUAUACCGCGAAUAGAAAGAAUUCUGAUUAUCUGUUGAGGCAAGCUAUUCAUCAUUAACAGGAAAGAUCCCAAAGCUGUUAUUGCUAACAUGGGAUAGCCUGACUCUACGCUACAAUCUCUAUUUUCUUAUGAUAUUGAAUCUGGCUUCUAUUAUUCAAUCUCUAGUUACCGUGGGAAAAGAAAGAGACAAGAGCUCUUAGUCCGACAAGACAAGAGAGGAUAUGCCUCCAAAAGCUUCUUCAAUAGCAGUGGAUUGAAUUCAUCUGCACACUGAUAAUUCACCAAAAACAAGAGGAAAGAGAGCAGUGGAUGAUUUAACACUAAGCCAAUCUUGAACAGCAGAGGGUUCAUCUCUAUCUUUAGACUUGGGAUGGGAAAAACUUCAGUUGUUGGUUGGAUUACUGGCUGAAACAAUAGACCUGUUGGUUAGAAAAGCCAUUAUUUCACAACUGUUAAGGAUUACUUCAGGAGGACCUAUUAAUAGUGCUUUGAUCCCUGCUUAGUGUUUUCAAAAGAUAGUUGGAAAGGUAGGUCUAUUUCUUCUUUAUCUUUGUAGAUCAACCUAGCUUUGUACAUGCUAUUGCUUCUACAAUUCACAAGAGUCAUUUCUCCCCAAAAAUAAAUAAGGUUCACUCCAGGUUCUUAAUAGGCAGUAGGCCCCUAAGUCAAAACUACCAUAACUUCUUUCUUACAAUCCGAUUACUAUUUGAUCGAGAGAUAGGCACAUUUCUCCAUGAUAUAAACUAUCCAAUCCACCUCUUCUAUUAUGAAAUAUAAACCAGACAUCGUCGGCGUAAGAACAAGACGGAUACUUCUCCUCCACCCUUGGAACGAGUAGUAGCUUCUAGUUUCGCAGGAAUGACUAGAACGCUCAGAUAUGGAAUUCUUUUAGGCUAGCUCCGGGCUUGCUGUUACAAGCGAUUCGAAUAGUUUUCCUGUGCUAGUUGUGUUGUACAGUACUAUACUACAACUACAUUUCUUUCCUAUUGCUUACCCGGUCUUAUAGCUCUACUUUUGAAACCGAACGAGUAUUGCUAGUUGUUACAAACAAACCCACCAAGCUAUCUCAUCCUCCUCCCCCGGGUUUCCUUCCCGCGACCUGUGCUAGUAGUAUGUCUCCGUUGCUAUUUACUUUCUCGAAUAGACUAGUUGGACAGCUAUCUACGCAUUUACCAGUGCUACUUUAACGAAUCGGGUAGUUGGACAGCAGGAACUCUUUUUUCUUACUACUCGUCCAGUACUAGCAUCCUUUGCCUUCUCUAUCAUUCCAGAGCUUCUCAGCAGACAAUCUCAGCCCCCUAGUUUAAGUCUACGUCCUCAGGGGCGCCCUUUACUUGGUUGAGAUCUAACCACCUUAUGAUAGCACCCCAAUAUUGACGAUCAUAGAUCCAGGCGGGCCCCCCUACCCAGAGACAUUAUAGCUCAUCGGUCUAUCAAGAUAAUAAAAUUCAUUAAUGAAAUUCCUGAGGAGAAAAGCUUUGUCUGGGCUCAAAUUCCAAUACCAUUGAUCGAGGAUAGGGUUUUGAAGGAGGAGAUGCAAGAGGGGUCACCAUUGUUUACUUUUCAUGCCUACUUGCCGGCGGAAGCGAGUUACGGCUUUGCUUCUUUCGUGAUUCACUUGGAAUUCACUUUCUUUCUUUGCAUUCAAUUCUAACUUUGGGAUUCCAGAACAUUCAAGAAAGAAGGUCAAAGGACUCAGGCUUUAAUGCCAAAGUACUGGGCAGAGCGUACUUACCUACUUAGACAAGAGGGAUACUUAUAGAUCUCUAUGAGCGUAAGGCAAAGUGGGCAAGACUACUUCCACAACUACAUUUUCGCCAUUUUUGUUAUAGCCCUUGCGGCUGCUGAAGCAGCUAUUGGACUAUCCAUUCUUUCUUCCAUCCAUCGUAACAGGAAAUCAACUCGUAUCAAUCAAUCCAAUUUUUGGAAUAAUUAGACAUAGAAUCCCCUAAACAAAGGGGCAUAUAUAAUAAUAAGAAACAUUAAGAUGAAUAGAAAUCAAAUCUUAUUUUCUUAUUAGUGUUUAAUAAUAUCCUUUUUUUUAGUAGGUUAUUUCAGAGUAUUGUUUUUUACUUAUUGAAUAUUGCAUUUUUGCAAUUCAUUGAUAUUGCAAUAAUUUAUAUUGAAAAGAUGAUAGCUAAUUUAUUGGCUAAUUCGAAUUAGUAUGUAGAAUUCGUAUAAUUAUAACUGUUGAAGCCUUAAAUUCAAGUCUCUUGGCUUUCUAAGAUCAGAGGAGGAAAAGAAUGAAGGUGUGGGCGGGAAGGAGGAGGCAAGGCCCCCUCAAUGUGUAUUCGACUACUCAUUACGGAACCACCGAUUGAUCCGAUUAGACUUCCCGCGGGGUAGCACGGGGAACUUGCUGAAUCAACUCCUUGGAAUCGGAGGCCUGACUGAGGGUCAAUCCUAUGGUAACCUCAACCUAGGAAUGCCUGUUUCACUUCCUUGACAGAGCCAACUGAGAUGCUCUGUCUCGAUGUUGACCUAACAUGGAUUGAUUAGAAAUUCUGAAGGGUCUCAUCCUGAUCUCGCAAAGGAUCAGCAAUAGCUGUGUGUACUCGAGGACUCUUAGGGAAAGAAAAGCACUUUUCUCUCUCAGCAGUUAGACCGGCUAUGGGCGGGUUGGUUAUAUACUGCGCCUUCCUUCUUUCGAACCUUUUGGUAUGUAUUGCCCCAGAAUAGAAUAGAUCAGAUCCACCGGACCAGAAACUCAAUUCCGCACUGCUGCUGAGUCGUCGGGCUUAUCCACCUCAGGGAUUCGUGGAAUUUCCGUUUUUGAAUUGCGUUGGGGGAAAUCUACCAAAGCUAGGCAGAUAGAUAGACUCCUUUCCCGCUGCUAAGGGAGAGCAAGAAACUAAAUCACAUGACCAGCGCCCUUUUUUUUGCGGGUACUAAGAGUCCUCUCACUACCAACCAGCAGACAUCAUCAUCUGGCUGGGUCUUGCCGGUAUCAACAACGAGAAAGAAGAACCAAAUGGAAACAGCAACUAACUAUGGCUCUUGGCCCAGACAACGUCCUAGGCGUAGGGGAGAUCAAAACAAGAAGUCACGCCUAGACGACGACGCCCGUCCUGGGCUGCAGUAAGUAGAUCGAGAGGUCGUUCCGCCCCUUGUCCCCGAAGAUGGGUAAUAUGUUCUCAUACAAUGUUGCUCCAACUUUUUUCUAGAGGGCCUAGCUGGCGAGCGAUCCCAGUCCGCGGCAGAGAACAAGACAGCAAGCGAGCGUACCUUUGUUCGCUUCUUUUCCACCAAGCACAGAAGUUUAAGGAGAACUGUAGGUCGGUGGCUACCUAAGGAAACUCCGAUUCGAUCCGCCCCCCGGCUGGGAGGCAUCUACCUCAUCCCGAUCACAAGGAGAGGUUCACCAUGAUGGGGGGGUCAGGUACUUGAAUUCUUUUCGUUCCGGAAAGAAUUCAAUGCAUAGGGGACCAUCCUUUUUUUUGCGGCAUGCUCUCUGAUUUACGGAUUCGCAGGGGGCCGAGGGCCAACCUUAGUUGACUGACAAUGACAAAGGCUUGCGAAACAAAGUAGCGCCUUUGAAAUGGAAUCUUAAUUAAGUAGUCGUCUAUCAGUGGUGCGAAGCAGCUUUGCCCCGGGGAGCGAAAGGUUAUACCUUUGUAAGCGAACAGCGGUUCUUCUAUGUAGGGUAUUCCUCCUUUACUCUCUUAAUUAACGUCGAGCUAAGUGACUUUGUGUAGCGUAGUAGAAUGAAGGCUACGUACGCACCGACACUCUCUUAUCCCUAAGCCUCUUCUCUAACUCGCUCGCCUACAAAAAAUAGUAGGCGAGGCACUCAGCCGCUGACUUUGACUGUACUGUAGUGUAGUGUAGUAUACUUUCGUCGCCUUUUCUUUUAGAACCCUUUCUCAUGUUCUUUCAUUCAUCAAGUAGGCGAACCGUCAGGUCCUUAGUAGCGUUGACAAAGAAGAAGAGCCAAAAAGAAAGCUAGAAUUUCCAUUCCAAUAGUGAGACCAGCUUGACAAGCUACCUUUCGGGUGCGAAGAUCAUUUUUUAUGACUUCCACUUCUCGAUCCCGGCCCGGAAAAGUGACCGACCCAAUGAAAGAAAGGGUUUAUGAGCCCUAGCCCUGUAAGCCCACACCUGUGUAGAGUAGAUCGUUCAACACCUGCGGCACAAACCCAUUUUUGACCAAUUGGUCCGUAUAUCAUAGGCGACCGAACGGCCGCCCCCCGUCUUACUAGACCAACCUGCUAUAAUUAUUCCAUAAACACCUAGCGAAGAUAUGGCAAACAAAUAAAGUAGCCCUAUGUUCGGAUCUGACAAUACCAUACCAUAAUCAAAAGGUACAACGGCCCAAGCGACCAGACUUAACAUAAAUGUAGCCACUGGAGCCAUUCUAAAAAGGGAGAAAUUAGCACUACUUGGUGAAAUAGGUUCUUUUAGAAUCAAUUUAAAACCAUCUGCUAGAGGUUGUAACAAUCCGAACGAUCCCACUACAUCAGGACCCUUUCGACGUUGCACAAAAGCCAUUACUUUACGUUCAGCUAGCACUAAAAAGGCUACUCCUAGUAGAAGUGGUAGAAUUAAACAAAGUAUUUCCGCUGGAACAGCUAUGUACGUUUUCGAUUUUCUAUUCACUCAUGAUCGGGCCUGACCUGGUCGACCCGAUCAAACUAUUGAACUUAUGAUCUGGCCUGGUUGACCCAAUCAUGAUAUUGAAGGAUGGGACCUUUUCUCGAUAAACUCCGGAUCCCGAGAAGUUUUGAAGAUGGUGCUCCUGUUACGUUACUUCGAAUGGAAUCCUCACUUGACUAAGCAUAAGCGAAAAACGUGGCUGAGAGUAAGCAAUCCCCUUUCCUAGUGGUUGAGUCAUGAUCAGAAAUAUUGCGAAAGAAAGUGAAAUGUCCUAUCGUCGUCCCAAUUUGGGUAAUCCACGAUGUCUUCAUUUUAUGUACCCAUCUUUACUCGUUUUCGGUGUAUCGAUAGUUCGUUGUACUACACUUUGAACUAACCUAGAGUAGAGGCCGUGCUUAGGAAAAAAUCGAUAUCAGUGAAGUAAUCCCGGAACUCUAGAAAUCGUGAAGAAUUUCUUCCAUUUUGUUCAAUAUCGCGAAUAUAGCGGAAAAGGGCCCCCUCUAGAACAUUCCUUUGAAUGGAAUUGUUCAUUGGGUUCGACUUGUUGUUCGAAAAAAUCGAAAGCAGUCUCUCGUAUGUUAUUGUAAGGUGAUUCAUUCAUAAUAUUUAUUAUGUGCGGUUUCAAGAUGCUAAAAAAGUAUAUUUUGUAAUCGGCUUUUGAGCUCCAUUAUGUGUACUUCAUCAAUUUAGGAAUUAUGGACUUGGCGGUAGUGGUCAAUACUAACUGCACCGUCUAAAUGCUCCCUGACCAAGUUAGCGUACUCGCCAGGGUUGAGUUGAGGGCCCGUGCGCUAAUUGGGCUUCGAGGUUGGCUUGGCUAUACGCGAAAAAAGCUCGCUUUCUACUGAUCUGCGGCCUGUUCUGUCCUAAACAGUUCCUGAAUGUUAUUUGUUUCAUAGGAAGAUUCCAAAAGCACAUUGAUGCCGAAAGAAUCUUCGGAACCGGUGGAGAGGCUAUUCUGAUUGAAGGCUAGACAAAUAACAUGACUGAGGUAUGUAAAUCAAACCAGUGAAAUAGCUUUAUAAUAUUAGAUAGAUAUAGAAUAUCAAAAGCAAAAGCCUGAUAAUGGGUUUCAAACACGAAAGAAGAAAAGAAAAAAAGAAAAUUAUAGCUUUCUUUUUUUUUGGUGCGUGCUUUUCGCCUGCCUUCCCGACCACGGAUAGGCUACGGGGCUUUGCACUUCGGCCCCUGUGAAUACCACAUCAAGGUGACAGGAUUCGAACCUAUGGCCCUCUGUACCCAAAACAGAUGCGCUGACCAGACUGCGCUACACCUCGUCUCCCCCCCGGAACAUAUGGUAUGGAUCUACCCGAUCGAAAAAGACUCGAACCGCAGUCGCCCACCCCGCGGCACAGGGAGGCGAGAACCACCGCUUUUAGGAAAUAAGCCUACAAUUUUAUUUGAUUCUCGUCUCGUUUCACUUGCAUUUUCUUUCGGAAUGACUUGAUCGUUCUGAGAGUGGAAUCGAACCACUCACUCCGGAAGGAUUUAGAGUCCAAAGGGCCCAGCGAAAGAAGUCCCACGCCAGCAGCCUGCCAGAACCAUUAAUACAGGGUUUGAUCCACUGAACACCCACACAAUCUCGAUUUGACAGAUCAUCGCCAUCUCUUUGGACAUGCAUGUGUUAAGCAAAUGGACUGAACUGAAUGAAGAGUGAUGUCACAUCGCAUUUUCGAUCUUAGGCGAACGAUGGGUUACCGGGUCUACGACCUCGCAAGGCACUACUGUAGACCUCUUUGGGCCAGACGCUUUCUCAAUCAAAAAUGGAAAGAAGGAGUGAGUCUAUCACCUACGUCAUUUCUCAAGCAAAAAUGGAAGCAUUAAGUCAUCGUUCCGUCAUACAACAUCUAAGGUCAUCCCUUACGACUUCCCUACAUCACCCUUCUAAGCUCCUUUGCCCUAUGACAAAAGUCUACUUUGAAUGAAUGAUCAUUUUACGGUUCGAUUCCGGCUCGUGACAUGAAGAAGAAGUCCCAAACAGGGAUCAGAUGAGUUUGCACAGCGUUACUUUUUGUUCUUCGUUGACGGAAAAUCAAACGGUUCCCGGUCUUUUCAGAAGACUAUGCUUACUUUCUUUUCUCUUACCGGUCUUUUCAAUCAAGGAAAUGUAUUCCGUUCCUCGAAUCGGGACUUUCUUUGUCGAGGAUCUCUGGUACUCCAUCGAGUUUCCGUUUCUUCUUCUAAUGGCUGUGUCCGUCUAAGGUGGCUGGCUAUUUGAGCGAUUUAAGUAUCGCGGUUGUCUUGAGCUCUGGAUUGAUGGACGGGGCUGGGUUCAAUUUCAACUCGGAGAUAGCCGGGUCUAUAGCUAUAGUAAGAGCCGCUUUGUGAACAGCAUCGGAUAACAUAGCAAGGGUAGCCGCAAUAGAGCAAUUAUGCCUUAAGCCCAAAACUCUUCCUUUCGGGGAAGGAAGAAAAGACUUUUCUUAUUCCAAGCCAGCUACGGGACAAGUGAAACGGGCAGUUAGUUCAGUGAGGACAGCAGUUCCAGCAAAGACAGUGGAAUGGUAAAGCUGUUCAUUCUCAACGGGAAAGGAUUUCUCUAUUGCAACGGGGCUAGUUUCAACAAGGUGAGCAAAGCUAGAUACUUAGGCUUGUCCAGUUGUUCCACCAACCCCUGCUCCCGACCCAGGUACAUUCUUCUUGGCAGCUCAAGACCUUUCUUGUUCCUUGCUCCCGUGGAUCGAUACUAGUUACUUACCUUUAAUCUUAGCUUAGUGUCUUUUACCUAACCUACUCGCUCGCCGAGCUUUUUUUAUCUUGGUUAUUGGCUUUUUUACUCAAGUUAGAGCUUUUCUUUCCUGGCUUUUUCACUCGAGUUGUUCGCUUGGCUUUAGCUCAUUUUUUUGUCCAUUUCUUCUCUUUACAGAUCCCCUCGAAGUAUCCAGAAGAAUGGCAAUGCAAAAUAAUAGCAAUAGUCGUCUCGUAGGUGCUGGUGAAAGAAUAGCUUAUGGGGCUGGAGUCAAAGGAGCUUUCAUAGACAUAGAAAUCAUAAUAGAAAGAGCAGGCCUGCGAGCAGCGAGUGCCCUUUGUAAGUUGCGAGCCUGCCUGUCAAACCAUAGGCGCCUUACCGCCCCCCCUUUCUUUUUUGAAUUAGAAAGAAGGGGAUGAAAGACAAAGAAAGAGAUCAGGUUAUUUAUGAUCGGAGAAAAGGAAGGGGCGUGGUUGAUGUGUCACUGGGAACCCGUAGGAAGGGGAGACGACCGGCCUCAUUCACAUCUGAAAUCGCCAACAUGAACACAAACGAAAUCGUCGAAUUUCGUAUAGAAAGAAAAGGAACCACUUCUAUUCUCUUCUCUUUUCUUAGGUAUAUGAAGAAUUGCUUUUUGGUCCCUUUCGUCCAGUGGUUAGGACAUCGUCUUUUCAUGUCGAAGACACGGGUUCGAUUCCCGUAAGGGAUAUUACUUCAUCCUGGCCUUCAAAUCGUUGGUGCUGAUUAUCAUAUAAUCUCCUUGCUUUGGAGUGAAGAAAAGAAGUUCGAUCAGUUCAUUCAAUUAGGAAGCGUCAGACUAGGCCUUUCUUUCAACGAAUGUCUCAUUCUAAUCUACCUACCCGGAUCCCUUUGCUACUAAGCGAGCCAACUAUCUAUCGACAGACCCAUCAGCUUUGCACUUAACUAACCCAUUUAUUUCCAACAGUUUGACGCCCCAUUCCUCGUUUUCCCACUUGUACUUCUAUGCCUUGCCCCAUAGAGAGGAGUCUUCUUUCUUCGGAAAAACGGCUGAAUUCGAUUAAGUAUUCCCAUAGAGAAAAAAGCCCACUAAUAACUGGAGCUGGAGGUAGUAGCCCUUCCUCUUUGGUCUAGUUGACCGCAGCACCCAUUGCCGAAAGCAGCUCAUACGGGGGUAUUUCCUUGGCCAACGCUUCUAGUAGGAGGCAUAUUCCUUUCUCCCGAGGGUGAGGUUUCUCACUUUUGCCUAUGGCUGGCAUAACCAAAUCUAGAGCGGAGUGAGCCAAUCCAUUUGUAACCGUUUCAAAGUCUUCUGCGGCAUCUUCUGGAUCAGAAUCUCCUGCUCAACCGAGAAUGAAUUCAUUUUCAUUGUAUUAUGUGGCAGUCCCACUACUUUCAACCAUGGAAGCGAAUCGAUGAUCCUGUCCAGAGUAUCUUUAUGAAGAAUAUCCUAGCCUAGUCAUAGCUUUCUUUGUAAAUGAUCUCUCCUCUGCAUCGCUGGAAAAGUUCUCAACCGGAUUAUCGGAGAACAACCGCACUCAACCAAGAACUUCCCCUUCCCCCAUUUCCCUGUCUUCGCUAUUUUGCUUUUCUACUGCUUGCUCCCCGAGCUCCCUAUCCGAGUAAGUCCUACCUUCCUGGUUGGCAAGUAGUAAACCCUACUUCCCUUUCAAAUCCUUGAUUUGAUCAUCUUCAUUCCAUGGUGGACGGAGGAAAACUAGUUACAAAUGUUCUUUGCUCGUGAUACUUUGAAUUGAAAGAGGAACGCUUGCAACGAUAGCCCUUGUCAAGCAAAGCAUCCUAGUGUGAAAAAGCAAGAAAAUGCACUGACUGGCCCUGCCUUCAGCCGUACUCUCCUUUCAUCUGGGUGGGUACUAGUUUGAAAGCAGGAACUCGGAAAGGAGGCACGGUUUUAGCAAGAAGCAAGGAAUUCCAAUUCAUAGGAAAGCCAGCCCUUCGAAGAAAACGGAAGUGCUAGCAACGAAAGCAGCAGGGCCACGAAUCGGAUUAACAGAUAGGGAUCAGGUUGUUGUUGAAGUUCAGUAAAGAGCAGGGCCAAGCCAAGCCGGAUUAGCAGAAGAAAAAAAGAAAGAGAAGGGAUACCCUUGCAUCCCUUCUCUUUCCAUUUUCAAUAUUACAGAUUAUCUAAUCUUUGUUGCUGCUUAGGACUAGGCGAACAUCAGAUGAGAUGAAAGCUAGUACUACCUCAUACGAUACGGUGAAGAAAUUCUAAUCUGCUCUAGAAAACCACUUUUCAUGUUCCAGAUAUAGCACGUAGGUUGUGACUCCACAUGGGGAGCUGAGGGACAUAACAUGAUAAUAGAAGGUCAUCCUAGGUAGAGCUGUAGCACAGAUCCACGGAGCGGGAGGUAAGAGGAAAAGAAAAGAAUACCACCAUAAAAGAAAAUUGUGCCCUCUUGAGCCCUAAACCUAGGAGCAAUGGUUUCUCUCCUUCCCAAACUGCAACCGCAACCAGUUCUAAUUCAAACAGUGUGGUGGAGUUCAAUCAGAAACUCUCCUUCAUCCCUCUUCAAAUGCAUUCCUCACUACGAGAUUGAAUAUGUUUUCCCAGCCUCCCACCAGUAGGCGAAUCCCUCCAACCAAUGACUACACUACCUUGGUUAUCCGCUUUCAUGUCUUGGAUUGAGCUUUCUAACUCUUAUUAUAGUUGGGUGGGCGGAAAGAAAGGACAAGAUUCCUGCUUCGUUCAAAGUCCUAGUCCUGUCUCCUGAUAUCUCGCCCGCUAUUUCUAUCUCCGCUAAACCUAGUCACUUGGCUAGCUAUACUUCUAUAGGAACUAUCUAAGCUAUACUUUACUUGACAUGACUGCCUAUCCUGGAACUAAAAGUCUUAAAUACGUCUCUCUUGGCUACCCGUGACUUGCGUUGACCUAUCCCUACUACUUGGUUAUUAGCUUACCCUUUUAUACCUAUUAGAAACCCUAGCUAGCUUGUAAACACCUAUCUCGUGCUUUACUUCUAUACUGACCUAAACGUGAACUGAACAAUAUGCCUACCUUUUUUAUGUUUCUCAACAAUAAGCAUCCCGUGGUGACAACAAACCAUAUGCCAACAAACAACUCCUUAAAAUGCUUAUAUGUAUACAGCUUGGCCUUGCUAUUCACAAAUGUCUAUCAGCUUCUCCUGCUUCUAUACUUGCCUAUCUGUGACAUGACCUAUUCCUACUUGCUUUGUCAACUACUUUACGAUACUUAACUUAACUUUACGAUACUUUACUUUAUCCCCAGACCUAUAAACAAUGGGUCUCAAUUCGGGAGGAAGAACCGGUAAAUUGUACAUACGAAUGUCAAUCUUCAUUUAAUACACUGGUAGGGGUCGAUCAGGCAAAUCCCAAAGCCCCGAACUGCUCUACUGAUCUUCUCUCUCUUCAGACUCACUGAACCAGACUCCUUUUGCACUGAGAACACAAUUAAGAACCCUCCUUCUCACAUCACAAGAAGGCAAACCUUGUACGUUGAUCGAAUCUUCUUUCGCAUCCAGAAGAGAGGCUGUGGGCUAUCCGAGAGAGUGGUUCAGGUGACUACCGGAGUCAUUGAUUAAGCAGGUCAGAUGGGCUUAGUAGGGCUCGAACCUACAAUAUCACCGUUAUGAGCGGUACGUUUCAACCAAUUAAACUAUAAGCCCAAUCGGAUCUCUACAUGCCGGGAAGAGCGGACAGAAAGAGGAGACCCUUUGCUCUAUCUCCUUCUUCCUCUUCCCGGGGCCCCGGAGGGCAAGCCCUAUUAAAGAAGCUAAGUGACUUUCGUCACUCAAGUAGUGAGUUUGAGAGUGGCCGUUAGGGCGACCACUUGUACUUCUAGGCCUUGGCGACCUAUAGUCUUGUUACGCAACACAGCUUCACUCGAUUCAGUAAAUCAAUAGUUCAAACCAGCCCACUAAUAGCUUAGAUAGUGGCCCUUCCACUUUGGUUUGGUAUAGUUGACCCUACCUAUUGACUCAAGGUAAGACCUCUGACUCAAGGUUCAUAGGAAGGGGGAACCCAGACGUAGUGGGAUGUAGGCUUCAGUUGUUUUGGUACUUUUGCACUACCUACGUCUUAUUAUUUAUUUUGUAACCGGCUUUUCACCGGCAGGUCAGUAGGCCUUUUAGAAGGCGAACAAACGAAAGUUCUCCGCGGGCGCUAGCGCUAUCUUGUUCGCUUUUGUCAACUGAAGUCGCGCGUAGCGCCAACUAACUGAUAGCUGAUAGAGCGCGGAGCCCCGAGUCUAAGCGAGCAGAGCCAUUUCUUUGUCGUCAAAAGAAAAAAAAAGUACUAAAGGCGAAGGGCAUUCUGUUGUACAGCUACUUUGGUUUUGGUAUAGUUACAAAGGUAACCGGUAGGUGACUGUUGAAUCGACAGUAGUUACGAAAGGGGGAAAUAGCUCAGUUGGUUAGAGUGCUGGUCUGUCACGCCAGAAGUCGCGGGUUCGAACCCCGUUUUCCCCGCACGAUCUUCCUCUUCCUGCCCGACUCAUUUUGUCUUCACUGGAAGCUGCUGAUCCCAGCGUAGCAUUCAAGACAAUUGUUCCUUCUUCGGUCUCCCUCCACCCCCUUCGUUUGUUGUGGGUCGCGUCUCACCGCAGGCACUUAAUGAAAAUGAAUGAGUGAAGAUCUUCCUUCCCCCCUUGUGUCUUACCAAGGACUGAGUUCCCACUUGUGGCGAAAAAAAAGUAUACCAUCCCACCCGGCCUCCCCCCGGGGGGUUAAGGUUCCUCUCGGAGACUGCCAGUCUACAAGAAGCUGGCAGAGCUUUAGCCAUUGGACCACAUCCAUCCAUCCUCCUACCUAAACAGUGACGCCUUUUCUUGUUCGUUCUUCGAAUUACGCUAGUGGAGACUAAUUCCUUCCGGCUAAUGAAGAUACUACCCCAGUCUUCCCAUUCAUUCCCAGUGGAUCCUUUUCAUUGAACGAACCAAGUUCACCUAUACGAGAGUGAGGAAUAGAAAUCCUACAAUCAACUUCCCACUUUUUAUGUCCCGUUUGACGAUUCUGCUGCGUCUUUAGAAAAGAAAAAGGAGAAGGACAGGGUCAGAAAAGCGAUAACUAUCAAUUCGAAUUCAGAAUGAAUCAAAUCUCCCCAAGUAGGAUUCGAACCUACGACCAGUCAGUUAACAGCCGACCGCUCUACCACUGAGCUACUGAGGAAGAACGGACUUAAGGAAGCUGACUCUCGUUCUUUGGACCAACCAACCGAAAAGAAAAAAAGUUAGUCACUUUUUCUCUUUUCCGGGAGAAAGGGUGACGAUAGCAAUCCCCUUUGCCUCCCCGGCCGGGGAGCCCCCAGGACAGGACAAGGGGGGCGGCGGGGAUUAAUAAAGAAUGGGUUGGCAAAUAUCUCACUUAAUGGUGGGAGGGGAGUAUUUAGUCUUAGUCUGCCUUUAGGUUAGGGUUUUAUUUGAAAUCUAAAUAGAAAUGCCUCCUAGAAAUGAAAUAGCUGAAUUCUUUAUCCUUAAAAGACUGGAAUCCCUCCAACCAAUGACUACUCAACCUUUAUCACAAUCUCAACUGCUUUCCACAGAAAGUAUUACCUGAGGUUGAACAUUUAUCCCUUCAACCUGAUUGCCUUAAACAUUCAUAGCUAACAGUUGACAUCGUCUUUCCUUAAUAAAAGAAGUAAACUAUUUAACGGUUUUAGUUUGUCAGCUUUCACCACUUCUGUUUUGUCUUCCUCGACUAUACAUUCUCUUACUCCAAAAGGGUCUAACCCAGACAGAGAUUACUUUUCGAUAACACACCUAGUUCGGGGGUUGAUUAACAGGAAAGCCCGCGGCCUACCACUACGAAUUUAUAGCUAUAAAGGGUCACAGUAUGAAACUGCUACCCAUUUGAUGCACAAGGAUGCUAUGGUUAAAGCUAAUAUCUACUCAGCUGUUCCCCGACUUAGGCUAUAUAAUCCAUCUUAGGUACAGUAACCUAGACUCGAACUCACUAUACAGGAAACCAACCGUUCAACGAAAUGUGUGCUCAAUUUAUUAGAAUACGCUUGUAAAUCCUCUUCUAAAUUCUUACUGUAAAAGAAUAAGGGAAACAGUCAUUGUUGAAUCUGCAUGGAACCCUAUAUGAAUAAUCAUUAUUGUAUUCUACCAAACAUCUUAUGGGGUUGGUAAAACCAACGCAUUGGUAGCUAUAAAGCUUGCUACCAUGAUGGCAGUGCCGACACUCGCUUCAUAGCAACAUUAUUAUCCAUGUUCUCGGCUUGGUUAACGUUAAAAACCUCCGUAAAGGAAAGGUUGGAUCAUUCAUAAAUGUACUAAGAUAAGAACAGUAUUCACUAUGUCUUUAUUGAUCAAGAAAGUCACCCUCUUGUAACCAUUAAUAACGGCUUCUGGGUUCUUAAAAGCAUUCAAAUUUGCCAAUGGGUGAGCUAUUUCUUGGGGGAUAAUAAAAGGGUUAUCACACUGAACAUACCUGUACCAAACUACAACUCCUAUCCCCAUUAAUACAAGGAUAUUAAACAUACCCCAGACAAACUUAUUGUUUGAUUUGUUAAAAGUGCAAGUUCUAACUUGCGUUAUAGCACUAGAAAAUACUGUAUUGUAUCCAACAAAAUACCUUUCAAUCCUCGGCCCACUUCAGUUUUCGUGAUAAAAACUCAUUAUGGGGAUAGUCUGCCCCUUCAUAUAUAGUAUCAAUAACAGGAUCUCUUAUUGGAUCGUCUCUAAGAUCUCCUAACCUCUCCCAUGCAUUUUUAGCUACUAAACGAAUGUUUGUAUUUUUUUGAGAUAAUAUCUCACCGUCGUAAAUAAGGGUUUGACCGCAGCAUGUUAAAACAUGAGGCAAUUCAUGAAACUCUUCUAUCAAAUCAUAUACAUUCGAGACUCCAUAUAGGUCUAUCUAUAUAGUAUAGUAACUGAAAGCAGUCUCAUUGGUGUAUUCCAUUUGUGGUAAUACUUUAUAUUCAUUAUGGAAAACUCUAUCGCACAGCUUCUUAGCAAGUAAAGAUUGCUUAUACAUGUUGAUUUUAGCAAAGCUGUUAAGAAUGCUCUCUUCAUCAGUUUGCAACAUAUGUUUGAUAUUGCUGUAGUUUUGGGUAAGUCCGACCUUGAAGAAUAAUCCGACCAUGAGGAGUAUGGAGUGUUUGCCAUGUUUUGUAUCUUUUCAGUUGUUCUAUUUAUGGAUUUAUUGGGAUUUUCCAUGAGUUUAGUUGUAUCUACCCGAUUGUGGUAUCCCCACCUCUAUCCUUGUAAUUGGUCAGAGAGAUACAACUCUAUUAAAAGAAAAUAACCCGAGAUUUUGACCCUAAAGAAAAAGAAGUGUCUCUAUUUAGAGAUUUAUCUACUUAGAUUUAGAUUUAGAUUAAAAAAUAAUACUCCUUCUAUAUUAUUCUAGAAUAUGUAUCCCAAUCCAUCUCGAGUAAUUUGUAUCAAUACCUAUUCGGUAGAUCCUUUUUUCUGUGCCAGGAACCAGAUUUGAACUGGUGACACGAGGAUUUUCAGUCCUCUGCUCUACCAACUGAGCUAUCCUGACCAUUUCUUGUGCAUCAUCCUAGUAGAGUACGUACUUGUAUCUAUGUGGGACUAAAAAAGAAAAAAGUAUUCUAAAAUUGGACUUAGUAAAUGUCAGGAUAAUGAUAAUGACUUACUUAAUAAUAGGGAUUACUUGCCUAUACUAUACUAUAAUAUGUUCAUUUGUAUGAAUGGGAUAAGAUCCAAAGAAGUAAGUUCGGAUCCGUUUGUGAAAGAGUAGAAUAAGAAAGAUAGUGAAUCUUGUUUGAACCAUUAAUGAAAAAUAGAGGUUGGUACAAUAGUAUAGUAUAGUUAGGAAGUAAAAUGGGCUUUUUAUUGGGGAUAGAGGGACUUGACUUGAACCCUCACGAUUUUGAAUAGAAAGUCGACGGAUUUUCCUCUUACUAUAAAUUUCAUUGUUGUCGGUAUUGACAUGUAGAAUGGGAUUCUCUCUUUAUUCUCGUCAGACUUGAACCUAACGAAGAAAGAAUGAGGAAGAAAAAGAUAUCGUGAUGUACGUCUAAAAACGGAAACUUAAGAACGCUUUUACCAAACCAAGAAAGCGUAUCACUUUUCAAUUGAUUGGAUCAUCAUAAGAUCGACUGUGUUUCACCUCCCAACCCACACCGGGUUAUGUUCCUCAAUUCCAACAAGGGUAUAAUCAGCCGCCCCGGCACAUCGACCGGCUCAACCCAUGACGAGCCACCUUCACCAAAGCAGCUACAACCUCCCUAUUAAAGUGACCCCCGGACCUAUACCAUACCCUUUUAGAAUCUCCGCAAAUUGCCAAUUACCAUUCCCAGGCUAGACCGAUUAAAGAAACUAAAUUCAUACCCAUCCUCUGGUCUAAAGAAGAGUUUUUUUUACUUUACUUAACUUUACAUUAGAGACCUAAUUCAAGGCGCCGCAUCUCAGCCCUUCUCAAUAGAAUCCAUGUGCCAUUGCCUGAAUGUCAAUCAGCCCCUCCUGUCCGAAAAGAAGCAUAUCCGAAUAAAGCAAGGUAACCCACAAAGCAUUUUUAGCUAUUAAGGACUGACUUCAAAAGGCUCAAAAAAACUGGAAUCAGUUGGAGGAAACUAAGGGCCAGGUUCACAUUAUCAGUGAGCGCGGAUAAGAACGUUUCCUGGAAUUCCACAUCCCAUAUUGACUCUACCAUCCCGGCACGUUGGCCACUAAGUCCAAUCUGACCUAUCUCAAAUAAGAUCUUUUAGGAUAAAUUUUAUAGGCAUCCCUCGCACUUUGUUUCGCUAGCAGCAGCCCGGACUCGUAUGCCAGUGCUCGCUAUCCAGCCAGUCUAAAGAGUUCGCCUAGAAAGAACUUCUCACUUCCAGGCUUAGCGGCUGACCUAUGAACCACUUCUACUGGUGGCUGCUACUGCUAUCAAUCGUAUAAUAGACUGACUCCUUUUUCGCAAAGCGGAAAGAAACAUCCCAAGUCAACAUUGCCAAAAGUGGACCACUUCUGCUUGAUACUUGCUUGCCAAUCCUUUACUCUUUUUGUUCCGCCCUGGCAUCUUUACCCGCCUACCAGAAAUGUGUAUCACAAGGUAUGAUGGGAUUAGAACAGUUCCAUGUCCAUGCAUUAAAUUAAAUGCCGCUCCAAUCGAUGAAGGGCACAAGAUCUCGUCCUUGACAUAGGAAAGCUCAAUCUCUUAAAGACAUAGCAUUGAAAGAGUGAGUAAGAAGCAUGAAAUCCAGGCUUAUCCUUUCUAUGACUAUGAACCAAGACUUAUUUAUAAAAUAAAUAGGUUUCUAAAAUCAAUAGGUGAGCUCCCUAGAGGAGUAUUUUCUGUCCCUCGACCUUUGUCUUCAGACUACUUUUUCUAUUUCAUACAGACGACGAAAAAGAACUCGAUUUUCCAGGGAAGGACAGCUGGAGGAUAGGAUCCUUUUUUCCGACAUUUAGACGAUAAAGUAACUGCUUUUCUCACUAUUCUCAGAAUGAGGGAUUGGGAUUGACCGGGACCUAUUCUCUGGGAACUUCCGCCUCCUUAGCCAAUCCACCUUAUUCUUGAUAGUUCGGUAUGAAUGGUAUUCUUUUUAGUCUUAAUCCUAAUACUUCUAUCAUGGUAUUAAAUACCCUAGUACUGUUAGGAGAAUGCCCAAUAGCCCUUGAGCAUGGAAGGAAUGAUACGAAAAUAGCGAAUUUGCUUAUUAGGAGUAGAAGCACUUUUCGAUAGUAAGAUAGAUAUAGAUCUAAAGGGCCUAGCAGUUCUUACAAUACCAGUAGUAAUAGAUAGGAUACCUUAUGGAGAUACCUUGAAAAAAAAAGACUAGUUAGAGUUUCUCAAAAAAGCUUAGGAAAGCAGGUUUAGGAAAGGAAGUUUCACCAGUGUCUAAGUAAGAAAAGUCAAGUUAGUCAUCUAAGGAAAGCCUUGGGCGAAAGAAAAACCCUUUUCUCUGCGCAUAUUCCCUUUCUAGAGUAUUAUACUGUCAAUAACUAUCCUUUAGUUUCCUAAAUCCCUUUUGCCUAAAGUAUAAUAUCUGAAGUAGUAGAUGCUACUGAAAGAGGUAUGUCAUAAUCAUAAGUAGUUACUUCUUCCAUUUUGACUGUAAUAGAGUUCAAGUAGUUGAUAGCGCCAGUCUAAGUAGUUAUCUCUGUUCUCUUUUGGAGAUGUAGUAAACUAUGCGUAAGCUGUAUUUGACUAUGGAUAAGGAAUAGUUCUUGCCUAUCUAUCCGGAGUAUUUGCCUAUUCCUAAGUAGUUAUUCACUAUCCAUAACCUUUAUCAGUAUCUGACCUCUUGGGCAAGCCAAAAUCAGUAAUUCUUAAAAGCUAGUAUCUUUACCUCUUUCUUUCCUCCGUCUAAGGCCAGUCAUUUUCCUUCUCUGCGGUUGCUUAUGGUGAGUGCUAAUUCCUUCCAAUUGCAGUCCUUCGAGGUUAUAUCCUAUCCUGGUAUAUGAAAGAGAAGAUCAAUUCCUUAGGAGACAGGUAUCGAUGCUUGCCAGCAGGAGAAAGAUCACUAGGUUCAGUCUCUGAUCUGAUCAAUAGGGUUCCCUAGGUACAUUCCGUUUUCUGGAAAUCCUGCAGGGAUAGUAGCUCCCUUUUCGAGGGCAAAAAAACUCGUUAGGCUAUCCGAGAUUUUCUCUUUUUUCCAGCUUUUUGGAGUUCAAAUAAGGAGUGCCCGGCCAUCUAAAGUGCCAGUAGUCUAAGUUCCCCUCCAGGCUGCAGGGUAAAGGGCAGACACAGGUUCAGAGCGAGGGGAAAGGAUCAAGGGUGCGUAGUAUGCUUCUUACCCGCCUUAUCUGCUAGGUCUAGGAUUGGUUUUGUUAACUAGAGAUCUUUUCCUGGACGUUUACACCUAUUCCAUUUUUAAGCUAAGCUCAUUUUCGAGUACUAAGCAUAGCAUAUAUAUUACUUGCUACUUGCCAAUAUGUAGAUAAGUGAGUGUAAAAAGUCAAUGUCCGACCGUGGCUAUUGAAUCGUCGAGGUUGUGUUAGUGAGCUGCUCUUUGAGUCUACCUUUUACCCAAGGAUGUAGUUGUCUAUGCAUAAAGAUUGGAAUUUCCCAUCUUUUUCAGCUCUGCUCCCAAAAGAGAAAGGAGACUGAACACAUUUCUAUACCCGGACGAUCAAUUCAAUUUAAGUAUACGCAUACCUUUUCCCACGAUUCAGGAAUAGCCAUAGAGGACUACGUUUUAUAGACGUACGAAUCCUACGAUACGCGCAAAAGCUAUGAAACCAUUAGGAAGGGCACAGCAGCCCCAGGCCGGCUCCUUCUUUUACCUUGAAAAACAGAUAGGAACGGCAAAUCCUUGUUGAAGAAGAGAGGUGAGCAAGAGUGAAGAGUAGAGCGCGCAUGGGAAGUGCGGUCGCUAUGAACGAAGUGGGAUUAGAUAUGGAUCUUCGAAAUAAGAGUCUUUCUACUUUCUAUAAGCUAUAAGUGAAUUAUUGAUCAAGAGAUAUGUGAAACUAUGCUCUUAGAACACCUUCUUCCAUGCUAUUGAAGCAGGCGAACAGGCGAGUGAGUGAAGAGAGAAGCCAUGCCUCUUUCGAGGUGAGGCAAGCGAUGAACGAGUAGAUGCUGCCCUUAGACCUAUUCUCUCUUUCGGUAGCAGACACCGUGAUGGGCUAGGCUAGGAAACCUUAUUCGAUACGAUAGGACAGGUAAACAAAGCAAGGCCUGGGUCGAGAGCCAAUUUCAUAUUCUCCGGUUCCAUUCCUGAUCUUCCUGUCAUCGUAUCUUGUGUAAGAAUCGCUUUCAGGCUUCUUAUCGCUUUCUCAUCAGUGGCAGUUUUGUCUCCCGUCCCUACCGAACUAUACUAUUAGUAACUGAUCAACUUACUGUUGGAGUUCUUAAGCAUAUCUUUUUCCAUUAUUAGUUCUAUCUUCCGAGUGGACUAAGGCAUCAAUCUGAACUAUAAGCCCUAUCGCUUGGGAAUAAAUGCUUCCCUAGCUGCUUGCCGGAGAAAAACGAAGCCUUAGAAAUUGUAAAUGAAUCCCUAAAAGCGGAGAAAGGCUUAAACCUAUUCAUCUAUCCUAUCCCUCGCUUGACUCUUCUCGGAAAAGGUUCUCGUUCCCAUGAAUCUUGAUCUGCCUCCUGGCAUUGAUAGCGAUUGAUCGAAUUCCUACUCUGGUUUGAGAAGCUUUUCAGUUUUCCUUAUCACUGAAAAGAAUUCAAAAUACGUAUAUUUGGUACUAAAUAAACCGCCUUCGCUGGCUAAUCCCUAUGUCUUGGUACUCUACCCUCCCAUUCAUAAGAGAGUGGUAGUUGUCACCGGAAGCAGGUGUGAGUUGAGUAAGUCUUGUCAACAACGCUUCGCACAACUAAAUACUAACACACUGUUUACUUCUGUACUUCUCCACCGCCAAAACACAAUGACUGAUGCAAUUCAUACAGGCACGAGCGAAAAACGAGCUGAACGAGUGAUCAGGUGCUUCGACCUCUCUUUCUACGGUUGGUUUCUGACAUCGAUCGAGAUUCAACAUUCAGUAGGUUUGCUUUGACGAGUUAAAGGUGGAAGCUUCGAAGCAUCAGUGAAGAGAGUGACCCGGAGCCCAUCCUUCCUGUACGCAUUUCUGCCUUAUUUUGAAAAGCAGCACGGGGACUUCAUCUGCCCAUGAUUGAUUCCCGGCUAUGAUUUAUAAAAAAUCUUCGCUUCAAAAGCUUUCAUUUCAUUUUCUUCAAAGGCACAUGCACUAGGUUACUUACGGAAUCUCAAAGAAAGAGUCGUCCAGGAGCACUUCGUUAGAUUUGCAUGUGUUAAGCAUAUAGCUGAAGUAGCCUAAGCGCUUCAACCUGCUCGCUCUUACAAGACGAAUCUCUUUCUAUACGCAAUUGAAACUAGAGUCUACUCCUUUCUGGUCUGAAAUCUCAGUGGAGACGGUAAAGAUUAGGUGCCUUUUUUCUUGACUAUCCAUCCCAUUCAAAGCUUAUCACACUUCUCCUUCCGAUUCUUUUUCUUUUACUCCGCACUUUUGCUCUUUCGAGCCAAAAUGAAUGGGUCUUAGGGUGACUCCUCUUCUCCAUGAGUAGGUAAACUCAUGUACCACGCAGAGCCCCAACAGUUUACCCUCUUUUCUAUUAUUUUCCUCCACUAAUUUUAGAAUCCGCACAUAAUUGCGGAGUAUUUGUAGUAGGUAGAUAGAGGCAACGACACUUAUACUCAGUAAUAUAGAAAAAAACUUAGCAUUAUCCGUCGCUGUCUGGUACACAUAAUGAAGAAACUCGAUCAUGGAAAAGAUUGAUUGAUUUUGAAGCUCUGCUCCCAAAAGAGAAAGGGAGACUUAAAGAUUGUGGGUUUGGUUUUUCCAAACAAAAGAUAAAUAUUGGAUAAGAAGUUCAACAAUAAAACUUUCCUUCAGUAGGCUCGCUCCCGGUGGAGCCGCCAGCCCGCUCAGAAGUGGAUUCGAACCCCCGACACCGUGGUUCGUAGCCACGUGCUCUAAUCCUCAGAGCUACAGGCCCACCCCGUCUCCACAGGUCCCGGGGAUACCCCCCACCCUCACCUUUCUGAGGACUAUAAAGCCUUCUCGAAUUAGGUCUCUGGGUUCUAAUAAGAAGGCCUCUCGAAUUUGUUCUACGGUAGAAGCUUCUACCAAAGUUGUAGACCCGGAUACUAAUCUUUCACUCACUGAAAAGUGAAAACCUGUGACUAUAUCGUCCUGAAGACGGAUGCGACGGGAAGAAGUGGCAUUUAGAAGUGUUGCUGACUUGACAUUUAGGUUUCGGCAUAACAAAGCUUGCACUGUCUUUUCGCACUUAGGCGCACAGCGUGCCGCUGGUAAUGAUUCUACUACUUUUACGGUGCUGCAAAUUCGCAAGCUGAUCCGUAGAUUAAGUAAUCGUUGUUGUUCAUUGGAUUCCUCCAGAAUGACUUCGUUAGGAUUGAAGAAUUGCUGCAAUGAUUCCUGAAUAGACUCGAUUCUCCCGUCGAGAGUUUCUUUGAAAGUCUUACCUAAACUCUUCCGACUUAAUAUGAGAAAGCCUAUAAAACAACGAGCUACUAUCAUUUCUUCAUUAUAGAUUGAGAUCUUCUUCGGACUUGAUGCACAAAUAGAUGGAAUAGCAGCAAAUAGCAUAUUUAUACCCUUCAUAUCCAUUCCACUAAAUCUCAUUGUGACUCUCCACUUUUAUGAUGAAGCUCUGCUCCAAGAGAAAGGGAGACUUUUUUUGUGGUUGGUUUUUCCAAAAAAAGAACAUUCGAACAAAUAGACUUGAUUCCAUGACAAGCAAAAAUGCUAGCUUCCCAGUAACUGUAACGCAUACACUGGAGCGUUUGUCCCAUUGACGAAGGCCAAUGAAACUAUUCUACUAAUUUUCUGAGGAGCAACUUGACAUUUCUUCAUGCAGCUCAAAAGCUCUAGCGGAAUCGCCGCAGCAUCCUGAUAUUUUCAUAUUCUAUAUGUGACCACAUCAGGGAUUAACCCUGGAUCUCUUAGCCCACUGAAGAUUUCCUCAGCUGAAGAUAUGCGUCCUUGCCCACAAAUUCAAUAAGCGAAUUGAAAGAUAGGACAGUUGGAUCAACUCGGAAAUCUCCUCACCUCAAAUGAGUUCCUUAUCACUGCAUCAGAUGCCACGCAUGAGAUUGUCCUUACCAAUAUCUUUACGCGCACCCAGCUUUGGUUACCCACACCACCAAUGCAACUAAUUUCUGAUCCCAACUUCAUUCCUUUUAUUUAUCCGCGUUAUAUCAUUCGGGUAAUCUUAUCUCCACCUUCGUCAGAAGGCUUUGAAGUCGUGUUCCAACUGAACGGACCCACAUUCGGAUAUUGCAAAGUACACGGCAAUGCUUGGGCUGGCUACUAAUUCAAGGAUGAUGAGUAGGAUAUUCACUCCAUGCUCUUAGGGAGUUCUUUAUGCUGUGCGGUUACCGCCUUGCCACUAUAGAUCUCGUUCCUGAGAUGAAAUUCACUGUUCUCAGUGUAGACUAUGACACUGCCCCAUAAUGACCAAGGGAUGAAACCGGCUUUUACAUAACUCAGCAGUUCCUUUGUGUACUUGCAGACGCUGGUGACGAUCUGUUGUUAGUUCUCAUGAGCACAGAAACUGAUAAAGUAAUAAUUUACCGCGGGGUUAUAAAAUGGGUGAAGCCCUCAAGCCUGGGAUUCAGUGGAAGAAGUGAAAUCAGUUCUCGCUUUGAGACUUCCAGAUUGCACCGCAAGUAACGAUGGAAUGCAAGAAAGAAGACUCAGGAAUGAAAUCAAUCAAACCUCCUACUCAUACUACCCCCUCUUCCCGAUAAGCCCUGUCUUCUUCUUCGCCAUCGACUUUAACACGUAGUCCUGCCCGUGUGAAAGCUGUCAACACACCCCGCUCACUACGACGGUUCGACAACCCUACUACCAUUCCCGUAAGGUGGGCGGGCUUCAUGUAAGGUGGCCCUCUUCCGUAUUGAUAACGUAGAUUUGAAGCACCUAGAAGGAGGAAAGUCACGAAGUCAUCAGUAGGAGUAGUGAAAGCAAUACGAAUCAAUGAAUUGAGGGCAGUCGAAGCAGACAGUAAAUUACUUGAAAUAAAGAUAAAUAAGUGCUCGAGCAAUUGAUUAUUAAGUAAGUAGGCGGCGUAGAAGGGGCGGUUCUACUUAAAUGAAAUGAAUGGCUCGUUCAUAAAUCCACUCGCUUGGCAGCAGUCCAUUCCUACCGUACUCCGGCUAUUCUAUCUGUCUGUGUAUCGCGUAGAGCACGUACUAUGAAUCCAAGUUCCCUAGUGUCAGACUCAACUCAGUCUGGUAGUGUCCCUGGUCCUAUCGAAGCAGCUACUUCAUCCCUGGUGUAAGGGCUUGUAGCUUUCAAUGUGUUCUUUCUUGCAGUAAAGUAAGGAACGAUUGAUCUCUCUUUUUUGAGGGACCAUAGGCCUUAGGCUUAGUCCUAGAAGGUUGAAUGCUUUCGCUACGCCCCGCAUAAUGAAACCUAUGUCUUAGAAUUUUGAAUUCGCUUAUAUAAGCAAUUAUAAGAUCCUUCCUCUAUCUCAUAGUCAAGUACGGAGUAGGAAUCAAUAACAAUUGAAUAAGACAUAAUUAUUGCUGCAUGCAUGUUCACCUAAAGCAUUUCUUACCACUUAAGUGAACGAGGGGGAUAUCAGUAUUUUGACUGACGGCUGUUGUCUAAUUAUUGAAAUAGAAACACUCCCUUCCAAAUGCUAUUGCCAUUCUCCAUUCCGGUCUGUAGCAACGUACUUAGCGCACUAGUUCAAUUUUUUGAUUCACUCUUCGCAUUGAUAAAUCAAACAAACUAUGACAAAUUAAAGGAGAGGGAGGGCACUCUAACCAGGCUAUAUUUUCACUGCUUCAUGGAUUUUCGUUAUUGGGUCUCACCCCGGGAGAGAUUUUCUGCAUCAGCGAUCAUGCCCCCCUUAUUCUAGCGGAGGAACAGCUUCAUCAGAUUCAUUCCCUUGCUAAUCCGCCUUCAAGUACAGGAAAGGCUCCUGAAUUGCUACCUAAUAAUAGAUGACUUCAUUUUACGGAAUACCUGCAACGAGGUUAAGGCGUUAACAAAGAGAGGCCAUAGAUAGGCACAGUCUUCCCAUCCCAUACUGGGAGUCAACAGCUUAGAUGAAAUCCAAAGGCUUCUUAUUAUUCACCGCUAGGAUCUCUACCCGUUAUCCAGGAUGGGCAAAUGAAUGGACUCUCCCUCCCCUCAAUAAUAGUCGUAUCAAGAGACAGAGGUGAGUUAGCAAUUUCAGAUAGCUCGGUUGCGGGUACAGUUGCACUGAAUACUCCUCUGCUUCCCCAAGGGAAUCGAGUGGAUUAAAGCACUCCACUCCGUAGUACAAAGAAAUUCACAGCACUGAUUUGUGACAGUACCAUGCUAGCACAGUGAAUUUUGUGCUUCCAUUCUAAUCUAAUUACAGAAGAAAUGAUGCUGGAAGAAAUGAGCUUUUCUGCUGUAGUUUAUUGAACUAAGGCACUCUGCACAUAAGUCACACCUAACCGGCUAUAUGUUUCUUGAUCGCCGAUAUCUCCUCCCCACCCAGCAUUUGCUAGCUUGCCAAGCUUCCCUCACGAGACUGUGAAAAGCAUAUAGGAAGGCAGAACAAAGACAGGUGGGACCUCAAUGAUGAGUAUGCUUGCUUCGCCUCCACUGCAAGACAAUAGCUUGGGCCAUAGCCAAUAACCAGUUUCCAUCCUAGCUUUUCGCGACAAUCCAUGAUAUCUUGCUGAAUGCAUUGCUUCGGAUCUCUAUGCUCUGCUACAGUGCUCUUCCGUCCAUUCGAUUCUUUUCCUGCCAGUCAGACCCCCCAUUUCAUGUAGUCAAGGACUCAAGGGAGUUAGUUCUAGGUGGGCCGCCCCAAGAGAACCAUUCGCAGCAACGAUGGUCAUAUAGGAUUUCCGGUACCAAAGGUGACAUCGGCGACUGAAGAAAGACUAUUUAGCAAAGGAUUGACGGGGCUAGUCUACAGAACAGAUUCAGACCCAAUGAGGUAUAAUUCAUAGAAUAAAAGAGCUUUGAUUGUCUUGCCUAUGAAACAACCUAGGAUUCUCUUUUCAUUUGAUGUCAUAGACUCUACUCGAGCCAGGAAUCGAUUUGUAAUUUCAGUGAAGUUCAAAGCUGUAUUGUAUGGAGAAAUGGUGAAUUCCCAGUGGUAAGCCCAAGUUAUGAUAAAUAGAAAAUCAAUGCGCUGGUUUAUUCCAAUAUUUAAGACGUGGAUGAGGGCGCGCGAAUAUCGAAAGUUCUUCGAGGGAAGAGUUCGGAGAACAACAACAUGCUUUCUUUGAAAAUCCAAAAGCCCAUAUAUAUCAUAUCUUCUUUGCAUUUAGAUCGCUGUGUGUUUCGCGUGUGGCAGGGUUGGGGUUCAUUGGCAUCAUGACUCCCUUUUUGGAUAGGGGAAUAAGAGAAUUUCCAGGUCGUAGUGAGACUGCAUCGUUCGAAGACGCAUGUUCCUCUAUUUCUUCUAAUCUAAAGAGGUCAUUCAUUAGUGUGGCGUGGGUUCUCCCAAUCAUUAGAAGAAGAAUCCAACAAUGUAUGUUCAAAAGGGGGCUGGGAUUAGGUCUCAUUUAAGACAGAUCCUUAAACAGAUAUGGCUAUAACCCUUCCUUAGACUUAGAGUGACUUGAGUGAAAGUGAUAGCUUCUCCUACUUUCGAAACAGAACGACUAGGUGGAGUAUAUUGCCUAUCUUUUGUGUAUUCUCCCGCAUAUCGAUUUCAUGAUUGUCGUCUACUUCCCUCUCCUGACUUGAUUCUCUAAUGCGAGUAUGGCGCUUCUCUCUCCCGUCCGGUCUACCUUAUUUUAGCGCAUCCUCUCUCUCCCCUUCUUGGCUCUUUCGAGUUGCGACUCUUCUCCAAAAAACCCAAGGAUAUGCAAUUCCCAUUAUGUGUGAGCAUGCGUCCUUCAUAGAGAUAAUUAGGUGGUUUGGCAAUCAGUAAAUUCUCAUUCGGAUGAGGAAGAUGACUUGUUCGGAGGAAGGAAAAGAAAGAGAAAAAGGGUUUUUCUUAAAAGAGAAAGUCUGGCACAUGCAUAUGCAUAAGAAAAGCGGGGCUAUUCUCUAGAAUGCCUAUUCCGUCCUGUUCUGCAAAUCGAUUUCUCAAAUCUCCCCCGCUACUUUAAUCCGAUGCUUGACCUGCUUCCUGAAACGAAAGACUGCUCCACGAACAUCUCAACAAAGCUUGCCCAAAGGACGAGAACCCCUUGACUGGCACUGCUGACCUUCCACCGGCGUAUCCACGAACAGAAGCUGCUGUUGGUACCUUGCAAUCGUAUCCCGGCACCUUGACUGUCCUAUCUGCUUGCCAAAUAGAACUUUCCGAUGGCCAACUCCAAUUAUUUUAUUGAGUUCGCACCUCCAACCUCACCGGAAUCAGUGGUAGCUGCUCCAAAGUAGUUCUGAAAGCGAAAGAAGAAUCGGCUUCUGUGUCAGGGUCAUCUAGAGAGUCGAAAGUAGAGUUUCAAGCAAGAGUGCGGCGCGAACCGGCAGAUCUUAUGAGAUGAGAAUCGAAGAAUUUCAUAGUUAGUGGGGCCAGGAAAACAUUCCUUGUAAUAGGUUACCCGAAGUAGAAGUGCCAGCUAGAAUAGAAAUCACUCGUAUAAUAUAAGAGUUCUGUUCUCACUUCCUGAUACGACCGAUACGAAAGAAAGCAUCUUCGUCAGAAACCCCGUUUGGAUGAUAGCUGAUUUGACCUCGAGAGAAAGGGGGAAGAUUUGAUCCAUUUGAAAGCCAGCGCAGCGCUAUCUCAGUGAAUGGGAUUCGCUUAGGCAAAUAGGCUCCUCAAUCCAUUACGAAGCCAGCAAAGAAAACGCUAUUGGAGAGUUCCAAAGCAAUCCAAUUCUCACUUCUGCUGCUCUGCAGCUUACCUAAGAGUUCUCACGCCUAGUGAAGAUCGGAAUCGGAAAGGGAAGAACGUUAUUCUAUGUUCCAGGCAGAACGUCUGUAGAUGCUAGGUCAAUUCCAGAGCCAGAGAUAGAAAGACAGCUUGAUUCGAACCAACCAAUAGCCUGCCUCUACUCACUGUUGACAAAGGAGGAAGGUUUUCCCUCGGUCCAGUAGAUUGCCGUAGUCAAAAGUCCAUCUCGCUAUAUGGCAAAAGUCGUGUUUUUCUAUUUCCCUUGACAAGAAUCCAGGCAGUAAUCACAUCAUUAGCAUUGAUCUACGCAUUUCGAGAAAAUAAGACGGGGCUACUUCACUUCCUAAUUAAUAAAGUAGGAGCGAGUACGGAGGUACUAGACCGUGAUUCUGGUCCUGAUGCGGACACACCUGUCGACAACAGAGAAGGGAUUCAAUUGAGAGCGGAUAGCAAGAUCGAAUGAAUGGAUACUCUGAGAUAGAACGAUAAAAAGAAAAUUUGAUUAAUCCUACAAAAGCCUUACAAGGCAGGUAAACUUUAUGCAGUAUCUGCUACAAAAAGAAGGUUAGAGAACAGGUUCCAUCUACUUUAUCCGCUUUUGGGCAUGAAGAACAUGCUUCUUUCUCAAUUUAUAGGAAUCGUUAACCUUUUCAUUGGAUUGGUUUUUUUAUGCAGUAGAGAAGCCGUUUCCUUUGAACUUGCUUGGUCCAUCGGACAGAUAUAGACAUGGAGAAGCUUUUCAAUGUAAAUCUUUCACUACUUUGUUUGGACCUUGCUUCUUCACUUAAUGCUUGCUUUCCGUCUUGCCUUUGCUGGGCCUACGAUAGGCUGUACUCCAAUACGAAAUAAGAUUGUACAUGAAGGUUGGUGAAAAGCAAAAGAAGCAAUUGGUUCUCAAAUGCCGUGACGUCACCUAGCUUUAUUCUAAAUUUAUCAUUCUAUUGGUAUGUAUAGUGUCUUUCAUCUGCUUUUUCAUUCAUUCUGCCCACAGCCGUUAGGUAUUAUGACAAAAGGAACCAGCAUGUUGCGGAGCAGCCAAGUAAACCAAGAAAUGACUCAAGUAAUCCAAGGGCAGAGCAACGUAAUCCAACGGAGGGGCUACGUGAUCCAACAGAAGAGCUACGUAAACAAGGAACACAUGAACCUGCUAAGGAUCCAUUCCACCUGCCAAGUAGACCAAUCACAAGAGCUCGGGCCAAGAAAUUCAAUGAAGUAAUCCAUAUCCAUAUGCUGAUUCAGCAAGCCAAGCAAGAUGUGGUGGAGAAUGCGCUAACGCGCAACGGCUUUCGCGCUAGUUGCUCAAUCCGUUGCUUGUUUGGUAAGAUUACCUUGGGAAGUCUCAGGGACUGACUGAACCGAAUGUAUAGCGUCAAGAUAAGAAGCACGCACUCCUACUAGACAUGGAAGGAGUAAACCUCAAAUAUGCUUUCUUCCCUUAGGUAUGUUUCUAGAUUCUAGUCCGAAGUCGGUCGUUGAUAGAUUUAUUUCUUUUGCUUGCUCUCCGUUACUUUCCCUUCCUAUAUUUAGAAAUCGAUGUAAAGACAAUAAGAAAGUGGUUGAGACAGAAGAUUCUUGGUAGUUUAUUGGCUCUAAGUACAAUGGGUACGUAAGUUAUGUGUUUUGUUUCAUGCUCCUUGGUGAUUUUUCAUCAAUAUGAUUUAUUGCCCAUCGAGAACUAACUCUUAGUAGGUACUCAACGUUGAAAUCACACCAUCCGAAAGCAGAAAAUCCAUCCCAUUAACGGAAUAUAUGUGACACAGCUACCUUGUUCAAGGAGAUACCAUUCCCAAACCAUAAGCAAGGAAGGGAAAAUGGUGGGUUGUGGCUCCUAAAGUUUGGGUAUGACUCCACUCCAUUACAGGUACUGGUACUGGCUGCAAACUGGUUCUUGGGUUAAUUAUGAUAGUUGUUGACGACAUAGAAGGUUUUUCACACCAGUAUCUACAGUACUUGAUGCUAGGAUGACUGGAGUCAUGGAGCUUGUCAGGUUUCCAGAUCCAGGUGCCUAUCUUAUUUAGAUACUUCAGCUUAUGCGGCACAUCUCUUGCAGCCUAUGCCGGCCUCAGAUCUAACUAAAUCUAAAUGAGCCAAUGUUUCUAAAUCAAAAUGCAAGGUUGAAGGAAGGGGAAAGUAGAGCAUAAUAUGCAAGCGCCGCUUAUGGGAAUAUCUUAGCCAGUUGAAAGAAGUGCCAGAAAGUAUCUUCUAGUGACUUCCUUUGAUCUUCACUAAAAAACAAGCUUCUUAAGUAUUUAUUUCAAAGAAGCAAGCAAUAUGACAUUUUCUGUGUCUUCCAUUGGCAGCACUAUGGAAGAAUGAAGUAUUUGCAUCUCCCUUAUAGAGAUUGGCUUCAAGCAAGGCAGUGAACCCGCACUGAUCGAAUGAAUUCUUCUUUAAAAGCUCAAAUCCAAUGCUUUCAUGCCCCAUCCUGUGAUCUAGUUGCCCUUUCUCGUCACUAUUCUAUUCUAUAUCGAAUCGAGAAAGCUUUACUUCACUUCUAUUUGCUUUGCUUUGCCUAAGAGAAAAAGAGAUUCCCAUUGGCCCCGGGCCUAUAUCACUAUAUCAUGUUUGCUUUCAAGCAAGAGUUCAACGAGAAAACGAAUCUAUAGAUGAAGCGGAAGAUCCUCCUACGAGAAAAGAGAUCGAAUCCUGCAUAGUGCCAGGCCAUGAAGUAAAAGAAUGCUUUCCCUUGGGCCCAUUUCAUCCUAUUUAUCUAUGUCAAAUCAAGGCAGAACGUCCGUAGAUGCUAGUGCAUUAGUAUUAGUUGGGCAAGGCAGCUCAGGGCUAGCAACUGAGCGAAAGACACCGGAAAGUGCUUUAAAGGUGCCGGGAUACGAUUGCAAGGUACCAGCAGUAGCAAGUUGCAAGUAGAUCAUCUCUCUUUCUUUCUACUCGCGGGAGUGGUGUUUCGGGUCAGGCUAAAGACAUCGAACUGCGGAUCAGUCGUGAUAGAAACCCCUUUCUAGAAUAGAAAGCGGAAAGGAUGCGCCGGCUCGCCCCGCCGGGAGAGGCUGAAAGGCAGAAAGGAAACAUAGGAACCACCAAUCUAGUCAUUGCUUCUCUUCUCCCAACUCCUGAGAACUAAUAACAGGAUGAAACCGGAGCCAGACCCAGUUUAGAUAAGGUAUGUCUCUGCUCGACCAUACUUCUGGAUCCCUUCUGCCCUUGCACUCGAGGACCAUUUCCUGGCGCAGAGAGACCUGAUUGACUGCAUUUCCAGCUGGGCAAGCAAUUCCAUGAAAAGAAGAGAUGACCGGUUGCGGGGAGGCCAAGGCCAGAGGAUUGUGCAGUGCCGGAUCUAUCUCUUUCCAAAAUAUCAUAGAGAAAUAAAAGAAAUGAGGUGUUAGAUCUUGAUUCUCCGCAAAAGUUAGGGGACCAAUAGAGGUCCGCAAUAGUGCCCCGAAAUGGGAGCCGCAGACCCCGCAACCUGUCCAGCUGUAGUAGGAGAUUCCAGUAUGAAGCACAUCAUUGCGUUGAUUCUACGAUUCCAUGAUUCAAACAUGACUGAUGUUCAGUCAUUCGCUACUCAAUAAAUUGUGGGGCUUCAUGGUUGCAACUAUGAGAGUGGAGAAGAUCCCAGUUAUGGACUUUUUUAAUAUGUCUAGGUUUCACGGUAUUCUUAUGAUGAAACAUAUUAUUGCCAAUAGGCAUGAAUGAGUACUGAAGCUAUUAAAGAGAAAAGUUUACGUUUAUGAGUUUUAAGUUCUGAUACCCGGUCUUUCCUACUUUUGUGAUCUGGUGUGAUCGACUUGUGGAGGGAAGUACUUAAUACGCGUUUCAAGAACAACCCAGGGAAAGAAGACUGGUGAGAUAUGGAAUGGAAAAGGUUGGAAAAAGGGGUACUAAUAAAAGUGAAAGGCCAGGCUUAUAGCUAAGAAAUUUACUUAAUAACACGACCCCUUACUCAGUUUGCCUUACUCGAAAGAAGCACGAGCGUCACCCUAGCCAGCAUUCUUUUUAUUUGGAUUUGGAUUUAGUAGAAUCCAAGCCAUCUUACUCAUUGAUUAGUAGAGGUCAAUUCAAUGCUCUAAUAAGCUUGCGAGAAAGCCUAAGUGAAGUUCAGUCUCUUUUUUAGUCUGUCUCUUUUCAGUUUUUAAGCAAGUGACCAUAGGGCAAUGGAAAGAUCUGAUACGGCCGGCGUUAUAGGCCUUGUAGGUUGCAACUCCUUCUAAGAUAAUAAAACGUAACCACGAGGGAGAUUACGAAUAUUCCAAGCAUAUACAUCUUAGGCCAGUAAGCUAAGGAUAGAUGAAAUCCAGUAAGACAGCCAAGCCAGAAGCAAACGAGUUAUCAAGUGGCGAGAUAAAGCUUUGUAUAGCUGCUGUCUUUUUCAUAUAUACAUAUGUAGAAAGGGGUAUAGCUGAGGAGUUUUGAAUUCGAAGAGCAGGCAUAUUGAGAAUAAGCGAGUAGUUUUAUUUCUUACCUCACUACUGUUUCAAGUGCUUUUGCCUUCUAGCGAGUGUGAGUUCCCCCUAGGUAGGGCGGGCUAUAGACUAAAAGAUAUCUGUCAAUGAUAGAGCAGUAGAUUUCUUUCUUUUAAGAGUUCUCUUGCUUGUUUUGAUUCUGUUUAUUGUAUUCUGAAGUUCGUUCAUCACCUUACUUUUCGUGUCCAUCUAGGACUGUUGGUUUAUACAUGGAUCCUAUUCUAGACUAGAAUAGAACGCGUAUCUACGACUUUCCCAUCCAAGUAAGCCACGGUGAAGGAAGGUUAAAUCUUGUCUAAUAUAUAUAAACUUGACCUUUGUUGGUUCAUACAUACCUUUUCAUUCCUGCUAGUAAGGCAUUCCAGGUUUGAUCAGUGCUUUUCUCGAGGAAGAUCAAGAUCCAGCUCUAACCAUAGUCGGUUCUGCCGGUUUAAGUUUCAGGGCAAGUUUCUUGUGUGGGUGGAUACGGUUUCAUUCUGACCUUUGAUUGUUGACUUCGGGCAAGGUCAAGUCAUGGGAUAUAGUUCAAAAAGUGCCAGAAGGCAGCUACGUCUGAGUUGGAUAUGGAAGCUGGGUGAAGUAAGACCAAUAGAGAUGAACUAUUGAUAUUGACCUGGCUAGCGCUAACGCUUUGCAAGGGAGAUGGGUCCGCUUGAAAUCGCUAGAGUGAGAAGAUCUGCUAAUGCAUAUGCUAAUAGGCCUGGUUCAACCAAAGCAUUUCUUCAUGCCCGAUUCUACUUAUGAUUUUUCUGAGUGCUAAUACUUCAACUACUAUUGUGGCCGGGUCUAGUUCUGCUUGAAUCGAAAUAGCAUCGAAUGACGUUCUGCCUGGAAUUGACCUUGCUUCUACUUCUUCCGCACCUGCGACUGUAUGCGAACGUAAACCGGCACGGGAUUCUUUUCCACCCGCUUCUAACUUCUUCCUUGAAUCGAACUAGUUUUUAUUCCUGAACUCCGGAAAUCGUAUCCCUUGGGCAACCCAUUUAUGUAAAGUAAAUAUUCUACAUCUGACUUGAUACAAACCUGCACCACCAGCUUCUUCCUUUAUACCAGUUCGAGGCGAGGAUUGAUUGCUUGAUCUCAAAAACUCCUAGUUAAUGUGCAUCAACAUUGGAGUCGGUAGCUUCGUCUUCUGCCUCAGGUUUAAAAUCACUUAUUCCUAGCCGCCUAUCCUAUCCAUGCGCCGCAAUAGAGGAAAGAGCAGCAAAGAAAUCAAAAGCGUGAAAAUGUCUCGAUAUCGAUAUGUUAGAUGGAGCUCAAUCAAUAGGUGCCGGAUUUCUUAUUUCUCAGAGCUGAGGUCAACCUUGCCAACUCUAGUUCUUCCUCGGCCAAGUAAUGUAGAUUUCCUUGGGAAUUCUAGUGAUCUCUUUCUUCUUCAGCUACUGCUACGAACGUAUUUAGUUUAGAACGAGUAACUACUCGAGGAACUAGGCCAUGGUUUCCGUUAGUCUAAGUAGAUCAAAUCUUGUUGGCAAGAGGACUACUACUGGGAUGGGAUUAUUCUAUUACUAAUUGAUGACCUGGGGGGCUACUCUUCUUUCUCCACUACAUAUAUUUAUUUACUGACCUGUUGAUAGCGGGGGCAGUAAAGAGGAGAGGAGGAAAAAGAAGUAGAGUUAGGUUCUGUUCUUGUGUGUAAGCCCUCGGUCGAUUCGUCUGCUCAUUCACAGCGUAUGAUUCUUAUCCAAUUGCUUCUUCUGAAAACGCGGCGUCGGUUAAUCUUUCUUAUUCUCCCUUCGGGGCUCCUCAUGUUGCUACUAAUAGAAACAGUUCGGACCUUGCUCAUACAAUCCUCGGGACUACUAUUGGUUAAUCUUUGUCCUCCCUAGGGAAAGACGAUACUUUUUGGGAAAGACAGGGUUAGCGCUGCCUGGGUUGAGCCAUUCCUAACAACUCAUCCAGCUUGACUAGCUUGCAUUAAGAGUAGUUCAUUUCCUAUAAAGUGUAGCGAGUUUUCUACCUUUUCACAUAACCGAGAAAAAAGGCAAAGUUACCCUACUACAUGUAUUAGCUAGUUUUGUCUAGUCAACAUCUAACGCUCAUUUCACUAUGGGAUUUAUUUACUCCGAUUGCUUCUACUCUCUUACAGCUGGGUGCGCCUAUAAGGAAGACUUUUCAUAGAUUGACUUUGGACAGGCAAGUUGAACUAUCAGGCUUCACUAACACAAGUAAGAACAAGUAGAAAACUCCGUAUUAAGGGCUGACUUUCCUUUUGACCUAGUUCUUAGCACUAGUGAUUAGCACAAAGGAGGAGAGAAAAAAGGAUUGAAUAAGCGAGCACCAGCAUUGACUUUCUUGCUUUAACUAACCUGACGCCUGGCCCUUUUGCUCUAGGCUCUACUCCUUGUCAUUGAUUUCUAGCUAGCUUUCCCACUCGCAUAAAAGGAAUGAAUCGAGGGUAUUUACUUGCAUUUCUUUGUCCUACUUGGGUUGGGCUUUAAGAAGAGAGGAUUUAUUAGCACGACGAGCAUCGCAUGCUAACCGGGGGAUUGAAUAGGAUAUCAUAGAAUGUAGCAUAUUGUCUUAACUUAUAGGGUAGGGUCUUUCCUAUAGCAAAUCCUCAGUUUCUGUCCAGAGUCCGCCCUUUAGGUGAUGGAUCAUCUUUAUAGAGAGACUAACAAUAAGACUAGAUUAGAUCGUGUGCUUCUUUAUAGACGGUGGGCUUAGGUGGAUCUCCCUCAUCUACCUAGACUAGAUUAGAGUGCUCUUAUCCUAACCUUAGAGCCUAGUUUUUUACGUGAACUCUUGGGCAUUAUCGCAUUCAUGAUGACUUAUGGGCAUAACCAGACGAAGUUAAGAGCUACCUAUUGUGCAUUAGGUUUUCCUCUAGGAUCCGGUUGUAGGGAAAAAGCAUUGGUGUAUGAGCCUACUGUACCGACUCUCCUCAUACUUAUGGAGCAAGAUCCUGUCCCUUUCUUAUAACAGCUCAAGUCAGGAGGGGGAGUAUAACACAUACCCCUCGUAGGCGGUGGCUAGUUUGAGAACUAAUUGCUCAUGGCGAGCUUGUUGGAUCUUCUUAUCCAAUCUAUCUACAAGAUCGGUCAAUCUAAACUUUGUCUUAUAUUCCUAUCUCUUGAAUUCAACUCUGAGCAGAUCGUAGACAGCAUGAGGAUUAACAUUUAGGAACGAUGGCAUUAAAAGACCGGUUGAAUUCACCCUUUCCUCCUUCCAUCAAACUCUGGAUCCGGGCUCUCCUCCACUAUCGUUCCGGGUUGAUGAAAGCUCCAACUCCCUAUCCUAUUUCACCUCGCUUCGGGUUUGCUUUCUUGUUAGCAUGUUUGAAUCAGCAUAAGUGGAGUGCAUUGUUUCUUCAGCGUUUUUCACAAUUUUAUGUUGUGUGAAAGUGCAGAAAGAGAUUGAGAAUUUCCAACUGUGCUUGGCUUAUUUCUUAUUUGAAAGUGAGAGUGCUUACUCUUCAAACUCAGACUCACUCAGACCAAGCCUACAAAAAAACAGGGAUCUCACCUCUCCCCAAAAAGACAUCAACUAUAUGAAUGCAUUCUUUGCCACCAAGACACACACCAAGGGUAGCGAGAACUCCUGGUGGACACAGGAAAAAAAUAUGCAACCAACCCGAAGAUGAGGAUGUGAACCGCAUUACUUCGAUCAAUAGACUUUGAAGUAAAGUGAAGCGAAGUGACUUUGUGAAUUCCACUCGUCUAUAUAUGAGAUUUGUGGGUAGCCUUCAAUCUCUUCAACUAUAUAGGCUCACAUCAAUAGAGAAAAUCUCUAUCUUCUCUACUAAGAGACUUCUUUUUCUUUCUAGAGAUUCCUCUUUCCUAUAUAUAUAGAAUAUACAAGUUGGGUUCGAACCAACGACUCCACCCUCAUAUGGAUUGUGAUGCGCGCUCCUUGCUUAUCCCAGGCUAGGCUACCAAUGAGAUCCCACUCACUGGCUUUGGUUAGUUAUAGUCAAUCCAUACCGCCUUCCUAAGGUUAGAUCAGAUGGCUUGGUUUCAUUUCUGAAUAAAGAGGAGGCUCGGGAGAGUGAAUCUCGUACCUGGCUGGCUUUGAUGCGGGUUCCAGGUCAUUCAGCUGCUGCUACUUACUUGAUGCGUGUACUUCCAGGUUGGAGUUCUUUUACUUUCAAGUUAAUCUACUUAUUGGACUGGACUGAGUUCUUCGAAUAGUUUAUUUAUGCGAGUUCAUUGAAAGACUUAGUGGACCCAGUGAAUUAACUUACUCAUCGGGAUUUUUAUAUUGAACCGGUGUGUUGAGUAAAUGACUAGUUUAGUUGGGUAGAAAGGAAUGGUAGCACAGUGCUACAUGAACGACUAUAACAAGUAGCUUUUUCUGGUGAUAAGGAAGGCACUAGUUGGCUCAGCAGUAGUUAGUUAAGCAGGUUCCAAGGCAGGCGAGACAGUGGAAUGCCUAGGGACAGCUUGAUAUGCACCAAGGAAAGUUGGAGCGAAAUGGGCUGGUGGCUCAGUUGCUACAGGACUAGUGAAACGAACAGUCAGCUCAGUCAAGAGCAGGUAAUUUGUUGGGACAGCCAAGCAAACAGAUGUGCUAUUUUGUUUUUCCCUUGCAUCAACAACUAUCCCUAGCUUUCCUGGACCGGGUAUAUACUCCUCUUUGUCCAGUAGCUCAGUAAGUUGGAACGCGUAUUCCAAUCCAAGGAAGAAAAGCAGUGACUCUCUGAAACUAGUCAGUGCUCGCUACAGUUGCUUACUACUUGCUCGGGUCAGGCAACAGUGGAGAUUCCAGAGAAUCUUAUGAUUUUGGGCCCUAUAUAUUUCUUUCAGGGUUCGGCCAAAUAUUACGAAGGAAACGGAGAACUAUUGCUCGCCUAGAUGGCAUUCCAAAAUGAAUGGCGAGGAGACACUCAACCUUUUUGGUAUACCUUGAGUAAUCCCAACCAAUAGGUGCUGGCUGGUCACAUUGAAUUACUAGGGCUUCUCUCUCUCAAUCAUUUCAUUUCCGUCUCGUAGAUCUGCUUCCAGAGGCCACAGGCACGAAGUGUUUGUACAACUAUUUAAAUGCUAUUAAACUCUUUCUUCAUGCAUGUUGGGUACAAGACAAUGAUUAGAAUCGACUACUGUUAGGCGUGCACGUAUCAUUCCUGUCAACUUAUUCCAUAAGGGUAGCUUCACCAGCAAGCACGGGUGAGAAUGGGUGUAUAAAGUCAUUGACAAGGAGAAGAAGCCGCUUCUGUCAGGGGAUUGGAUUACCCAUGAGUCCAUCUAUGCGGAAAUGCAAUAUUUUAAGCGAUCCUCUACUCUCUAAAGCAAGCCACUGAGCUCUGUCAGGUCAGGUAACAUAAGACUAACUAGCAAAUGCGAUACAAAUCUAUGCACCAACGAUUCGAACUUAAAAUCUUAGACGUAUGUUAACAUGAAAGGAGGGGCCUGCCUAUUAAGCAUUCUAUUCCAUUUCGUGGAAAUGCAUGCCAGGGAUUGGCCACCCACAAGCACUUCUCCUCCAUUGGCGAUGUGGGUGAGUUGAGACUGAAAAAAGGGGCUCUUAAGGGUUCCAAUUCAGAUUUAAGGUCUACGGCUGAAUAGAAAUAGCAGUAUAACUCCCUAUAAUCCGUGCUGUAUUUCCCGUCAGUUUCUUUCUGUCCUACGGAACAUGAGUUUUGUAUGGAAAAAGGGCUUGCUUGCCCAUAGGUAAAAAGACUCAAGGUAUACUUUAGGCGUUAAAAGCUGGCUUAUUACUUGGAAGAAUGACAUAAGCUAAUAAGAUGGGCUUACAAAUUUCAUUGUAGUGAUAGAAAUCUUCCUUUCAGUGAUUCACCUACCUGGAUUUCCCGCCCUGUCAUCUCACUAGUCAAUGGAAAGAAACCUUUGUCAAGAGUCUGCAAGCACAAGAGUGACUACAACUUUUACUUUACCUUAUAAUUUAAACUUUGACUUAUAAAUAACUCUUAGGAAAGCCAGCCCCUUAUUAGUACUCCAGAGAGCUACUUCACCCAGAAUAAAGAGAAGGUUCGAAGAAACUAAUGCAUAAAGACCAGGGGCAGGAGUAUAGAGAGUACAGCGAAGAAGCGUGUGAGUGGUUUGGACGGAGUGGCAGAAAGGAAGAACCCUCAUCUCUUGGACUAAACUCGUACUUUGCGAGAGGCAAUACGCAGGAGUAGGAAUUCCGAUCGGACUUGCUUCUGGGAUGGGAGUGCGGACUGCUUUUCUUAGUUACUUUCUUUUUGGUAUUUCGUAUUUUCAGAUGCGUCUUCUUCUUUCUCAGAUGGCCCGCAUGUAGGUCCAGUGUGCUGCUUUCUUAAGCUGAGUCGUAGCCCUUGACCAACCAGUUAGCCUGUCCCUGCCUUCUCACAGUGGAUUUCUCAACAAUCUCUUCUCUCAAAGAAGGAAUGGAGAGCUCUGUCCUCUCCCUUUUCCUAUGCGCGCGUUCAUAGUGAUAUGAGUGAAUCGAUGUGUAUUUAUGAGGAUCAAACCCUAGAGUGAUUCUAUCGUAGAUUAGGUCUCUGGAUCCGGUGUGCCUUGGCCUGACAGCAAGCUGAACAACUUUGCUGAUCAUCUGGCUUGACUGGGAUUCUCCUCUCAUAGAACAGAUGACUGAUGACUUUGUUGGAGGGAUGGCCUAAACAAACGUUUAUGCCAGAGUGCUUCGGUUGAAGAAAAAACAGAAGGUGAAGCUUGCUCUGUGAUGAAUUGGGCCUUCCUUCAGCUUCCACAUCCUGCUUUGAAUUCAAGAGUCCUUCUUUUCUUGAAUUGGUCUGGUCGGUCAGUGGUUUGUUUUCUGGGCCUGAAUCCCGAUCCCCUAUUAGAACCUUCUCAAGCAAACCCUCGUAAUCCUUUUACAUCUCUUAGUCUAGCCCAUGCAUACCUUGCUUUACCCAUCGUUACUUAUCGUUCAACUUAGAGCUCGAUAGCAAAUUCUUCGAGAGUCUCUUGUUCCAUCUACUAUCCUUUCUGAAGAUAAUAGAGUAACAGUGCUCCAUAGAGAGAGAAAGAAGACACAGUAAUGGUAAGCCAUUGUAGGGAUCAGCCUAGAAGGAGAAUCAUUAAUUCUUGUUUUCAUGAUAUGAUGAAACGAUUCAAUCAUGAUUGGGGUGUGGGUAAUUAUCUUCUUUUUUUUUUCAUAAGAUGCGGUAUUCUUGUAGUGGUUCUCGAGGGCAAAGGGGGGGAUUUGGGUAAAGCCAGUGGUGGUGAUUGUGUCAUCCGUUCUCUUCUUAAUAACUCCCAUCUCCCGAGGCCUAGCUUCGUAUUAUUUUCUUCAUUCAAAGCAACCCAUUACUUUUGCUACUACUACCACUAGUCUAGCUGUUGUCUAUUUGCAACCAUAUAAUUUUUCUAAGAGUACAUGAGAUCGUAUUGUAUUUUGGGUUUGCACUAGCGAUAAGGUAAAUCAAAAUUCUGGCUGGGGGCUGGUUUGAGAGAAGUUUGCUACUCCGGCAGCCUUCCAAUGACCUUAAUGAAACGGGACGAGUCGCAAUGAAUCACUACGAAAAUAGAAAUAUAUGCACUAAUAAAAUAUAGUCAAGCGAGGAGCCUACGAGUUGAUUGAAGAAAGGCACGAGGCGCGGAGCGUCAGGCUUUUGAGAAGUAGUGGAAUUGCUUACCUAGGAAGAAGUAGUAGUAGGAGAAGUCAGAUCUCUUUGAAUAGGUGGUCCGCUUGCUUGGAAAGAAAAGCAAAGUAAGACGCCCUACUUGUACUAAUAACUAGAAGAAAUCAAUGGAUUGAAGAACAAAGCAAAACACUGAUAGUAGAACUAUGGGAGAAAGAAAAGAAGCUUGGUUCACAUCUGGUAAGCGAAAGAGUGAAGUGAACUAGGCGUUGAGUUCACUAUACGGAUUAGCUCAUUCGAAAUCUAUAUAGAGUAUCUCAAUUCAGCUCACUUGGUAGAGUUUUGAGUGAGGGAACCCCGGGGCUGUAGUCAUCCAGUUCACAAAGUCUUGAGUUUCUCCAAAUGAUAUAGAUAGAAAGAAUGGCGAUCUACUAAUAUAUUAUACUUACUCUAUAUAAGGGAUUUCUACUAGGAAAAUCCUCUUUUCAUUCCAAAAUAUAUACUUGAUUCAGAGAUGAUCAAAGACUCCUACCCUAACGCGUGACUCUAAAAAAUCCAACUGAUCUGAGGGUUUUUUCUCCAGUACAAGCAACACAUUGGUAAUAGCAUACUUCCUGCAAUACGAAGGGAAUGAUAAAAAUACCUCACCAACCAAUAAAAAUCCCUAACCUAAUUGGGAAUACUCUCAAAGGACGGACAAUCCGAGUUAAGACGGCCUUCCGAGAAGCACUAUUAGGGAAUACGCGGGAGGGACAUAUGUCGUAGUUCCACAACGCGGAGUUCUAAUGUGGGGAUUGGUCGAAGAGGUUUUAUUAGCUAGAAAGGCGCAAGUCUCAGAGCUGAGCUCACCGCUUCGCGCCUCAGAGGGUGUCCAGACCCGGCAGAAGAUAUAGGCAAUGUGAAAUGUUCGGCUACUAAAUGAAGGAGUUCAGGCUAAGAUAUUAUCGGUUCAGAAGCGCCUGGGUAUGGGUAGAUCAGCAAGCCCGCUUACCGAACUGUUUCAAAAGAACUCGUAAGAAGCUUUACAGCAGCUCAAAGAACCUAUGUAUACGGCCCAGUCCUUGCCAUGCCCGAUCUUCACCCUUAACCAUUUAAUAAGCUUAUGCCAGUGAGGUGUGGAUGCAAUGGAAAGACCCAUAUCGACCGUCUUACGACAAAGAAAAUCUUGCUAUUAAGAGGAAAAGAAAUGGAGCUAGGGUCAAGUUCCAGAGGGGUCUCCAAACAGCCUCACACUACACCAUCACGUGGGAGCUCCUCCACUCCUGUGGAAAGGGCAUGUCUUACUAUAGAUAGUAGGUCAGCUCAAUCACUUUCAUCAAAUUCCCUUGCUUAAGUACAAAAGCAAACUCCCCAGGUUCAAAAGCAACGGCCAUGGGGUCAGGUCACUAUACUCGUCAAGGUUGUCGGAGGUCUGUGAGUCAUACGACUGUGGUACUGGCACUUUUCAAACUGAGACUCACUAAAUAUUACGCUUCUGCUCGCAAAGUAGGCCAGCCAAUAAAACCCAUCUCGUAGGACUCGCUUAGCUAAGGUUCUGGCUCCUUGAUGGCUGCCACAAAUCCCUUCGUGAAUCUCAUUUUCAUUCAUAUUUUGCAAAUACUUCAUUCGAUAUAUUUUUUUAGCUAGCGAUGACAAUGUCAAACAUACCCCGAUAUCCACAUUGUAUCUAGUCCAAUAAAUUGAUUUAGCCCGAAGCAUCACAUCACCUAAAAGACUGAUAUCCAGCUCCAUAUAAUCCAACAAUUGGGCUCUAUUCUCCUGAAGAGAAGACACUUGAACUUCGUCAUGUGCUAUUGAGCCUUUUGAACCUAAGUGCGGACAUAAAGUCUUAGCCAAUGUUUCUAGACUAUUAGGGAGUUGAGUGUAUGAAUCUCGUAGAUGGAACACCAAUUUCUUAUUCCCCCUUUUUUUCCUAUAAAUUGAUAACUGGUAAAGCUUCUUGUUCCUCAUCAGCGGUUUGAUGGUGUACUCGACCAUAUGACUGGCUAAAAACUUCAUUAAGUCGAUCGGAUCGAGAAAUUAGAUUCGAAAAGUAAACUGUUUUCACGCCCUUGUGAGUAGAUCCCAGUUUGGCUAUACGCUCUAUAAAAUCUACCAACAUUUUAGUACUCCUUUCUUCAAGGGAAGGUAUUAUCAAAUUGUAAUCUUCAAAAAAAUAUGUGUCUAUUUGAUCAUCCAUGGCAGCCACAUCAUCCCCCGGAUUCACCACUAAGAGCCCCGCAGCAUAAGGUACAAGCACAUUAUUUAGUAUAACAGUCUCUAUAUCGGCUACAAUGAAAGGAAAACAUUUCUGUUUCUUCUGCUUCAAUGCCGUGAUACACUCAGGAUGUUUACGAUACCUACCCGGAGCUCUUGCUCUAACUUCUCGUGGUUCACCCCUAGCUAUGCCCGCUUCUAUUAAAUUCCAAAUUAUGCUUGCAAUUUCAUCGGAGCUAGGCAACUCUUUGUCAGUGAUUUCAUGCCUACCAAGCAGGUACACUCUAAUGUAUACACCCUUUCAGAAAAUAAAUCCUUCUCGUAUUCUGCUGCUUUUUUGAUUCAUUUUUUCUCAAUAAUAGCAUAGACAUCCAUGUUGGGCGCAGCAUUCCCACUUGAAUCUUCCAAAGAGAAAUAGCAUGACCUAUGAUAAAGGGCACAGGUUCUCCGCUUGCUCUUCUCAUGUUAUAUCCAAUAGUAAACUUCCCAUAUAACAAUUCUGUAUUGUACACGUACUUUUUUAUUUGAGUAGUUUCAUUAGGAACGGAACUUGUAAUUGUAAUAGAAGCCAGAUUUUCUAGUCAGAAUACGGUCGGGGGAAGACUAUCACUGACCGAGCUUCUCUACACUGACCUUUCUUCUGGUCAAGUUCGCAGCUCUUCGAAGAAAUCCGAUUCUUUUCCUAGGAGAAGAGAUUGAUUCUAGUUAUCUUUCUUUCAAAGCCAUCCAUGCAUAGAGAAGACUGGGCCCAAAGCAUUGUAGGUGAGCGAGUAAUCUCUGGAAUAUAAGAAGAGAUAGAGAUGGUUCUUUUGGCUCAUCAAAUGGGACUCGGACUUUGCAGAAAGAGAGUAAUGUUUCCUCCUUUCUCACUCGCCUGGCUGGUCUAUUUAUUGCUAUUAGGUCCUAAUAGAGAAGAAGCUUUUUCCUGCGAAGAUCAAGUUGAACGGUGAGUUCUAAAGGUUUUCCUGAUGUACCAGUGUCUGUGUCACUUUCCAAGUAGUCCUUUCUUAUUUCUUCAAAGAAAGAUUCCCAUUUAGAAUAAGGAAAGUCAAAUAGGGAAGGAAAGGCUAAAAGAACCAAUUUUUCUUGUUUUACCACUUCAGCUACAGCGAUCAAGGGUUCGUGUUAAGUUUCGAACUUGUGAAGAAUUGCCAGUGGGAGACUGUUUCUUUCUCUAAUUCCAUAGUCUUUCAGCCAACAAAGCACUCUAAUUUAUGUAUUAGAAAUACUAUUUGCUCGUAGCCUAGAGGUGUAGACAGGAAUGCUAUGUCAAGGCUAGGUUAGGUGCCUGGGAAAGCCUAGGAUAGGAGCUCUUGGGCACAUUACCCCUGCUACAGUUGAGACGGUCCCAGUCUUUUCUCUUUUUAGGUAAUUAGGAUCAUUAAGAGGUGCUUAGAGGGGUGAUACCAGAACGAAUAGUUAUUCUCACUUUAGGUCAUAUGGUGUAGCUGAAAGAUCUACAAGUGUUUACCGUGAUUCAUCUUGAAUUCCAAUUAUGUCCCUGCAUUUCUGGUGUCCUUCUUGCUUCACUUCUUCUACUUGGACGGGGGAAGCCACUGGAGUCCCCGCCUCUAGUUGAGGGGCUUCCGGGACCCCCUCGAUUUGUGGGGCUUCCGGGUUGACCGGAGGAUGAUGACUCCCCCGUUUCCAAAUUCGCUUUUGGGGUAAGUCAAGAAUUUCAUCUUCCCUCGGUCGUUUACCAAGUGAGGUCUGUUCCCCCCUUAAUCUUCUGCACGUGGCCGUGCCUACUAAAAUAAUAGUACAAAUAGCACAGAGUAGUACUGACGUUUCAAAUGAACUAAGUAAAAUAUUGUUCUCCAUACUUAAGAAAGCAUGAUUGUAGCUCCGCUUCUUGCUUUGCUCUAAGCAGAAAGACUUAUCUGAAAUCGCAGGUUGGGUUUUCCAACCAAAAGAAAGACAUGGGAGUCUUUGUGCAUCUUCUUCUUCGUAACCCAAGGACCGACGAACAGAAAUUGAAACAACGCAACCGUACUAUACUAUCUAUUUACGAUAAUUUGAUUGCUGACAACAUCACGCUUCUCUUUCUUAUUCUUUUUUAUAUAACUGUCACUUUACCGGGCCGGAAAAGUGACACCGUCACGUCUCAGGGUCGUAUGCCUGGAACAAGAAGGGUCGUCGUACAAUUUCCAUUUCGGCGAUUACAAAAAAGAAGGAGGCGAGCUCCCUAUCCCUCUUUGUCUUUCCACUUCCGGAACAAACACUUCGUAAAAUUAUUUUGAGUCCCGGCCCGGUUUUUCCCCACUAACCAAUUACGUUACGACCACUGAACAAACUUGGUUGACGAACAUGGUUUAUGCGCCGCUAAUCUAGCGGCUUGUCGAGCAUUUGACAAACUCACACCAUCCAUUUCAAAUGGGAUUUGUCCCGUGGACACACGAGCAAUCCAACCCGUAGGAUUUCCUUUUCCUCUUCCCAUUCGAACUUCUGCGGGUUUCCCCGUAAUAGGAAGAUCUGCGAGAACUCUUACCCAUAUCUUACAAUUUCUUCGGAAUUGUCCGCUCAUAGCACGACGGAAUUGUCCGAUUGUAGCCCGACGCGCUGCUUCAAUGGCUCGAUAUGAAAGACGACCAGCUCUACUACUUUUGGUGCCAUAUCUUCCAAAACCAAGUUGUGUACCAUCCGGUUCGCGACCCCUACUACAUCUGCAUUUACUAUAUUUACUAUAUUUCGUACGUUUCGGAUAUAGCACGUCCCUUCUUAUUUUGACUAUAUGAGAUCCGCACUUUGACACCUGAAAUUCCGUCACGAGUAGAUACUUCCGCAGGAGCAUAAUCGAUUUUCUGGUUAAAUACAUUACAAGAUGUUUUUCCAUACUUUCCGCAUUCAGUUCUAGCUAUUUCCGCACCCCCUAAUCGACCAGAACAACAAAUACGUAUCCCCUCCACCCCUUUUGGCAUUAUUAAUGGAAUAUCCUUAACUAUUUUACUAAAAAUGGAACGAAAUGAGAUUGGAUUGUUCCUCAGUUGAAAAGAGAUGUCUUGAGCAAUCAGAGAAGCACUUUGAUAAACUGAUUUGAUCUUUACCGACUCAAUUAAGGUAUUAGUGUUUGUUCUAUUAGACAAAAAAGAUCGCAUUUUUUGCACUUCGUUCAAAUAAGAGUUGUACCCGUACGGAAUUCUCCUCUUUCUCAGUAUGAUCUCUAUCAUCAUCUCUAUUCCCUUUAUCAAUUUGCCUAUCCUACCUAGGUCUAUGAAUUUCUCUAUCAAUUCCAUUACCUUAUCCUUACCCAUGAGGUUCCUACAUUUGAUCCUUAAUUGACCUAGGAGUUGUUCCCGGGCAUACUCAUAAAAUGGGUUAUUAUACACCCCAACCCCAUCCCUUGAAAAAAAAAAGGUAGCACCGAAGAAAGGAAAGAGCGAGAUGGUGGUUUUUGUUGUUCCCGCGAAGCGAAGAUCAUUCGCUUGGCGAAUGAAGUGGAUCAACCUCUUUUUGGCUCGGGCCAAACACUUUUUAUCGCUGGUCGAGCUUUCUACAAAAAAAGCGAUGCGAGAGCGUAUUCUCUUAUCUAAGCUUCCUCCCUUCGCUCCCCCCAUCGUAGAUGGUUCAGCCACACCCGGUGCCACGAAAUGAUUGAGAACUACGACGGGGUCGAAAUGCAUUUUGUUCUUUGUAUUAAAAAAGUAUUGCAUGACCGAAUAAUUCAAGGAGGGGCGCACAGCGGGGAGGGUCCUUUUUAGUAGAUGACUCGUCGGGCCGUCAGAGCGGGACUUCUUUGGUAAAAAAAAGAACUUGAAUAACUUUGUUUUUAUGAAGGAGUCGUCAUUUUCUAUCAGGAAGGCUAUGUCAUUUACAACCCCGGCGUAUUUCGGAUGCUUGAAGGCCCCGCUCACCCGAAGUGAUUUAGAAAAAUUCUUCUUUCUCGAUGGUGAUCGGUCAUGGUAUCCAUAACGUUGCAUCUUUUUCGGCCAAAUCCUGAUUUCGUUUUGCUUCUCCCGGUCGAUCGACUCGACUCUUUUCCCUGCCCCCCGGCCUCUCACUUCGUUUCGUUCUUCCUCUGUACCCUCGCUUGAAUGAAGACACCCGAUCGGCCCGACUUUCCCAAAUGCCCACCACCGGCCCUUAUCCUUUCCGGGUCUUGAUUUGUCGCGUCGUUUUAGUCGUAGUGGUCGACGGGGAAGAAAGAAAUGAAUGAAUGUCCUUUUGGGAAAAUGUAGAAUAAUACACCUACCGAGACGAAAGCCAAAGGUGAGUCUCGUAGGUGGACGUAUCGAACUGAAAUAAGAUCUAAGAUUGACAUCUUGAUACAAUGAUUUACCAUAAUAAUAAAUAGAGUCAAUGGUGACAGAGCCGUGGGAAAAGCCGCUUCUUUUUUGCGGCGGGGGCUUCCAUUCACCAGCGCAGACUACAUACACGUGCUCUCUGAACCGUGCUAGAUAGUCACCCAUCACACGGCUCUCAAACCCAACCUGUGGUGGAUCCCGGGGGACAAAGCAAAGUAAAAGCGCUUGAUCCUUUGCCCCAUACUUGGAGAUCUUCCUCCCCGCCGAUCAAGCAGCAACGCUGCUCGUGAUAGGCUUAGCUUAAGCCGCUAACGUUCGGUUCGGAUAAGUAAGAAAGUCCCUUCGGUCGGUUCGCUCAGGUGGUCUUCCCUUAUUUUCCCUAACGUUCAGAGUUGUUCUGGUUUUAGAAAGGAGCACCGCCAAGUCCACUAGGGGCGCCCUGAAUGAAUAAGAAAUGGACAGCUGAGGCAUAUCUCAGUAGCUUGCAUGAAAAAUAGAAGAUAAUAAGUUAGAUGUCGAUUACACACCUGAGGUUGGUAAGAACUGAGGGACAAUGCCCCCCUCGCAGGGCCCAUCAGCGAAGCAACUGCUACUUAAUCGGGCGGUUUGCUUUCGUGCAAGGCCCCCGCUGCUGGAACAGGCGGUUGUCAUUUUCAAGUAAACGCCCCACCCCAGAAGGACGCCCUCGCUCUAUUGGCAAAACGCUUCGAAAGAAGAACGUAUCGCCAAGGCCCCGACCGGCCGGCCCGCCCCCUUUCUUUGCCCGCCGGCCGCCUAGCUCGUUAUUCUUUGAGAUCUGGAUAGAGUCUCGCUUCGGGGCGGGGGAAGCAUGGAUUCGAUAGAUCUAUCGAAUCCAUGCUGCAAGCAGCAAGCGUAGGCUAAAAAGGCAAUAGUCUAACGUUGGGGUAGGGCGCGCCAAAACAACCGGGGGCCCCGGAGGGGUCAGUACAAAAGUACUAUAUUCUUUCCACUUACUUUCAUUGGCUAGCUGCCUUUUGUAGCGCGCGUACUCUGAUCCUCUUCUACGAAUCUACAACUCUCUUUACUGAGCGAGACUUCAUCUAUAUCCCUAAAAGUGGAUUUUGAUUCCCAUUUUUUCUUUGAAUGACAGCUUCAACUAGGCUCCACCUUAGAGAGGGUUUUCGGUUUUUUUUAAUCAAGAUAGGGUCAGGGGCGCGUCGGAACGGUAGCUGCAAGGUCUCAUCCGAGAGUCCAAUCUCUUUGUACUGUGCUUUUAUGUCUUUGAAUAAAAAAGAAAGAAGGGGGUCGAUUUAGGCUCCUUCCCUUCCACUGCAUAGCUGCGCUAUCAGGUACUACGAGCCCUCUGCCCCACGCAUCUAACCAGCUCGCGUGGUUCACCGGUUCCACCGAAAACUCUCAUUUGUUGAAGCGGAGCAUAGUGCGGCGCCGAGCGAAAAAGGUCUCUUUUUUCGGUUUAUUCACUGAUCUGAAAUGAAACUUAGCACUUGUUUUUUUCUUGAUUCCUGGGGCUAGGCGUUCGCAGAAUCAGUCUAUCCGAACCGCAGACGCACUUUUAAGAUCAGUGACGGCCUCUCCAGCGGAGCUGGGCGCCGGGGCCCUGGAUGCGCUAGCGAUCGGCACAUUAGGGGAGUAGAGUACUUGCCCGGGUUUCUCGGCCUGGUAUCCUUAUCCUCGCGUUCAUGAUAUCUACAUUCAACUGUGCCCCGGAGACACGGUCGAAGCACGCCCGCCCCGUGUGCGUCUUUCACGACAUGCUCUGGUCCCGGGUUUCUUCCUGUGGUCUUCUAGCGUUAGAAGAAGUCGUGUCCGUCCCGGACAUCUGCAACGUCCUCUCACGCCUUUGGGGGGACAAACAAAGAUCAGGAAAAGACGGACCGAACCCAUUCGGUGACUUUCGCGGUCGCCCUCACUGAACCGACUUGGAUCUGAACUACGAUUCAGAUCAAGUCUUACCGAAAUUGGAUUUCCUUUUCGUGCCAUAUGUCGCUUAGACUUUACUUUUGCCCCUUUCUGCCCUUUCCUCUAUUUGUUCGAUAGGGUCCUCGUUCUAUUCUAAUUCUAAACCCAUUGUCGUCCACAGUUUCCUUGUCGACGCGAAGGGGCAAGCAGCCCCCAAACAAAGUCUGAGAUCAGAACUCAUACCGCGGUUGUGGCCGCAUGCAAGUUCUUCAAUAUUUAGAGAGUAUGUGUUAGUACGAGAUCGCGCUAUCAACUUAUUUAAUCUUUCUCGAUGAAGCAAGAAAACGGAUGCGCCUAGCGCUAGUUGCUCAAUCCGUUGCUUGUUUGGUUGAUUAGGACAAAAUUGUAUCCCUUAGGAACCGUACAUGCACCUUUGUUUGGAUGCCGAUUGAAUAUUGUUACAAUACGAAAUACUUGAAGGCCACACGCAAUUGACUCACCUACAUUUUAUGCUCCCACCUUUUUGUAGACUCAGCUUCUGCCUCUGGGGAAGCACUCACAUUAUGAUCGAAUUACAAUGUGCAGGUUUUGUGACCACCACUGAUGCUUGCUGUGGGCUGGGCAAGUAUGGAGGCCUAUUCUAUUCAUGUGUGUUCUUCCACGGAUGGCGUGCUGCGACGCAUCGAGCCAUGUCGGGUGCAAUUCAUCUAACUAACUCCACCUUCCUCCUACGGGUCUGCAGUCAAAAGAGUUGUUCAGUCAUAUGGUAUGUAUACAUAAAUCUGCUUUUCACUCUUCUGCAAUGGGAUUCGGACAUGAUCCAAUCGACCUUCCUCUACUUGUUGAUGGCCUGUACUGUAAAGAAGAGCCCAGCGGAUGGAAGCUGUUGAGUGGAGCUUCACCUGGCUGGAUAAAAGCACUCUACCUAGGCUUGUAAUAACUAGUACUUUCUAUAAUGCUUGGUUCCAACUAAUAAUACAUCAUGGUACCUUAUAUUCUUUAACUACUAACGGAACUGAGAUAGGCCUGCCUGGGUAAAGAAUAAGAAAAAACGUUCCGGUAAUAGAGAUUGCCUUUAGCAGGAAGAUGAGUAGAUCGCUCACCUGGAACUUCUUAGCCCUCUUUCCUUUAGAAGAAAAACCUUUGUGAAUGCUCGCCCUGGACCAAGGCUGGCUAUAGGCGGAUCGCCCAACCGAUCAUAAUCAUAGGUUCAACCACACCAGAAAAGUGUUUAUACAUUUGGAAGACUUACUACACUGGAACCUAGAUAUCAACUAAACUAGGAAGUAGAAGCUAGGGCAGAGCCGUUUGUUUACCAAACGAACUUAUCGCCGUGCUCGUGGGCUAUGCUUCAAGUGCGGGGAACUACCCUGUAUGCGGUCCAUGUACCCUCGCCUGCGGCUCCUGUGCUCAUGGUCCCGUUUUUUCUCUUCGCUUCGCCAAAAAGAAAGGAAGAGAAGAGGUCGGAAAGAUCACACACAGUACGAAAGCAAGCAUAAACCAAACGAAAACCGAUGUAGCGAGAAAGAGGGCACCGUCCUUCCUUUUUGGAGCCAAGGGAGCCUUUGGCCUAUCUGUCAGUAUGUUGUGCAUUCUCUCACUUCCAAAAUAGCAUAUAAUGGAUGUCAUGUACCAGCUAUCUCUGAAAAGGUAGAAGGGCCCUUUAGGGACAGCAAGAGUUGCUUAGUGCUCAAUAGUGCUUGCAAAGAACGUUCAAGAUAGCUGACUGACUGAGCUACUUCCGUAAUAGGGGUCCUUUCUUUUCAAAUCCGACCCACCCCCAUCGAUUUUAAAAUAUGCAUUGAGAAAGAGCUUACCGGUAAAUACCCUAUCCCCUGUCUGAACUCUUGGAAGAACUUAGACUUGGGCACUUGUAACAUGGUUGGAGGCAUAGACUUGGAGUCCAAACGCCAUUCCCUAAAACCUUAUGAGUAGCUUACUAUCCUGCCUGGGUACUUCGCAAGUCCUGCUGCUAUCCAAUUAGGCUGGCUUCAUUACGUAGAGCGGAUCCACCCAUACAUAAUAGGAGUACUCUUAAAGUAAGACCUUUAGAGCCUAUAUAUAGUAUAGCUUAGUAGCGGCCGGCUGUUCAAUUUGAGAAAGGCCCAUCUCCUGAUUGUCUCAAAUCGAAUAAAACUCUUUAGCAAUUGGUCUGACAGAACGGAUGGUAAGGUGGGGGACCCAUACCUUUAUUCUAUUCCCGUGCUUAGAGCGAGUGAAUGAAAAGCUACGCCUGCUGCUUGUGUUGAUUGAAAAGAAACCUGUCUAAUUGAAUAUGCUAGUAAUCAAUCGCUGCGCGCCUCUCAUCAUUUCCUGUGCUUCUGCUCGUAUGCCAAUAAGUAAGUUUAAGCUUUAUGCAUAUGGCUCAAAUCUCUUUGCUUUUAUUUAUCAAUUAACAACUUCUUUUUAGCUCUGACAUGGCCUAGAAAAAGGUGGUGUCAAAGCCUGGAAUGCUUGGAAAUCUCAUUAUUGGCAAAGCAGAUGCAUACAUAGUUAGGGUCAAAGAGUUAUUGAAGAAGUCAUCAUGUGAUCGAUUGACCAGGAAAUAACCUUAUUUGGACUUAGAAGCUACUGGUGCGGAAGAAGGAAGCGUAGCUGAGUCAUUCCUUAUAUCGAAUCUUAUUACCAGCUUUCAUAGUGAGCAAAGCACCCGGCGCAGUACAAGGCUAAGAUGUAAGUAGGUGCACAGUACCCUCACGCAAUAGCAUUUAGUGGAGCUAUUAAAAAGUAGAUGGAGUAUGCUUUUCCGAAGAAGAGUGAUCCUGGGUAAAGGCAAAGUGUGUCAAGCAGGAAUAUCGUUUUUGGAUCCAUGCAUAAGUUGGCGAAGAUGGUCUAACUUAAGACUUUUCAACCUGAGCAUGCGUGCUGUGGAUUUGAUGUGGAAAGAAGGAAGAAAAGGUUGGAUAGCUCUAUAAUUAAUAAGAAUCUCAAGUGAAAGGGAUCUAUCCUGUUGCAGUGAAGGUUAUUAAAAAAUAGCUUGAACAGAAGUUCGGUAUUCAAAUAACAUACCGAAAUAAAAACUUUGGCAAGGAAACUAAUUAGCAAUGUGGGGGAUAUAUGGCUUAAAGUGGGAUGAUUCUCUCAUAGAAGUAGGGGCAGGAGGAGAUAAUGAGUCUCAAUCCAGGCAGUGUUGUGGACGUCAGCGGUAGAGAUAAACUCAAAGACAAAGGAUGAGAUUUGCAUCCAUUAGCCAACAUUUCCAACGCUUUCUUAUUGCUCUUGGUGCCUAACUCGCAGACAUUAAUUGGUGUACUCUCUGCAUUUCACCUCAAAGUAAAAUGGAAGGGUCUUCUUUCCGUUCCGCUGCGAACGCAGUUUCUGGAUUUUGAGCUUGCUUUUGCUCUUAUGGAAAAUGAGAGGAUGAAUGGUAAUGCUUUUUUAGAGCAUAGCAUGAAGCAAUAGGGAUGAAGGAGGGUCUUGUUCGUAAUCCAUGCAAAAAGGCUUAGUAGAAGCAGUGAAAAAGGUGCACACAUCGGACGCUUUAGUAGCCUGCCUUUUACCACUUACUAUACCACACCACAAGUACACACAGGUACUGGCCUUAAUCUUUGUCAUUAAGUCCGCACACCCUUCAAUUUUCCAUAGUAUGCUACGAUAGGUUCUUCUUGUAGUAGGUAGAGCAAGCAAUUCUUCACUGAAACUAGGGAGAGGGCGAAUAAACGACCGAACUACCAUCUAUCAUAAGGAAAGUACCAGGGCAAGGGACUUGAAUCUCAUUUUGCUGGAUAACUCUUUCCAAAGCUGCAAGAAAGGUAAAGAAUGAAAACAAAUACUUUAAAGAAUACAAGCCUUAGCCUAGUUUCAAAGAAGAAGUUUGUUCCGUCUUAUCUUCUAUGAAGGCGGGUAGGGCUCUUUUCACAUUACCAGUGGAGUUUCUCUUUAUUCGACCCAGACUUUGAAGCUAAGGAAACACCUUCUAGUUUCAAAAUGUAUAUAUUAACUGGUCCCUAUUCAAAUAGAAAGUUUGACCUCAACCCUAUUAUAAUCAUGCUACUACACCAUGGCUAGCAUCCCUAUGACAAUGACCAGUUCGUGCCCAUUCUAGCCAUGCCCGUGCCAGAGACGGAUCAUACCCUAUUGACUUAGGCUGAGCGAAGCUUUCUUCUUAUGCUGUGUCAUAGCCUAUGGGAAAGGCCAGUUGCCCACUAGCAUAACUAUCCUACGCACGAUUUUGAGUUGUCUGCUCUAAUAUUCGCACUGAAGAUCUGUGGGUGCCGACUUUUCAAAAUCACCAGACAAUAAAAGAAAAAUGCAUCAGGAAUGAAAUCUGACACAGCGUGGCUGGAACUAAUUAAACAUUACGAUCUCGUCAAGGAUUAUGCAGCUAAGGAGUGGUGGCUGAGGCAGUGGAAAGAGAAAAGCCAAUAUGGCGUGGUGACGAGUGAGGUGCAACUCUUGAAAUAGAUGCAGCAGAUUUGUGCCUUGGUAAGAAGAAUUAGUGGACAAACUGACAACGAGAGAGGGGGGACCGAGCCAACGAGGAAGAGCACUGUUCUUAUGCUAAAAUCCAUUAUGGUACAUACACCGGGGCAGGAUACCCGAUAGGCAUAGGCAAGGUGGAAGAGAUCAAAUAAGACAUUGAGAAAAGGAUGCAAAAAAGAAAAGAACGAAGUUGCAAGAAAGAGAGAAAAGAGCAUACUAUAGACUCCGCGAAUACAAGUCAGUAGACUCAGCGAUUACAAGUCAGUAUUUGUCUCACCGUACGUCUUCUUCACCCCGACUUGCUUCUUUCUGCUCUUUUCAUUCAAAUAAGCUCUUCCCACAACCUUUCAUUGCCAUUUGUCUUCGAAUCCUCUUCGGCAACGCUGGGCCGGUCGAAGGGCGCUUCCAGCUCGUUAAAGCAACCACAGGAGAAGAACCACAAGGAACGGCACUACAGGUAUGGUACGAACCAUGCUCUAAGAUUGAUAAACUACAUCAUCCAAGACUUCAAUACGAAUCCAUAGGUGAGGAGAGCAAGCCAAUGAAGUCAGCCCAUUAGCUAGAUUGGCAAUAAGCAUUACAGGAGUCAGUCUGUCCAGUAUGUAAGCCAUGAGUCUACUACUUAAGCCUAUGCAGUCUGUCCAGUAUGCCUCAUGCUGUAGUAUGUCCGAUAUGUCAUGUAAGCCAUGGAGUGUAUGGACUAAGUAAAAGCAAUGGGCUAGGAUUGGGACUGCCUACCUUCUACAACCAUUCCUACAGGACACCAACUAUGCUGCCUAGGGCUAUCAUGAACACAAGGACAGAGUGAGGAUUUGAUUCACCUUAAUCGCUACGCGCCUUGAUUAAUGAUAUUUAAUUCAUCCUUUCUAUAUGAUAUUGAAAGAGUCUAGUGGGUGAGAAAGAUCAAGUAAAAUAAAACUCCAAGACUUCAAUACGAGUCCUAUAAACAAUAAAGGGACAGUUAAAGAGAACAGACUAAACAGUAGCGGAAGGUAGUCCAUUACAGAUGCCGCAGUGCCUUUAUUAAUUAUAAAAGCAGUUAUGACUAAACAGAUGUCACAGUAGCCCAAGCCAUAGGCCCUUACUUAAUAUAAUAUAAUAGGCUUUCUUAUCCACGGAAGAAAAUGUGUGGUACUGGAUGUGGCCUCCCUAAUAUUUGAAUCGCAUCAUCCCCGGUGCCAUGAUCUAUCACUUCCUUCGCAGUUUUCUUCUCCUCAACGAAUGAUAAAAUAGGAUCACCUCUUGCACCAAAGCAACACACUAAUAGGUAGUCUCAUCAUAGGUCUAAUCUUGCCCCACUUUCACUAAGGGAGAAGAAUCAAAGGCUUUGACUUAGGCACUGCUGGCCCGUACGGAAGUGCUGCGAGCAGAAGUGAAAUGAAUGGGCAACGAGUCCAGAUGUAUGAAUUCCCUAAAUGGAUGGAGACGAUAUUCUUCAACAACAAGAUGAAGAAGGAAAAGCCGAAGUAGAUGACCUAUGAAUGGGGGAAAACCUACAGAUGAAAAGCAGGAUAUAAGUUUGUUUGAUAGUAAGCUAAGCUCGUAGGAGCCGCAAGAGGCCAUGUUGGAGGAGCUAAGAGCACUUGAAAAGAAUCAAACUUGGGAUCUUGUCAAACUCCCUAAGACAGCCUGCUACGAGCCCACUAUUUGCACUACACUACUAGUUAUCUCACUUGAAACCCUUUGGAAAGGACCCACAAAUAGCAAGAACCAUAGGGCGGAAAGGGGCAAAAGUAAAGUAAAGUUGUGGCAGAGAGUAUGACCACACAUAGUUUUUUUCCUGGGUGGGGGGUUAGGUAUCCCCUUUCCUAUCUGUCUUACUUUCAUGUCCUGGCUUUCUAUUUGCAAAUUCCUAGUAGGCCAGUGUCCCUUUCAAAUUGGUUACGGGGGCCUACCUCUUUCAUAAAGCUGGAGUCUUUCCCAAGCACGCUUAAUGGGGCAGGGAUACGGUUUUCUAACCAGUUGUUUACCAGAAAGUAUAAGUUUCUACUUUUUGACCAUCCCCGCUUAGCGCCCUUCGCUUCUUUGCAAUGGCUUUCGUUCUAAGCACUAGGCUAAAAAGAAGCUUCUUCCUCUGUGAAAAUAAGUCAGAUUUAGUUGAGAUUCGGCUUUGCCUUAGCUUGGCCAACAGUCCAUCCGCUUUCAGUAUUGAUGAAGAACGCAGGUACCCUAUAAGCAGAAGUACAAGCCAACGCCGAGAAGAUAGGAAUCAGUAAGAAGUCGUACAAGCAUAGCAUGAAGCAAUAGGGAUGAAGGAGGGAUAAGAUAAGACUCAAGAGCUAUAAGCUAACCUUGGGGUUCCUUAUAAGCAUAAGCACUUGUCUUCUUUCUAACAUCACCAGGUGUCAAGCCACCCGGUUCUCUUCCUCUAUCCUUCUGUACGAGUUAUCCGGUGCUUAGGCUUGGAUUCCUCCCACCUGAGCAUUCUACUUCCCCCUAUUGGCUUACAACUCUCGCCCUCUAGUUACAUACUAUCUUCUUACUGUGGAUCACCAUCUUGUUAGGCAUUCCACGAAUUCCAAAUUUCUUUAAUGCGACUCAAAAAUUAUUGCGAUAAGUUAGACCUGCUGGGAGGAGAUUACCUCUGAGAAACUUCUCAUUUUUCUUGGUGGGACAGGGUUGCUUGUCUCUUUUACAGAUAGUGGGGGCAUCAAAGUUAGGAUUCCUUUAAAGAUGUGGGGGAAAAGUAUUAGCACUGGUAGACUGGUCCAGGAGUUUAGGGGUGGCCUUAACCGUCUCACAAUGGCAAACUUCCUCAAGCUACUCAAUGAACACGUUGAGGCCUACCUACGCACUUCUUUCCAAUAUCCUCUAUCUAAAAAUCAAGUCGUUACGCAUUUCUCGCUUCCACAAGGACGAAAAAAUAGGACGAUUACGGAACUUUUUCUGUCCCCAACUUUUCCCACAUUUAUUCGUUUACUUUUUCGUAUCACUAAUUCAGGAAAGUCCCUCUAUGGACUGAUGUUCUCCGUUUUACGGAUCCAAAAGUGGGUAACGCAUUGCGAUCUCUAGAUUUUAUGGCUGAUGCUUAUAAUAUGCCCGCUGCAGAAGCGAAACCUGUUGCCAUCGUCAUUUCAAUCACAAUUAAGGGAGACCGAACGGGUUCAAGGCAUUGGGCAGAAUGAACGCUUUUUCCUCUCCUUUAUCCUUGGAUUUCUACCCUUAACCAGUACGACGAUAGGAAAGAUAAGUUGAUAAGCGAACUCAGAAAAGGAUCAAUUCCAGAAGAAGAGACCUCGACUCUGAGUUUAGUAGAGUAUAGUCCACGGUGAACGAACGAGUCCCUAGGAUAAGUUAAAUUGGUAGGUCGAGCUAAGCCAGAUGAUUAGUAAUCAAGAUUAGACCAAAACAACUACCGGGGAAAUCCUCAACGUGAUAAAAUACUAUUUCAUUGAGAUGAAAGAUGCAAAUGGCAAGUCCUCAAUGUGGACGAUCCCCAGAUAUACUUCUGCUCUUCUGGGAAAUUAGAUGGCAAAUAAGCAUUCGUCAGGAAGGAGGGACGGACUUUGCUUUGGCGGGAUCAGGAAUUUCCAAAUCCUACUCUUUAUCACCUUAGAUUAUAUAUAAUGAAGAAGAAAGGAGUGAUUCCUCGAGUAGAUUUAUGUUUCUGCUGAAUGAAUAAAUAUGAGAUGGAGGGUCACACUUACGAUGGCACGCACCGCACUUCGAGAGGAAGGGGUCUUCGGUUCGCAUUCUUUUCAUCGUCGACAACGCGCUAGUUUGCGAAAAAUCCCUUGCCUUGCUUCUUAGGAGGAGAGGAGUACGCAUCCCGUGCCAACUACAUAAUGCCUGAUGGCCAAACAAGGCUUCUGACUACGAAAGACACCACCCCAGCAGGGAAAGGCGUGAAGCGUAAAAAGCAGCUAAUCUGGAAGUCCGGUAGUAAUCGAAGUAAUCCGUCAAGGCGAGCCAAAGAAGGAACCGAGAAAUCUGAGAAUUGGCAAUCCAGAAGUGGGUGUCGGAAAAGAAGAGACAAGACUUUCCCUCAUUCAUUCCUUAGAUUAGGACGGGGAAGCUUCCUAGAGAGUAGUUAACCCGGGUUAGCUUUGAUGGACUACUUACUGGCGCACGGUAUUCAUAUGAGAAAAGGUUGUUCGUGGAUAACAGUUGUAUUUCUUUACUUGACCCGUACUUCCUUCCCUUAACCUGAUCCAGCUAGUCUUUCCUAAGAGAUAGGAAGCCGAGAAACUAAACAGGGGAUAGCUAUCGAGAGAAGCAUCGAAAGUAUAGAACCCCGGAGCGAGGGGAAGGUCGGAUCCUUGACCGAGAGGAGGCCAUCCCGAGUUGGUAAGAGGUUGGAAAAGAGGAAAGCAGCUACCCGACCGCGCUAGUUGCUCAAUCCGUGGCUUGUGAUACUAAAGAAACCAAGCAAGAAAACGGAUGCUAUGCUAGUUAGCGCUACGAGCAAUCAAACGGAUAUGCUCAAAGGAAAGAACGGACAUUUCUACGAGUGAACUCUUCAUUCAAUAAACAAAGCAUGAUUGGAGCAAGCUGCCUUGACCAAUAUACUGGACCAUCUGAGAAGAAAGGGGUGAUUCCUACUAUGACACCAGAUAAUCCACCAGAGAAUAGUCAAUCCUAAACUAGAUAAAGCCGAGUAUGCGAGGAAGCCUAGGUAGCUGUUUGAUCGGAGGAAGCACGGCGGAAGGAGGCGGCUAGAACAUUCCCUCAAGGAAGAAGCCAUAUGUUGUCUUACCAUGAGCUGUAUCCAUUGGUCAAAAUGGAAAUCAUUGGUUAUUAGUUCGGAAAAGAGUAUCAGUCCCGGAUAAAUCCACUUAAGAAGCUGCUUCUUUUGCUGGGAGCAAGGAACGAACAAGAAAGGUCUUGAGCUGCCAAGAAGAAUUCAAAGCGUAGGGUGCACUGCACCCUGGCGGCUACUCUGGUUAAUCGCAUUACGGUGAUCGUUCUUUCCUUCUGGUCUCGUAUCCAUGCCCAUGCUUUCUUCUUUGCGCACUGUUCGUUAUGUCCUUAGCCUCCGCUUUGCAAUCAUUAAAUGAACUAGUACACUCAAUCGCUGGUUCGACAUCUGCCUUCCCUUCUCUGGAGCAGUUAUGUAGAUAGGAGUGGUAGGAAUCAGCGAGCAUGUUGCCAUUCGAGGUAGUCCAACCUUCCUAUUAAUUAGAAUUCUGGGUAACCCUAUCGUUGAUUGACGGAUCGGAGGGACUAAACUGUUCCCUUUCCUUGCGGUUAUCUAUUUCCUGUUCGUGCUGCGCCAUCAGAUUAAUCGUAUCGUGAUCCUGGUAUCGCUCGAGCAUCUCUUUCUGAUGAAACCUUUGCCCUUGCUUUCUCCACUACACCUGGUAACGCACAGUGCUUCUUUCUUCGAUCUAUCCAAGGGAGGCUUAUUCCUUUAAGCAGAGUAUCCAGUUCGGCAUUCCCCUUUUCUUUCUGAUCGUGGUCCUUCUCCUUUAUCCGAAUCCGAGUGACUUCCUAUUCGAAAAGAAACAACUACUGUCACUCAAGAAAGCAGAUCAAGAAAGCUGAGCCAUAACUUCACCUCCAACCCAACCCUAUGCUAAAGAAGGUGCAAGAAAAGCUUAUGCUGGUGCAAGAACUUACCCUCUCUACGAAAGAGACCUUGCCACAGCCCACUUCCUCGGACGAGUUAUAUUCCUUUUUUGCUAUUACCCCACUCUCUGCUUCUUCUAUAUCUGAUGAUACCUUAGCCGAGGACGAAAACGACUACGACGAAGAAAAACGAAUGAAGGCCGAUUUCCUUUUCCCGGUGGUGGGUACCUCGACUCCAAUAACAAAAGAAGAACAGUCUCCCGUACUGCCAAUCUACACUACACGAAGAAGGGAGGAAAGCCGUUGAUUGAUUGCAGCCUCGGUUCAAAUCUCUUGUCUGUUCUCUAGUCUCUAGCAGCAAGGAAUGAUUGCCCCGGCCCACGCUUGGAAUAAUAGGGUUGCCUACUUGAAUGCUGGACACACUUUUUCUGAUCUGCUGGCAGCCGAAUUGGAAACAAGGUCAGAUAUCAAGAGAUCCAAUCUUAGGCUGUAUCAAACUUCCGACUUCAUGAACUCCCCUUCCACCUAUCAAGGUCCAAAGGACCGAUAUCAGCUCCCAUCCCAUCCCGACAAACAGAAAUGAUCUCAUUCAUUCACAUCUGGUACCAAUACCAAUCAAUGUGUCAGUUCACUCAAUGCGAGUAGAAUACGAAAGACAGAACAGGGACCUGGCCAAUGGAUAAGAAAUGGGUAGAUUCACACCGGCCUCAAAGAGUUGUCAGUCCCUUUCGAGUAAGCAGCCUAGCCGGCGAUUGUGACAGAACUCGGCUAAGAGGUCAAUGCUAAGAAGCAGUCAACUCAAUUCAAGUCAAGGUGCCGGGAUAGCCACUAUUUAUCCGGCCAGUGGAAUAGCUUUCCACCGAGCCCCAAGCAAGUAAGUAAUUCGCUUUCCUCCGUUCGUGUAAGCACUCAUGCUUCCACUUCACUCCAGAAAGGAAGCUAAGCUCAUUUCUGCCAUAGAAACAAACUCAUUUCGGGGCGGGGUUCUUCCCUAAUUGGAUGCUGAACCAAGCAAGAAAACUUAGGAUGUGCUAGACUCGCGAUAGUGAGUAAGAGGAAAGCGUUAGCGCAACUGCUUUCCAGCUAGAAAACAUCAUUUCAAGCACUGGCCUUCCUAAAAUACGGACUAGAACUCAUCUCAUCCAUUCCCAAGGCUAGCUCUGUUUUGGUGCGGGUCUAGUAGACAGUUCCCUCUCGUGGUUUCAUACAUCCAUAGAUUUGCAUUCAGGAUAUCAUCCGUGGGUACAGGAAAGGUUGACUUCUCUCCUUCCAUCAAGUCCAGAAGCAAGGUCAAUCAAGUGCAGGAUCAGCAGGAGCGCGCCCAUUCACUAAUCGAAAUCGUCUUUUCUAACGAUUUAUGGUAUGGCCCGAGACCAGAAAAAGAGUAGGAAUGAUAGAUUCCGCUUCCAAAACAAGGGUUCAUGAGCCUGUUUCAGAUGAUUCCUGUGUUCGAUUCGAAAGGUGACGGGCCUAUUCCGUCCAAUGACCACAAAUACAAUCGUACUUUUGAUUCUCUUAAAGCACUGAAGAAGCACUGAAGUCUAUGGCACGCUUUGGUUGAGCUGGCCUUGGUUCUCACAUGAAUCACGUAAGCAGAUUUGACCUCUGGAAACCACAAUAUGGAUUUCGAAAACUGCAUUUCCCCGUGAUUUUAGGCAUCACUCUUGCCCUCUAUGGACGGUACGAGGAAAAGAAGAAAGUGUGUUUCGUUUUGCACAAUCAAUGGACUUCAACCGAUUCUUCAGUUGGCUAAGAAGAAGGCAGCCAACAGGAUGGGAAACUUAAAAUGGAUAAUGCCCCGGCAGGCUCGGCACUCAUGCUUUCAGGCAGGCGCGGAGUUCAUCCCACUAUACUAGACUAGGUUCGCGAGCCCUGUCCGAUUGGACGAUAAAUCUUAUUUUUUCAUAGUUUCUUUCGAAACAGCCCGCAUUCCCACUCUUCCUUUUAGGAAAAAAAAUAAACAUGUGAAGAAAGCCCGCUAACCCACUCUUCCUUCCCUUGCCUAGGUAGGGAUAUGCAAGAAUAAGCAGGACAACCUACCUUAUGAAUUCAGUAAUAUGACGCUAGCUUAGCUAAAAUAGCAAAAAAUAAACUCAUCUUAGUUGGCAAUAUGUCUUCUUUCUUUGUUCGUAACUUUAAACUCAUUGAACUAGCGCUAAAGCACUCGCAUCUCUGAAAUUCUAGGCCAAAAGCUAUGCUGACCGAUCCAUAAAUCUAUAAACAGAGUUUAGAGAGCCAUUACUUCUUUCUUCCCUUGGAUCUGGAGGCAGACUUGAGUAUUAAAUAAUAGAACGCAGCAUGGACAACGAAUAAAGAGAAUGUACGGAACAACGCCUUCUUCUUUUUCCGGCCUGGCAAAUCCCUGACCAAAGACAGUGCCAGAAGAUAGCCAACACAGGACAGAAUACUCUCUAGAAAACAGAUCGCCAAUUGGCGACUUGGUUCAUCGUCCCACGAGUCGGUGACUCAUCUCUACUUUUUAGUUCGUAACAGUCAUAUGCCAGACGACUUUCUACUUUCCUCCUGAUGAAGAACCCCCGCAGACUCUGAUUCCUCUGGCGAACAACUUCCUUCUUUUGGGAGAUAUUAUUGAUAUGGAAAUCCAAUACUUUCCACUGUUCGACCUGACCUCUUCGCGACUAAAGACCCGCCUGUUCUAAGAGGAUACUACUUACUUAAGAAUAAGCCUCAACUCUCAGAUAGAAUAGAUCUCUUUUCAAGCUCCUAUUUAAGUGUAAGUGCCAGGACUGGACUUCCCACACGUAUUAUAUACCUGCCGAUGUCCCAAUUCAUAAAAGAGCUUCCUCUUAGCCACUUGAACUGAUUUAAGAAAUCUAUCUCUGGCAACUUGAAAACAACCCAACCUAUUCCUUGGGCGCUUAUGCUUUCAACAGAGCUGACUUCUUUGUGACCAGCACUGAUGCUUCGUCUGCUGCGAUCGGACGAUCAAUACAGAUAUAGAAUGUGACACCGUCGACUCUGCUGCCUUACAUUCUAUUAAAGAAAACCUCACAUAUAUAUCAUUGAGUCAUACUUUUAGUUUUCAUGCUCGUAUAACUGUCAAAUCACUACUAAUCCUUUCUAGACAAUCCCGGCACGGCAGGCACUGGAUAGAGAUCUGACCUUAUGGAAAUGGGAAAUGCCUAUGCUUUUUCGACUCUGACUUCCCCAUAACCUGGCGCUUCGCCCGUGGUCAAUGGUACACUGGCCAACGGCACUACGGAAAAAGGUCUAGUUGAUACUAGAGAAUCCCCGCUCCAAUUUCCUACGGCACUCUUUCUUUCUGUGUGAGUGCAUACCUACUUUCCGGAUAGUUUCCCACUUCUUAACCAGCGGCAGGCUUGCCCGUCACCCCGUCACCAUUCACAUUCACCUUGGGGGCCCCAUGCUCUUCAAGACUUCUAUGUAUGAUACCUCUCCCUCUGCUAAGCUUCCCAACCCAAACCUUUCCCGGCAAGCAAAUAGAAUAGAAUCCUAUCCUAUGAAACAAGCUUCUACUAUUCAAAUCAAACCUCAGAGUCUUCGGAUGCACGUGCUUUGUGAACAUUCCAUCUCCUGCACAAGACAAACUCAGCUGUGAAGGAAUGAAUGGGAAUGGGCUUGUCGGCUGUGAAGACUAUCAUCUGUAGGCGAGCGAAGCAAAGCCCUAGUUCAAUCUAGAGGCCGUCACGAAGGGAUCCCUCGGGUCAACAAGCAAGGGAUGAGCGCUUUGUUGCUUUAUUAUCACAUUAGAGAAGCGGAACCUCCAAGCUCAGACAUCUCGAACUCAGAAACUACCCUUCUAUCCCACCCUGCUCCUCCGGCAUCGGAAGCAGAACUACCUGACCGAAGGGAGAUAGACAGGAAGGGAAGACGGUCAUACAAAGGCCGAAUAAAGCUCUCUUGAAGCUGCAUCUGAAUAGACCUAGAGUCACUCAGUACAUACGAACCCUUGAAUAAAUAAGAAUUGAGAAGUAUGAAAUGUGGGCAUCAUAACAAAAAAAGAAAAAGACCGAACCUGUAAGACUAAUGUCUACUUAUUUAUACCUUUGAGAGGUCCACUUAGACUAUUAUUAUUUUCUCUUUAGCUACGUAGGUUAUAUAAGAUUCAAUUCAAUCUAACAAGCGGACCCUUCGGCUACCACAAGAUAUUUAGAAACCAAAGAAGCUGAGCCUACUUUACGCACUUAAGGCAGCAGCAGAUGAUGAAGAAAUGGGCGGUAGAUGAUAAUGAGAAAGGGCGCCCCUUGGCAUUUCCUGCGGGGGAGUCUGAUUGAUCCAAUCACGACGAAUGAUGUCAACCCCCUCUUUUGCGCCUAACUUGACUCUGAUUCCCCCACUAUGAGAGCUGAUCCAGGGGCUAGUUCGGCUACAGAAUGGAAUUUACGAAAGCCCGUCUUUCCGACUCAAUGUAUUGCCCUUUGGGACCAGGAUCUGACGAGGAAGUGAGAGAGGGGACACCAAACAUAGGUGCGUACCAUUGCCCCAAUCCAAUGGACUAUGUCAUACAGGGAGGAACCCAUGGAGGUUGGAAAGAAAGCAGGUUUUGCUUCUGCUUCCUUCGAGCUCCCACAGCAGUCUAGAAGUCUUCCCCAGGGCGCUAAGCGAUAAUUUCUGUCCUCAGGACGUGGGGGAGCAAGUUUCGAACCCGACACAUCCACUGCACGAUCCUUUUCAGCUGUAGUUCCGGGAUUGGAUUUACAAGGGGGCGGGAAUUCUUUGUUAGCUUUAGGCUAGCAAUCCGGUUCAAAGCCAGAUUGGCCCACUUAUUCGAAUAUAAAGAAGAGGAAGACAAACUAGCCAAGAGACAGAAAAAGGUAGAGACCAACCACCGAAACAAGGGAGUAAGGGCUAGGGGUAUAUGGGCCAAGAAAGGUCCGAUGUAUCGGUCAGCUAUACCUAAUCCUUCACUUAAAAACGCAUCACACCCUUUGUAGGUUCAAGCCGAAGUCAAGCAUGAUCACCUACUGCAAACUCCAAAUAUCGUGGUCGGCGUACCUGGUCCUGAGCAGCUUUUAAUCUAGAAUAAGUUGAAUCUUCUCGGCACUCUCCUUCAUCUUCUGUGGCCCCGUCGGUCGGUACGUGCCAACCCCAACAAAUCGGGGUACGACAAAGGUUCCCGUUCGCGUGCAUCCAGCAGGAAUUGAACCCGCAAAUUUACCAAUUAUGAGUUGGGCGCUUUCACCAUUCAGCCAUGGAUGCUUAACAGGGAUCAUCGUACAUCGUAAAUAACCAAUUUUCAUAUAGAAAGACAUAUCAUAGAAAAAUGAAAUCGAAAAUAUUCGGAGAUGACUAUGAAAACACCUCUCCGGAUCCUCGAAUUGAAAGAGAGAUUGAGAGGGAUCAAGAAUCCUAAUUCUCGCUAUUUGGAAUGGAUCCAAUUCUAUUGAGUCUGACCCAUAGUGAUCAUUUCUCUUUAGCAAAGAAUGACCUUGGUUAUCAAAGGAUUGAACAACCGAGAUCCAUUUACUUAUGAUACCUAGUUGACAUUGCUAACAAGGAUCUAAUGAAUUAUGAGUUUAAUAGAUUCUCUUUAGCAGAAAGACGUAUAUUCCUUGCUCAUUAUCAGACAAUCACUUAUUCCCAAACCUCGUGUGGGGCUAAUCGUUUUCAUUUACCAUCUCAUGGAAAACCCUUUUCGUUCCGCUUAGCCCUAUCGGGUAUUUUAGUGAUAGGUUCUAUAGGAACUGGACAAUCCUAUUUGGUCAAAUACCUAACGAAAAAUUCCUAUUUUCCUUUCAUUAAGGUACGAGGGCUUCUUAUUCCACAAGAACGAAAGCACCUUUUCAUUCUUUCAUAUACUAGGGGUUUUUACUUGGAAAAGACAAUGUUCCAUACUAAAGGAUUCGGGUCCAUAACCACGAGUUCCAGUGCACUAGAUCUUGUAGCACUUAGCAACGAGGCCCUAUCCAUUAGUAUUCCACAUAAGAAAUCCAUUAUAGAAACUAAUACAAUUAGAUUAGCUCUUCAUAGACAAACUUAUUACUGCAAUGCAAUCUCGACAUGUGGAGUGGAAGAGAAGAGGAUUUUAGCUUCCAAUACCGGAUUGAUAGCUGUGAGUGGAAGGAUGGAUGUCCUAACACGAACGGAGUCAGGUUUACUCCACAAGUGCCGAUACCUCUGCCCUCGAAUGCGGAAGUUGAUUGUGUUUGUAUCAUAUCAAGCCCUGCUCUUGUUUCUAUAUCGAUAAGUGCCAGCUCUGGCAACCCAGUUUGAAGCAAGCGCCACUUUAGCGCGUGUACAGAACUAGUCUCAGAGGAUGAUUCUUGAUUCUCUAAGCUUUUCGCAGCGCAGCCUAGGAGGUAAGGUAAAAGAACCUAGGUGUUAGUUGUUCAUUUCACUCUAGAAGUUUUUGCUCCAGCAAUCUACUUCCCAUCCCAAAGGUAAAAUCCGAUUCAUUGAUUUCGAUUCAAGAAUCUCUUAUUUCUCCGGUAGAAGGUGCCAGAAACAUGGAUUUCUUGACUGUCUGCAGAAUGCGAACCUGACCGAUCUCGUUCCUCGGGGCACUUACUCUAUUGGAGCAAUCCAUCCGGUGGGGCCAGACGCAUCGUCGGCAGACUAGAGCGAGCCUUAGUGAAUCCUGAGUGGAUCCAAAAGCAUGAAGCUUCCUUUCCUGUGCUGAAUAUCUUACGCGGGGCUGCAGUGAUCAUGCCCCAAUCCUCGUCUUAUUCCGGCUGCCAGCUCUGGACCAAAGCCAUGAAUUGAGCAUGUGGAAACCCACCCCGUAGUGAAGAAAGCUCCCGGUCACAGGAAAUCCAAUGUUUCUGAAAAAAGAAGAAACUGUUUUAGACCAAACUAGCGCUCAAAGCAUGGGAUAAGCAAUCCUUCGGAAAAGCUGGAGACAGAGUGAGGAUAUGCACUCAGGCAGUCAAAGAAAAUCGAUUCAAGCAAGACUUGAUCCCUCAAUGCUGAGCUUCUUGAUUUGAUCCAACCCCUCACUCAAAGCUGGUACAACUCUUGCAAGAAAAAGAGAGCGAGAAAAGGUCUACUCGACGAGAGAGACCCACACAUACUUUAGCCCCUUUGGGACGGUUCCCUGUAUUGCCUAAAAACGAUUCCGAUUGGAAGUAAGAAUUCCUCUUUCUCUAAGGCAAGUUCACCAUUUCAUUUCUAUUUUUGAGCAGAUCGGACUUAUGAAAGAUACGAUUUCUUCGAAUUCCCUUUCCCGAUCCACGAAGGAUGCUUGCUCGUAAACUGGUGCGCAGCGAAAGAUAUUCACUCAUAUUCUAUUUGAAUCUAAUUCUACGAGCCCCUUUUCUCCUCAAGAAAGCAGAAAGCAGGAAGAAAACACGGAAUACACGGCGGAAUACACGGGUUCUCAGACGUGCCGGAGUUCUUGGGUUGCUAGAAGAAGCUCUGACGGGCGCAGUUCAUGAUUGUGCUGGCACUUCCUUAGCGGCCUCAGCUUGAGAUAUAUUUGUCACAUCCAUAAAAAACCCUCUUGAUUCCACGUUCGCGGAUGAGCCUCUAGCCUACUCCACGGGGGUGCCAAUCUAGCGGGCCUAUCUUAUCUAUUCUUCAGCGGUUUCGACGGGAGAUGCUUUCAAUUAAGAAGGCGUCAUAUACCAUAUACGAAUGGGAAUGGGAAUGGGAUUGAUUGGUAGCAGAUGUUCAACAUUCACACAAGCCUUAAUCGACCUUAAAGAGCGUAUUCCAUAUAGACUUCCGGCUUCUUUCUUCGUAUCUCGCAAUGCUACUUUAUUUCAAUGCAACACCUCAGUUACUGCUUGAACAGCUGUCUUCUUCGUCAAUGAUUAUGGAUUCUUUCGUUGAUGCCCAGAAUGGCUCAUUCCGCAAGGAUAAGUUUGCGUAUAGAAUUAUUGAGGGCCAUGGCUCUACAGGUGUGGCCUUAAGCUACGCUCCGAAAAGUUGGAUCUUUAUGUGAGAAAGAGUAUUUAUGGUCUAUAAGUGUUUCUUACUCUUUAAACCAACUUCUUCUUAAACAAAGGGAAGAGUACACUCCACGAGAUCCAAUGAGGAACGUAUAAUUACUAGAAUCGUGCCGGUCCAGGCCCGGGACCUCCUUCUUGUCUGGUUAGCUAGCCCAGUUCAUCUAGAAUUGUCAUAUAAAGUCAAGGCGCCGGGAUUCCAAGUCUAGGUUUCUUUCCUUCUGUCUUUCUUUGGCACAAGAAUGUGGGGCUAAGUCACAGAUAGUGAAGUCAAGACUCAGCUCGGGUAAGAACGGAUGACAGGUCGAUAAGUUUACUAGUUUUGCAGCUUUACGAGCAUAACUUUAGAAAAAGGAAUCCAAUUAUCUUAGUAGCCACGUGUUGAAUAACUUUAGGGAUGAAGCCUUACCAAUCACCCUAUUCCGCCGAACCAGCAUUCCUGAUACCUUCUUCCUGUGCUUAUACUCUCUGAAAUGGAGACUAGGAUCUUUUUCUUUCUUCCGGCACCUUUCUUUAAGCUAGUCGACUCUCCCUCGAUGGAAAGUGGAUGACCGGAGGAUAAUUUCUGUUUUGAUCGCCAGUCUGGCGAGUCACUCUUUGAUUCCUUUAUUCGGGGGAGUUCCACAGAUCCAUUCGACUUUCUUAUAUAUUCCCACUCCACUUUGGCAGUAGAUCAAUUCCAACAAGGGUCUCUUGGCACAGCCACUCUUAUUGAGGAAGCUUCUUACGUAGUUGAUAUUCCUCUCCUCGAGUAUUUUCUCCUCUCCCAUUCCAUUAUAGUAGUUCCCAUUAUAGUUGUGCAAGAGGAAGUAGUUUUGAAUCAACCACCAACAGGACAAACCUCUUACUAUGGCUAUCAAUGAGAAGCCCUGAGUUUUGAAGUUAGCCUUUCUCUAGCCAGAUUAGAUACCUGAUUUAUUGCACCCAUUUCCAUUGCCAACUAACGCUCAUACGUUUCCAUUGCUGGGCAGGCUACUCGUAGAAGAAUAUAAACACAGUCUAUCAGCAGAGUUAGACUGGGCUGAGGUGGAGACCAAUACAAAGUUUCUCGAGAGACAAGCAGAAGAUCUAUCAAGUCAAUUCCAAGUUUCGGCCUUAUGGGACUAAGACUCUUUCAGAUUGAUGCUGAAAUAAGAGAAUUGACGCUCUCCUUUCGAUUCGAUACGACAUUUUGAGAUCUUUGAGCGAGAAUAGCAUCCGAACGAGAAUUCCACUGGGCUUGAAGGCGCAGGCCUUAAUGAUGUGGUGGUGGCAGUUGAUUAUUUUCUUAAGUAAGUAAGAUUCCCUAAAUAAGGACUUUUAGUGGGCCCAGGUUUAUUUCAUGAUUUUCUGCUAAAGUGCCAGUCAAAGGAUAGAUUGAUAGCUUUAUCACUCAGCUUAUCAGGUGAUUCCUGUUUAUGUUGGGGUAGGCUUGAUGGAUGGCUAUAUUCCUCCAAGAGGGAGGGGAAGAGCCCGAGUCAAAGUUCUUUGUUGACCAAUCAAAGAGAAUGAAAGAAAUAUAGAAAGAAUGGAUUAGUGUCAACUCCAUGAAUCGGUACAGGUAGAAGUAGAGGGGGCAUGCCAAAAAGAAUUUGAGAAGCCUCGUUUCUGAGCUUUUACAGCAUCUUUUGAUUCAGAAGCAUCUCCCACGAAAUCACAUAACAUAAGUGAUCCUGCGGAACCGGCUUUCCUACACUCACUGAUCCAUUCAAAGGAUUUUAUUUUCUCACGACUGAUCCGCACUUCAGCUCCGAUAUUAAUAAGCACUGCCUUCUAGCCAGUCUAGUCCCGGAGACAUUAUACUCUGGGUCUGGCAUCGCCUCGCAAGAUCAUCUAGUCUAGAUUUACUCGGGUGUGCCCGAUUUCCAUGAUCCCUAUUUCAUAGCUUGGCUUGGGUUGAAGGUGAAGUCUUUAUAUUCUAGUUAGAGUCACUACUUUAGCUUUAGAAUGAGGAACGUAUCGUAUAUAGAAUGAGGAACGUAGAAUUACUAGAAUAGAAAGGCGAAUAGAAAGACUAGUUACUCGCUCUAAAGUAUUAUACGUGAACUAUUCUCACAGAGGAAUGAAGGGAGCUGGAACCAGGCUGCCCAGGAAGGAUUUCUGAGCUCUACUCUAGUAUUGACUGGCUUUCAAGGAAUGGAGCUGCCUAUAUAAAUAGAAAAAGCUUUGCCCAGCGAGAAUUUCAUUUCUUUAAGUAAGCUGCUAGGUCUUAUUUGAUGAAAAGCAAGACAAUCCACCAUGGAUCGGAGGGGGCUAUAUACGAAACUGAGGAGCUCUUACCUCUAUUUAUGAUAAUAGAAUAGCUUUGGGUGGCUUCACUUAUCUGAUAGCCAAUGAGUCACUAUUCCAAUCACCGCCCCUCGCUCGUGCCCAUCCAUUAACGGAACGGACUUACCGUUACUAAGCUCGUAAAGAGGAGGGCUAUCUUUCUUUGAGGUUGCGUAUGAUUCUUAAUUUGAAAUGAAUGAAUCUGUUCAUAAGAUUUGGAUCGAAGAAGCUGCCUUACCUUCUUCUCAACCCCGUCUUCGAAAGAAAGCGAGCUGCUACUUUCUCUAUCCAUACUCUAUCCAUAUCUGCCACUAACAUAACUUUAUAGCAUAGCUGGAUUGGAUCCUUGGUAGGAAAAACCAAACUAAGGAACAGGACUGGAUCCUAAUGGUCAAUCACCCCGGCAGCACUUCUAUUUCGGUUAUCCCCCGCCCGCAGAAGCUGAUUCGAUUCAAAGAUAUGCGAACGAAAGGAACAUCGAACACACGAUAUGUGAUUCGAGAUGAGAUUGCCAUCCCAAUAGGAAUAGUCAUAGGGAGCUACCAGACCCCGGCCAUACAUAUCCGAAUGAGACGAACAAGCAUUCCUCCGUUUUAGGUCACUCCCUUCUCAGGAUACAUACGACUAGAGCGUAGAUACUUUACCCCCCUUCCAGUAAGGGAUCCUGCCAGAGGAAUUCGGGGAAGAGAGGGACAGCUAUGCAUCGAAUUUGGAUUCCUCUCCUCACAUUAUACGUGUGGGUGCCAAAGUCAAUAAAAAAGAGACCUGGAGAAAGGUGGUCCUGCAAGAAAUGUUUUGGGACUGGCCUCUGACUUUGAGGGACUAAAAGAUUAUUUUAUUUUAUAUCUAUUUGGAGAAAUGUCCCGGCACUUUUAUAGGUUGAGGUUCAUUUUCACCCGAUCAACCUCGUCGAUCGCAGGCAGCUCAAAGAGCGAGUGCAACAGUCUUUCUUUCUUACCUGGAUAAUGGAACAUGCUCUAGAAGCCCGCUUUUAGAAGCUUUAUCCGUCGUUCCAUUCCAGCCCCUCUUGGGAUAAUGAAUGUAGCGUAGGAUAUAAAAAGUGAGUUCUAGGCCCGAUUCGUCUAUAGAAAAAGGCUUGUCCUUUUAGAGCUCAUUGGAUAGGAGAGAAGAGUUUUCAAGGCAUUUUUCAGGACAUAUUUAUUUAUUUACUCUUUUUAUGACUGGCCUAAGCGCCCCCGAGAACUUUUAAGGGGACCAAGAGUUGCAAAAGAUCGAGUGGAGCUUGGGAGAGUAGAUUUCCAAUCUGAAAAACCAGCAUCUGCUUAUGGUGCAAAAUCCCAUAUUCGCUUUUCAGCUAACUAAGUAGAGUGCCCGCGGAUAUAUAUGUUCUUUUCAGGGAUACGCUUUUUAUGAAUAUGCAGUUCCAGAUCUUGGUAGGUCUGUUUUUUCUUUUAUUGGCGCCUGGAGGACUAGCCAACUACCUUGGGAGGGUCAAUUGUUUUGAAAAAAGGUUGCAUCUCCACGGAGUCAAGGGUGCUAAAGCGCUUUUCAGCCGGGCCAUGGAAAACUUUUUACUUCUGAUUUCUAUCCUUAAAACUCCGAUUUUUCGAACUCUUUGUCCCGAUCUCUUAAGUAAAAUCCGGUUGAUGCCCAAAUUCCCAUUGAAAUGCAGAAGUCGAAAAUCCAUUUGGGUUAGGAGAUAUGAAGUAAGCAGUAUUGGAUGGAUCCUUAGUUCGGGGGCUACUGGGCCGGUUCUUGGAGAUCAAAAAAGUUCUCCGUUUUCUUCUAAGUGUUGAUGGGAACAGUCGUAAAGAUCCUUUCUAGUAAGAAGAUCCUUUCUAGUGGACCUCGGGAAGUAGUGUAAAGCAUGAGCCCAUCUCUUCUCCCGAUAUCACAAGAAAUGCUUCUACCCGACCGGAUUUCAUCCAAGUAGAUAUCCGAUACUUGACUCCUAAGCGGUAGGACAUCCUUCCAGUCACUGUUCUCAAAGGACAGGCCAGAUCACCGAAUACUGCCAUUGGUAGAUCCUGAAAAGGAUGAAGCGAUAGAGCCUUCUCGUAGAGCGAUAGAAGACAGAUAAGCCGAACCCUAUGCCAGCCGGGUCAUGCUGUUAUUGUUGAUGAUGCCGGUGAUCAUCUAGCCCUAGCCAUGGAUUGUGAUGUGCCGGAUCUAGAUGAGUGAGCCUUUACGUUCCGUCCCCAGUUGGUUCUUCCAAAAGGGAUGGAAGCCCGCGCUAUAACAUGAAAUCAUGAAAUAGAGAAGUAAGUCUAGUGGGCCCCGUUCAAAUCAAGUUCUGCUUACCGCUGAUUCCCCACGGGCUACUACUGAUUCUACAGCUCUAGGCCCAGGCCAAUCCAAUAAUACGAGUAGAGAGGUGGUAGGAUAUGAGUUCCAAUCUCACCCACAAGGGUAUGUGCUCCUUGGUUAUCGAACUAUUCCAAAUAAAUCUACAUAGGUAGAGAUACAGUGCCAAGUUCGUGGGAUUUGACUUCCUUGUCCAUGCCGUGCUUCCCUGACUCGAGAACGGAUUAUUCUUCUACCUCUCAGAGCGGAGCAGCUUUCUUCCUCGCAUCGCGAAACAAGACAGAUCUUCGUACAGUCCAAUCAAAAGUCUAUGCCGAAUCCUCAGAUAGGUAGAAGGAAUUCACCUCCCCUCAAUAAUCAAUAGCUCCACUCCAAAGUUAUUUUAUUCGUCACAUGGCGUAGUUCCUCAUUGGAUUCAGGAUUGCAUUGCAUUCAUCCUUAGCUUUGCUCAGCUCCAAAGUUAUUUUAUUCGUCACAUGGCGUAGUUCCUCAUUGGAUUAGAUACUGUUCCAACAGAAAUGAUACCCUUCCACUCACUUCAUUCUACUUCCAAUACGGGACAGGAUGCAUAUUCCAUAACGGAUUAGAAUCCUUUUGUUUCCAUGAAACCCCACCUACAAGGUUCGUUUUCCCACUUGUUGGGAUGGCCUUCCCGGGUUGCCAGAGCUAUUUAAUGAUUCCAGAAAGAAAAGAGUCACUGUGAGGAAUCCAAAAAUAUCUGGGUGCCUGUGCUAUUCAUGAUUUCGACUAGUUUAGUUCUCUUAAGGCCUAUGGCCCGCGACCUAGAAGGAAGUGUGCUGCGUUCCUUCAUCUCGUACAUGGAUGAAUACCAGAUUUUCCCUUACUAAUUCUGAUUAUGAAAGCAUCUCCUCUUCUCGAAGCAGAUAGAAGAACUAUUUAGGGUUGGCCCGGAACUUACUUCUAGUGAUCUCUAUGCCUUUACCCCAGACUAUCAAGUAGAGCUUAGAGCGCUUUUAUCCCUAAAGCAUUCGUGCUAGCAAUCAUGCCAGAACUCACUUCCAUGGACUGAGCUAUUUCAUGAAAAAAGAAAGAUAGGUGUCGACCCAACUCAAGAACAAGUAUUUCCAGCAAGUAGGAGUGACGGUAUCAAAUGAUAUCAAGUUGAGCAUAGCCGCUGGGCUAGCAUGAAAGAAUGAUGUGCUCCAGAAUCUCGUACUAGAGACGGUAAGGUAGCACGGAAUUCAUUGAAAGGUGUGCCAGAGAGAUAAACGGUGUGUUCAGUCUCCCGCGCAUGUUCGCGUUCUCCACAAAUCUGGCUUUCUAAGGGCUCACCUUGAGUGGUAGUUCCCGAUCUUAGUUCUCAUAGUGGACUCGCAAUGACAUAUGGAAAUGGAUCUUCUCUUCUCCCUGGCUAUCAACGGAAAAUCUCCUAUCAUCCAAAAACAAGGGGUUUCUUACUUCGGGUGGCCAGUCUGCUUUCAAGACAGUUUCCUCUGCAUAGGUUGAGGGGUUAGUCUUCUUGCUUGAAAGGCGGGGUAUCUAAUUUCGAAUAGAGUUUCCUUGCUUGCCGCCUAGCUGAUCUUGAAGAUUGUGGAAGACUCCUACUGCCAUCUAAUGGUUCUUACCAAAUCCCACUGUCCUUCUUUUGGGGUGCCGGGCUAUCUACUAUGGUAUGCAAGAAAUCAGCCAUCUCUUCUAUUGGAACCUUAUGGUGACUAUUUGCUCGCUCGGAAGUAGAUCUGGAUCUGGAUAUUUACUAUUAGUAUCUCUCUUUCUGGAGUGCCGUUCUAAGGUUUCUCUUGACUCAAGAAUAGUAGGUGCGGGUCUAGUAGACGUAGACAGACAGUGGCAUGAUUCAUAUUCCGGACUUUCAUAUUCCUCUACCUAAGAUAGAUCCGCGCUCGGUGCGCUAUCGCCUAUAUAAGUUAAGUUAAGUUAAGUUAAGUAUGGAAAUUGGGAACUCUUUAUAGGAGUGAGUUGCUCAUCGGAAACUCAAAGUCAGCAAGCAGUUCUUGGAUUGGCCCGAGAAAUCUCCAUUUGCUAGUGCUCGUCCCACCAUCAGCCUCAUAGCAUUGAAAGGACAGGAUGGCAUCGAUUCCAUUCAAAACUGGAAGUGAAACAAAGUCAAGUAGUCACAGACCCAUUUAUUCUUUUUUUGUCAUUGGAUUGGAUACGUUACAGGGUUCGUUCACGACCCACACUCGAGACUGUUCAUUUCAUUUCCAUAUUCAAUAGCAAGCACACUGUUAAGGCUCAUCUUUAUGCGGGUUCUAAGCUAAGCUGGCACAGAAAAAUUCUUGGAUUAUGGACACGCUACUGAUCCUCAUUGAUCGACUCGGGCCUGCCCCUAUAUAUGUAUUUAUUUGAUCAGGGCCUAUUCCCACUAUCACAACAAAAAUAGAAUUCCCCGGGUGUCUACGGAGCUCACUUCUGAGAUAGAGCUGGCUUCUCACUACCGGCACUCGCUAGAAGAGAACUCUCUCUUGACUGAUCCUGAUCCCAUUCAUCGCAACAAGACUGGUACCAAUAUGGACUUGCUUCCUACCAAUCCUUCCUAUAAUGAGUUCCCAUUAAAGUAAAGUAGAGUUCCCACCUCCGCCUAGUCCGUUUUCCCGUGAUUUUCGCUAUCAACCAGAUUUUCCCUCGUACGAGAGUCUGAAGAAAAGAAUCAAGUAUGGAAUCCCGGGAUUUUCGUCCUCAAGCCUUUUUUAUUAGCGAAAUGGGAUGAUUUCAUGCCAAAAAAAUGGACUUUCGCCGUAUAGCGAGAUAAAGAAUUUGAAUUGUCAAUCGACUCUCUAGAGGGAAAAAGCGAGAAUGAACAUUUGCCGUAUAGUGAGCAUCAAGUUUUUCAUUUGAAAUUGACUCGUACGAGGGAAAAAGCGAUAAUGGACGAUUUUCCCAUUGAGACUCAGUUUUUUCAAAAGAAAUCUGAUCCUCCGGCCAAGCCGAAGUUCCUGGAACAUAUGGAUCAAUCAAGUGGUAAGCCGCCCGGAAGAAACCUUUCCCUUGCCUCCCUUACCGAAAUCAAAUCAGGGCGACCAAUCAAGCUAGGAAGAAGGAUACCGACCUUCUCCAUUGAUCAUAUAGAAAUGAAUAACGAACUGGCUAGAUGAGAACCGGCUGAAAAGCAAAGAGACUAUUUCAACCAAGCAACCAUGGGAACACAGACCCGCACCCACGAUAAGAACUCUUUUCGGAGGAAGCUUCACCUUUAUAUGUAUGCCAUCCAUUUCUGAGUGAGGCAGGCUAUUAUCGUUCUCCGCAAGGAAUCAACCUUCGAGAAAAAAAGGGAGUCCAUCUUUAAAAUCUUAUGCUGCCCCAAAAUGAUGGAACCAGCCACUAAAGGCAAGCUACAUCUCUUCUAAAAGAGGAAUUAGGAACGGGAAGUAGGACUCAUUUCACAAUGCAAAACACAUAAAUGAGAGCACUUUGCUUAAAGCUGAACCUACGAAUCUGUACUUGCGCUUUUUCACUUGCUCCCCUCAGAAGAAGUUAGAGCUGACAUUUAUUCAGGAGGAAGUGUUGUUGGCCAUGUAGGUUAAGUCUUCCUUGCUUUCAGGGACUUCUUUUUGUUGUCAUCUACUUGGUUUCAGGGAUCUCUGUAUGUGUGCUGUGCAUAUACUUCCCUAUACCCUCACUUCAUCAGGAAAGCAGUCGAUUCUCAUCUCAGAAGAUCUUACUAAAACGCAUCGCUCAUCUACGUAAAUUCCAGUCAAGUCAGGGAAGUUGCUGAGUUGAUAGGUCAAAAGUACUACUUUUGCCACUAGGUGAGAUACACUUUUUUGUCAAUCGAGCCUGCCGCCCAAGCGAAAAUAGGGUUCCGUGGUUUUCCCACUAGGGGAGAUAGACUUUUUCUUCUCUUCUCCCUGUGGAAAAUAGGCUUGAGUCAUUUUCCAGCACAAACAUUUUUCAAAAAGAAAUCCACUUUCCCAAGCUAAAAUAGCAAGUACUACUUUGACAGCUAUAUGAGAUAGACUUUAUCUCAAUCCAUCCUCUCUUUUACGAGAAUGAAGAGGAACAGGAAUUUGGGAGUUAGUUGGUUUUCAAAAGAUAGGAGUCAUUAGAGUUGAUACCGCAUCCCUUAUUCUUAUUCGAAGGAAGCAAUCCCACUACAGGCUAGCAUUACCGAUACUUGUACCAAUACUUCUCUUAGCUUGUCAUUUCUCCUAUCUUUUGAAGAAGGAAAGGAAGAAGUAGUUUUAGUUAGAAAUUAGGAUUAGGAGAGUGCUGCGCUUGUGUUUUUGGAAGAAAAUGCAGCUCUAUCCUGGAUAGAUCCUUGAUUCACCGCCAGCGGAGGGCCAGAAAUAAAGAACUUUGUCUCAACGGAGAAUCUCUUCUGCUCAUCUCCGCGAAGAAUGAACCCGUUACCACUACAAAGUGAGAAAUAAACCGCCAAGGAUAUACCAUUUUUGGCUUCCAUAUCUGCACGGGGCAAGGGAAGAAAUAUAUCGUAGAAAACAUCCUCUCCUCAAGCUAGGAAGCAGGAUUGGAAAGCUAUGGUUAUAUGCUGCCCAGGUCUUGCGGUAUAGGACUUUACUACUCUACUCGGAUGCCAGAAUCAGAAGAUAUCAUAUUCUCCCAGUUGAGGUAAGAACCAAGGUCAUCUAGCCUCUCAUAUCUUAGCUUAGGUAUGGCUCGGUGCUGCUUACUCGAAAGGAAAAGAGAACUCGACUGUGUGUGCUACUACUAUCUCCAUAUCAGGGUCGGGGGUAUCCUUUAAGGAGUUGUGAGAUGAGAAUAUUUCCAGAUCUAGAUCUCUUUCUUUGUAAGUGGACACCAUUCCAGAUACGGCUAACUGCUUGUUUUUCUUUGCUUGGCUUGAAGGUUGUAUCUGUUUCCAUCCAUUGAUACGUUAAUAUUUCCAUCCUUUCCUUUAAGCUACUCUCUUUCCUCAAGGUUGGUCCAACUUACUGAUGUCGAAUUCAAAUAGUCAAAGCCUUAUCUUAUAGUUCUAACGUUGAAAGAGCUUAAGGAUGCAUUUCUUUUGAAGGAGGAAGGAAAAGGAGUUUCGAUGCAACUACUUAAUUCGUAACGUAUAUAAGUCGUGGGGACACCAAAAUACCUCUCUUCUCUGUCGUCGCAAUAGAGCAGUUACGAUACUGCUUCCAAGGAAUACUCUUUUCACCAAAAGCAAAAAUCCCUUUCGUGGCCGGAGGAAGAUAAACGGCGAUACAGUCUGAAAAGAUAGUUGGUCGUGUGCUAGUGGAAAACCUCUUUGAUAGAGCAGGGGAAGUCCCCAUUGGGCAUAGUAGCUCACGUUGUAUUGAGGCAGAUUCUCCAUCCAGGAAUUCCAGUCUUUGACUCGGGAAACGAAGAAGGCCGCCCUUAGACCGGAGUCCUUGGGCACCCUAUAUACCCACCCCCGAAUGGACAGGUAGCCAACCAACCUGGCGGGAGUCGGCGGCAGAAGUGCCUGCUUGGUACGGCUAAACACUUCUCUUUUCUUAUUUUUUAUCCACAAUUCCUGGCUCCCUUUCUUAAUUGGGUAGACUUGGGCCAUUGUGCAAUUACCAUCCUUUGUGCGACCAGGCCCCACGGGAAUCGCCUUGAAGAUGUCCACCCCUUUCUUAGAAAAAUGGAAAGAAAGGUGCUCAGCGACGACUGCCCCUUCUACCUUUACUUUUUUGCCACUCUGUCUCUUUGGAGCAUCCGUUUCCUCAUAUUAUCGAUUCAUAAAGGUCCAUGAAAGGAAAGAAGACCGCUUUCCCUUGCUUCGCACCUCGUCAUAGCCCUGAAAAGCUCACCCGGAGUUCUAGUUAGAGAAUGGGGUAUGAUUCACUACUUGCCUACUGCUACCUGGGUCGUGAGAUCGAAGAAGGUAUACUAUUAGACAAGGUUCAUUCCAGCUUUGCUGCUCUUUUUCUUUUGAUUCUUUCUGUUUCUGUUUACUUGAGCUAAUUCUUUACUUGCUUUCGAGCUAACUUGGCGGAAUGGAAUCACAGCAAGAGACAGGGCUAAUGGUUGGUUCUGUCUACUAUAUUUAGUAUGAUUUUUAUAUCUUCGACCUUAAGAGGCGGUUUACGAAAGAGAGAGAGCUCGUGGAAGACUUGAGAAAUGGAAAUAUCUUUCCAUUUCUUCCUAACAGGAUGCAAUGCAGGUACUGUUUAGUUUAGUAAAGAAGGAACAAUCCUCGUAUUGGAACCGGUCGAGGAAUAUCCCUCACCCUCGUAUUUGAAAAGAAGUGAAUCAAAUACAAUAGUAGGUAGGAAAGAAAAGCCAUCCUUUGAGUAGUAACUUUACCAACCAAGGUAGGGAUAGUCGAGAGCAGGAUGCCGGCCUUAUUCUGUUUAGAAGAAAUGAAAUUGAUUCACCGGCAAAGAAACGACUACUGCGAGCAGGAGCGAUGCAACCGACGGGAGGACAAUCCUAAUUGGAUUGGCGGACUAGUGAAAUUCAUGUAAUUUAGAGUUGGCAAUGGGAGCUGGUGAUAAACAGGUAAGGAAGCACUCGACGAAUAGUGACAUUUAUGAAUGCAAAGCGGGGCCAAGGCAGAUAUACGGAUCAGGGGUAUAAGCUAAAACAAGCAGAAGCAAAGCCGACUUCGAACGGGGAUAAUCGAUAAGGCAAGGCAGCCCUCCGGUCAUAGGAUUAACGGAUUAGCUGGAAAAGUCAUAUGCCUCGGAGAGCAAGGGUGGUACACCAGGAACUCGGAUUGCGAUGCUCCGGAGAAAGUCAUAUCGGUUUAGUUUCGAUCAUAUAUGAUAUUUAAAAGAAAGAAGGAUCUGCCAAUGGUACAUUGGUGCAUUGGGGAUUUCCAGGAAGCAGGUCGAAUCGGAGCGGAGCUGAGGCCCCGGAUGCUGAUUAGCGAAAACAAGAACUAGCCCCGCAGGGCAGGACCAUAUUUUGUAGUAGUAGCUUUUCUCACUGGUAAAGCUGGAUAGGUUAGAGGAUGUGAGCUAGCAGCAGCAAGUUAAGUAAGGGAUAAGAUUGGUCCCUCUGUGUCCGGAAAGAUACCUUUCUGAUCGCGACUUCGGUUACGCACAAGAAGAUGGGAGCUAUUGGCAAAGGUAACCACCAUCACUAGGCAACCAACAUAUGCUUUUCCAAAGCCAGAACUAGGAUAGCGAGCUGGAAAGGAGAAGUGAACUGGUUGAGAGGAAGAAUCAAGUAGAACCGAUAGAAGCUCUUGUUGCCUUAUUUGAAUAUGGACCAAUCGACAACCUUUUCUUUGAAAAAAAAGAGGAAUCAUGUUUCCGACCUUGCCACCGGACUGUUUGAUGGAGCGGGGAGCCUGUAACAACUAGAACAGACAAGAAGGCUUGCCAAGAAUAGACGAAGGCCCUUAGCCGAGGAGCAAGAAAACGGAUGUGCGAACAGAGAACCUCUUAAGGUCUCUUACAGAGAAGAUUCUUGCCUGGGUCUUCGGUUCCGAUGUUAGUCCAGUGGCAGUUGCCUGUCAUAUAGUGGGUUCUUCCAGCGAGAGAAUUGAAAAGCAAAGUGAAGUUUAUCCAGAAGUUGACCCAAGUUUUGUCUGCUCGUGAGAAGACGGAAGAGGAACUUUCUGAACUGCUCGGGCAGGGUCACCAGUUGGCAAAUAGCAUUCGCGCCUCCCAUCCGCACGUGAGAACUUGGAAAGCUCAACUGGGCUCGAAGCACACUUUCGCAGACUGAUCUGCUUAGACUUCGGGCGUUGGGGCUUAAAGGGAAACCACGCAAAGCUCCGGUGAUCCACUCUAUUCUAUGGCAACCUCCACCUCCUGGAUGGAUUCAAGUUAAUACAGAUGGAUGCUCGAGAGGUCAGCCAGGACCGGAGGAAUCUUUCGAAACUGCAGAGUGUACAUGGAUGCUUUGCGCUUUCGUUGGGCAGCGGAUUCGCAUAUCAGGCAGAGUGGGUUGGGGACGGCUAUCGCUAUAGCACACUCCAAGGGCUGGAAAUACCUCUGGAUCGAGUCAGAUUCAACAUAUGUUGUUUUUUUAUUAAUAUUAAUAAGUCAAUGGCAUCUAGGUAAAUUGCUUACUCUUGCUGUGACUAAUAGUUGGCCUAUUCGCCAACUCGAUGUAAAUAACGCGUUCUUGCAGGGUUCUUUAACUGAUGAAGUAUUCAUGGAACAACCACCUGGGUUUUCAGACUUUUUGACUCCUGAUUAUGUUUGCAAGUUGCAUAAGCCUAUUUAUGGCCUUCGGCACUCGUGCUUGGUAUAACGAGCUUCGUACCUUUUUAGUAUAUGAAGGAUUCCUCACAUUCCUCAUUGUUUAUACUUAACUCCCCAUUUUAGGUUAGGUUAUUUAUAUACUAGUUUAUGUUGAUGAUAUAAUCAUCACUGGAUCCGCAGCAGCUGAAGUGAAUGCUUUUAUCUCUACUCUUGCCAAACGAUUCUCUAUAAAGCCAGCUUUCUUAUUUCCUUGGAGUUGAAGCUCACUACACUGCUAAUGGCUUGUUCUUAUCUCAAAGGAAGUAUAUCAGUGACCUCUUGCAUCGACUUAACAUGGCUGAUGCCAAGGCUGUCUCAACGCCUAUUGCUACUACUGAAGUGCUUAAAUUAUCAGAUGGCUCGCCACCGGCUGAUCCAAAAUUAUACCGUCAAGCUCUUGGGUCCUUACAAUAUCUCUCUUUGACUCGUCCUGACGUCUCCUUUGCCAUCAACAAGCUCUCUCAGUUCAUGCAUUGCCCAUCCACACUUCAUUGGUGUGCUGUAAAACGCCUCCUCCGAUAUCUAGUUGGCACUCUUGACUAAGGUCUCUUGCUCCGUAAGAAUUCUCCUCGCACUCUUCACGCAUUUGCAGAUGCCGAUUGGGCCGGUGAUCCUAAUGAUCGAACUUCCACUUCAGCUUAUGUUGUUUUCCUUGGAGCCAAUCCUAUCUCUUGGAGUUAUAAAAAGCAAAAGACAGUUGCUCGAUCCUCCACCGAAGCCGAAUAUCGGGCCAUUGCCUCCACUGCCGCUGAAGUCAAUUGGAUCAUGAAUCUUCUUCAAGAGCUGAAAGUUCCAAUCUCACCCACUCCAGUCAUCUAUUGUGACAAUGUAAGUGCCACUUAUGUUUGCGCCAACCCCGUGUUCCAUUCUCGUAUGAAGCGCAUUGCCAUUGACUUCCAUUUCGUUCGAGAUCAAGUUGCUACUGGUAAAUUGCGUAUUUCUCAUGUUCAUACUUCUGACCAACUUGCCGAUUCACUUACUAAGCCCGUGCCUCGCCGGCACUUUUAAACUCAUCGGAACAAGUCCUCAAUGGCCAGCCAAUCUUGCGGGGGCAUGAUUCAAUUCUAAGCUAAACCCAUUCAACUGCUGUAAAAAGGUCUGAGCCCUGCGUUGAUAGAAAGAGCGCUCUUUUCAUGAAACUAGAAAUCUCGUAAGAGAAGAAGUGAGAAAUCGGAUCGACAAAGCACCAUUUCCUCCGCUCAAGGAAAAUCAAUGCCGAAGACUGACAACCAACAUCGAUAGGUAUUACAGUGCCUCUGAGUUAUCUCGUACUCGCGGUUUGACCUACCCAACCAGCAACUGAAGUGGAAGACUGACUGACUCAGGUGUUGGCUUUUAGCUCACCUGCCAGUCAAUAUUCUUAUUAGACCCGUGUGACAAUGGUGUUUCCAACACAAAAAGUAUGGUAUACUCAAGUAAAGUACUAGCUUCACCGGAAAAACAACUGUAACUCAUGUGUGAUCGCGGAUUCCACGGUAACUGUUUGUUGUAGUUCCAGCUCUACAUUAGGAGCAUAGGGGCUCUAUCUACAUACAGAGUUUGACCCACGGUACGGCUGAAAAAGGUAAGCCGGUUAAGUGCUUUAACCAUUUAGUCAAAGAGACUGAGCGAGUGAAUUGGUUUUCUGUUUUGUCAGCGGAUCUUACGAGCUUUCAUAGAAAGCAUACUAUACUAUAUAUUUUACCGCGUACAAGGACAAGUGGUGGCACGACACGGAAAGUAGCAUCCCCAUAAGGAUGAAUUGUUGGUUCAAAUCGGAUAAUCAAUCAAUAGGGAAAAAGGAAGGGAUUACUGUAAGAUGGAAUGCUCGCGUCGGAAUUCAUUCUUCUCGUUACGGUAGCCUAAGAGCAUUCAAGAGCUCAGUUAGAGCCUCUCAAUUGAUAGAGGCAUGUUCAUAUGAAGCGCUACGCAUAUCUUAUUUUACCAAAAUAGGGUGGGGCUGGUAAUUGAAGAUCUGGGAUCUAUCAGUCAAAGUGGACUACUAAAAAAAACUUCUGUUGCAAGGUAAUUUUUUUUUAAGUCUAUUUAGCUUCUUCGUAGAAAGAAGGGAUUUGCUGCUUUCUUAGUAACAAUAUUCUUAUGCUAUCUGGCUAUCGAGAAGAAGAAUGGUUAAAAAAAAGGGAAGAUAAACAAACAAUUUCUCUCCCUUCCCCUAAUCUAAUGGAAAACUUUCCCGAAUCUAAAGGAACUAGCCGUAAGAUAAGAUAAAGAGGUGGUCGAAUACGGCCACUCAUCCGCUUCCUAGCCGUAACAGAUGGAAUUGGAAUCUCACUUAAUGAAAGAUGCACUAUGCUUCAUUCAAUUGGACAGCUUUGCCCGUCUCUGGACUGUACUCUUUCAGAUUCGGCAAUGGAUCUUUUUUUUUUACCCUUCUGGGGACUAGUCUAAUUCUUAAUUAGCAAUCUAAUCUUGAAUAAUAUCAAGCAGUGUUCCACAAUAGCCUGUGCCGUGACCCAUCCUCCUGUGACACUGACAGUAGCAGGAAUUGUUUUCAGCACCUGGAAAAGGUUUUUAAUCGGAGUCAGGCAACUCGAGAGCUCCAAAGGACAUAAGAACUUCAAACAACUUUUCAGUGUGAACGAGAUAGAAAUUGUACUUCUUUUGCUCUUUAUGUUCUUUGCCCUUAUUCUUCAUCUACUGUGGUUGUGGUACAAACUUUUUUGAAACGUCUGUCACGACUUAGUUUGAGCGGAAUGAGAUAGCUUUCACCUCUUUCUCCAAUAUCCAUAAAUUCUGAAGCUCGUUCUAUUAACUGCGCAAAUGUCGUUAUCCCGACAGGAGCAAGAGGAAUUCGAAAUUCAUAAUGCAAUCAAAUAGAGACUUGUUUUUUGGGAAUAGGCUCCGAACAUUGCAUCGCCAAGAGUCUGAAUCGAGCAAUGAACUCCUGGGCUUUCUCUGUCGGUUCCUGGAUGCAUUUCCUCAAGUCGUCAGUAGUGACUGACUUCUUUCUUUGGAAGGUCGGAAUCCGCCUGAAUAAAUCGCACAUAUGCUCCCAGGACUUCACGGAAUUAGGAGGCACAGAGGUAGGUAUACCAAGAGAAAGCUAUGUGGGUAAGCGACGAGGGUUAAACCUAAAUAACAAGUUUUAGUUUCCAGAAGUAUCUCCACGCUGAGCGAUGAACCUCGCCAAAUGCUCUUUUGGUCCAUCUUUUAGGUUCAAUUUGGGCAAUAUGUAUCCCGUGGCUCGUAGUCAAUCUCUGGAGGAUAUGGAGGAUCAUAGGCUAGGUAACCUUUUCACUAUUCAUUUAUAAAGGUACCUUCAAGUAACCAGGUCUCUUCAUCCUUAUUGGGCACUCCCACAAGAGACAAUUCUUUUUAGCCUCUAAGAGACAACAAGAAGAGCCUAACCAGGACCUUGAGAUAACAGCCCAUAGGGUAGCCCCUACAGAGCAAAAAUCUAAGGCCGGAAUACCGGAGUUCUUUCUUUGCUUCCAAGAACAUAGAUUCCUUCUUCAACCCAGGUCAUGACCGAGGGCGGGUAUCUCACUCGCAUAUCUAGAGCCCAGCAUCUCUCCUGAACGACACCUUCCGCAGACUCUACUGGUGGUAUUUCCCGAGGCGAGGGGUGCAUCCAUAUCGGUCAGGAAACGACAAUGACUCUUCUUCUUCCGGGUCCGGGAAGCUAUGGGCACCUCACAAUUCUUAGACGACAUUAGUGGAAGCGAACAUUCGUAGCAUUCAUUGUCACCGAUCAUUGAAAAAAGAAGCCGUACGAGGUUUAGAUUUGGCGGCUAUAGACUCAAAGGGCACAGACAGGCUGCUGGUACAGUUUUUUUAGCUAACUAAAGUCCAACUUCCUUUGCCGAAAGAGGAUGAAACGGAUCAGCCGAUUCAACUUAGCAUUACCCGACUCGUAACUUCAAGCACAACCAUCCAUCUCAAUCCAAAAUCUCCGAUCGUCUGUGAUCCCUCCUCCGGUUUUGGAUAUAUAGACAGUGCCUGCUCUCAAACCAACCAAGACAGCAGCAAGUUCCUAUCGAGAACAAGACGACAGAUCAAUAUGACCAAUUUAUCUAAGGUGAAUACGUGAAAAAGUGUUGCUUAGCUCAGUGAAAUGGAAUAAGGAAGAGAAAGUGUAGUGUGAUAAGGGAAGAAUUUUUAGGUUUUCAAGCAGAUAGAUAUACAAACAAGAAGAAUUCACAUCAGAACCCUUUCCUGCUUCCCUUUUUUACCCAUCGGACUCACAUUUUGAUCUCCUACGCUUGCUUUCACAGUCCCCCUACGAGCAGCCCGGAAUCAAUGAAGGAGUUCAUUCAGCACCGAGCCGAGCGAGCGUAGAUUCAAUAUGUUGAUUGUACCGAACGAAGGAUUUGCCUUAUCACGAAAGCCACAUUCGUUUCGUUUGAGGAAGUCACACGUCCUGUUCCCUAUAAAUAAGGAGAUUCAUUCUUUUUUUCAGAAAUCCCCUCUUCUUCCUCCUCAAGCCCCUAUCACAAGACCAAGCGGAUCUCAUCCUGCAGAAGACUCAGAGCGGAUCUAUCUAAUGGCAUGGCUGGCUGUCGGAUGUGAUCUAUUCUCGUGUCACAUCGCUUUCUUUCUUCUCCCUCCAUUUUCUUCACUACUACCGCUCCUACACAUAAAUCAAAGAAGCAUUGUGGAAUAGUGGCAUUUCGUUAAUGGCGAAAAUUUUCUUAGUGAAAGGGUUGCCUGCGGCAAACUCAGAGCGGUCUCUGAAAGUGAAUAGGAGCAUAGCGGUAUCAUCCAAGCCAAACACGUCUCCUCAGUCAAGGGUCUUCUCGCGCAAAGAAGAUCAAAAACAUAACAACUGAUUUCGCUUAAUGCAUGUCACCCACCCGCUCUCAAUACAGCAAGUGACUCUCUCUCACAAGACAGAGAAAGAUUACCGAUUCACCCAAUUUGAUCAGAAGUGAGUUCAUUGUUGUUGUAUAGCGAAACCUUUCCUUGACAAAACCAUUCUCAGCUAAUAGAAGCCGAGCUAUCUAUCGGUUGAACGAAGCGAAUGGAAAAGCCAAAGAAAACAGAAAUCCAUUGCGAUUAGAAACCUGUGACUCUACAGCCAGGGCUCGAUGGCGAUGUAAGAUAGAAAGAAUGGGGAGUUAGGGCUUCGGUUUCCUCUGUGGCCAGUUCCAAUUCCAAAUCAUUUGCCGACAUGCGGACUCACUUCUCUUUUAUGGGAUGAAAGCCCUUGUCUAUUUACGUGGGUGAAUCAAGUACAACAAGUCAGGUCAGAGCUUGUGGUAGAAGAUUGGGCUCUGCUACGCAGAUCCACUCAACUAGGAAAGAAGUACGCAUUGCUGACUGACUGUUUGAACGAUCCUAGUUACUAGUAAGUAGCUAAUCAAGUCAGAGUAGGGUGGCCGAGAAGCUUCUUGCCGGUGCCCCCCAAAGCAAAGCACAGACUCUACUCACCCACGCGUUUUCCACCUACGGAGGGAGAAAUCAUCGAAAUAUCCUCAUCCCCUGAAAGGGAACCCGAAAACAGGACGAGAGUGGAUAGGGUGACUAAGGAGGUAGUCAAAAUUAGUAGUGAAUUUUGGAAAGAGAAGAUUACAAAAAGGCGAGAGCAGCAUAAUCGUUAGUUAGGGGUAAGAGGGGACGGGCCCGUAUAGAAAGUAAAUCCUUCUUUUUCCGAUAUGCCGCUCCGCAAGCAAGGAGUGCCACGCACGAGCGGAGCGAAAACUAAGCAAGGGGAAUUCCGGCAUUCCAUGGAAAGCAUGCGAAAUCCUUUGAUUGUUUAUAGAAUCAAAAUCACUAUAUAGUCUUUCUUGUUCCACUUGCAAGGCAAGGAAAAAUAAAAUGUCAGUUUCGUUAUUACAACCUUAUUUUUUUAUGUCAAAGACAAAAAGCUACGCGCAAAUUCUCAUUGGAUCUCGGUUGUUCUUAACAGCGAUGGCUAUUCAUUUAAGUCUUCGGGUAGCACCACCAGAUCUUCAACAAGGUGGAAAUUCUCGUAUUUCGUAUGUACAUGUUCCUGCGGCUCGGAUGAGUAUAGUUAUUUAUAUCGCGACAGCUAUAAACAGUUCCUUGUUCCCAUUAACAAAACAUCCCCUUUUUCUUCGCUCUUCCGGAACCGGUACAGAAAUUGGUGCUUUUUCUACUUUGUUUACGUUAGUGACUGGGGGGUUUCGGGGAAGGCCUAUGUGGGGUACCUUUCGGGUGUGGGAUGCUCGUUUAACUUCUGUAUUCAUCUUGUUCCUUAUUUACCUGGGUGCACUGCGUUUUCAAAAGCUUCCUGUCGAACCGGCUCCUAUUUCAAUCCGUGCUGGACCGAUCGAUAUACCAAUAAUAAAGUCUCCAGUCAACUGGUGGAAUACAUCGCAUCAACCUGGGAGCAUUAGCCGAUCUGGUACAUCAAUACAUGUUCCUAUGCCCAUUCCAAUCUUGUCUAACUUUGCUAACUUCCCCUUCUCUACCCGUAUCUUGUUCGUUCUGGAAACACGUCUUCCUAUUCCAUCUUUUCCCGAAUCUCCCUUAACGGAAGAAAUAGAAGCUCGAGAAGUAAUACCACUAAAAACCUAGUUCGCUCUCAAAUAAAAACCUAGUUCACUCGCUAAAGCAUCCAUGGCUGAAUGGUGAAAGCGCCCACCAACCUAGAAAGGCUAAAUGGGUAAAAAAGUAGGUUCGAUUCCUGCCGGAUGCACUGCCUCUUAAAGACAGAAACAGAGGAGGGAAAGAAGGUAGUAUAGGGAACUUGCUUUUGGAUUCUUAUCGAAAGUGAAUCCCUCUAACACUUCAGUUAGUGUUUUAUGAUAAAAUCUUUGACACAACAAGUGUUAAAAUCUUAGUCACUAGGCAAGAAUGGAAAGAGCUUCUUUACCUGCUUGAGAGGGGAGUCAAACAGAGUCUGAGGAAGCAUAGCUAUAGCAACGUAGUGUUUGAGAAAAGUGUGCCUGGAGUAAUAGGCCUGAGAGCUACCCGCGCAACUUUAAGAGUUAACUUCUAGAAUAACCGGGAAAUUUAUUUUAGUAUAACUCUAAUUCUAAUUGUGGGUGGUUCGUUACUUUUUAAGUGGUAAGCAAGUGAUCCUCACAAUUCGUUUUACCUGACUCUACUCUAAUUGUAAGAUAACUAGAAAUAGGAGAUGAGAAAGUCGAGUAGCAGCACUGAUGGGAACAUUUUUUGAAACUAGAAUGGUUGAUAAUAGGAGACUCGCGUUGUAGGUAAGGCUUUUCAAAAGCCUCGACUUGGCUAACGCCCUUUGGUUUUUAGGAUCAAUUUGCCCGUGCUUGCUGGUGUCAGGGUUGCAGAUAAGUUGUUUCGGUGCCAUUUCCUUUGUUAUGAAUGAAAUUUUGGAGCUCAGUUGAUACCGAAUUUGAAGAUAAGCCCUUCCCUCUCGUGAACACCUUCGUUUAGUAGAUCGGUACGGUUCCAUUCAGAAGAAACUAUUAUACGUGGUCCCGUGGAGUACGAAUAAGGCUUUAAAGUCUUCCUUCAUAUUGUUUGCUAGCUUCCUUCUCCUUGUUUCCUGCCUUUCAUUCUUUAUGAAAUUCUUAUUUAUUUUCUUUGCUGACUGACGUUACACCAAGAAUUUAUUUAAUAGCGUAUAUAUAGCCUGGGCAUCGAUACCAGCCUUCCGUUCGCAUGAUAUUAAGAAAGUGCCUACUACUCAAUUUCAAUUCAAUUUCGCAUUGGCAAAUCCUUCCACUUGCUAUCUAAUGUAGUAUAUGAAGCCUUUCUUUUCUAUUUCUUCUAUUGGCUUGGCUGGUCUGGGGGAUGCGGAUCACGCGAAGAUCUAUAGUGUUUAAGUACAUCUUUCUCUUCCUGCAAGCUACUGAGAUAUGCCUCAGCUGCAGGUGCUUUGUAUCUCUGGUCAAGAGUUGGCAAGGGAUACCAAUGUUGUCGACCACCUACUUUUGAGCAUAGCUUUUACCAUAUUCCUCCCUCGAUUCGCCAUUCAUUCCUUCACAGCUGAGUCAAUAGCUGUGUCACUGACUGAAUGUAGUUCUUUUUUUUAAAGAACGAGGCCGCUAAGGUCAAGGGACCUGAUCCAGAACAUUGAAUCCAACCAUCAGCAUUCGCAAGAAAGAGAAAGAACUCGGUUCAAAGAAUCGCUUCGGUCUAAAAACGAGUCUUCCGAGAUCAUGUCUAUGCGAAGAGCUUGAACCAAGCGUUCACACGCAUACGCCCUCGCCCCUCAGAAGAUUGGAAAGAAUCCAUCAGCGAGGAAAUAGAGUUGUAGCAGCAGUGUCUCCACUAUUUAUUUAUAAAAGUCCCACCCAAGUAAAAGAGUCCGAAGAAAGGCCUUAUAGGAAAGCGUUACCAGGGAUUAGAGUUAGACCACUUAGUAGCACCUUCAGGCUUAUCCAUCCACGCAUGGAAGAUUUAUAGAUCGACGUUCCGGAAUGGUAGAAAACAAAUCAAUUCUAAGUUCUUCUCGCUCCAUUCAUCCACUCGCUGGGAAGGCUAUUUUGAUGCCUCACACAGGCAACUCCGCUAGGCGGCUAAGCAGAUAAGACGGGAUUUCACGUUGAGAACGAAUGUAGAUUCCUAUCAUCAAGAAAGUCGGCUACAUCAAUGAAUUACUUUCCCCUAACAUUGCUAUUCUUAACAACCUAAAUCAAAAAACCUCCUUUAAAGAGCAGAAGAAUCCUUCUUAGAUAAAGCAGCCUGAAGAUAAAUAAGAGCAACUCCUUCAAAGAAAAUGAGAAG
rnacentral:lncRNA from 1 species